UAGCAUAUAAGUAGGUGUGGGCUUUCCUAGAAUAUUAAUGGGUUUUAGCAAUACGGGUCGGGUAUGGAUCAUGAUAUGAGUCACUAGAUUUAUACUAUAUGAAUAUGGGUCAAAACGGAUUAAAAUAAUCCAAUAAAGGUCGAUCCAUUCUCAACCCAACCCAAACUCGACCUAACCUACCUAUUUGAUGAGUUUAAGCAACGCCAAAUCCUCCUUUUAGUUUCAUUUAGCCACCCCACGACGAUAUCCAGUUCCUAAACCAGUCGAAGCACUCUACCUGGCUCCCGAAACUAACAAGAGUGGCUCUCCAAACUAACAAGAGUACGCCAAGUUGUCUAUAGGGUAUACACUUCAGCAGGUCCAAUCGUUCCAACUACAAUAAAAUGAGUGCUGGCAUCGCCUUCAUCGUCGCACGCAUUCACUUCGAUUCCACUAUUAGCCUACGCAGUUUCAUUAAUUAGCGCAGAGAGAGAGAGAGAGAAGCAAGGCCUAGUAAUGGUGAACAUGAUCAGCAGGAUGACCUUCUUGCCAGAAGUGUCACAAGAAAACGUACAUGGGAUUUGAGAAACAUAUUGCGGGUAUCAAAAAAUGGUAACAUCUACAGGACAAUUACAGUUGCAUGUCUAUCAAUAUUUAUCUUGUUUCCUCUCAAAAAGUUGGAUUUACAGCUCCUAGCGCGGAAUGAACUGGUGAAUUUGUUUUUCAUCUGAAACAAUUGAUAUAUUGUUUAACUAAACAUUUCUCAAGAGAGGCCAACUUUUUCUGAUGAUAUCACCAAUCUUCGCAUCGAUCUGCUUCUGAAUGUGAGGUGGGCAAACCCCAGUCUGCAAAACUGUUCAAUCUUGCAGCCAAACUUGAUUUCUGAAGUUCCUCUUCAGGCAGGUUUCCCAUCAGCUGGAUGAGGAGUGGUUUCUGCUUGAGCUCGAAUUUCUGCAUAUUUCAUGGUAUGGGAAUUCUUGUCAGAAAUGCUGGUGAGAAGAGACCAUUUCCAGUUCCUUGUGACCAACAAAAGUGCCAGCCGGUACAAUUGAAAAUUCAUAUGGAGUGCAUGCAUUUCUCAGGCGACAAGCUGAAGAUUUCAGAGAUGUCUGCAAUAUGCAUUAUAAUUGCAAGGCAAAACCAAAUUAAAUAACUAGAAGAGCCAUAACAUGCUGCAGAGGAGCCAAGGAAACAACCUUUCUACUUGACCACAACAGAUCUGGUUUGACAAUUCGGGGCAUCAACCUAAGCAAAUUAAUACACAGGUGGACCUUUUUUCUCUUUCAACAGAACUAGCAGCAAAGUACUUCCUUACCCAUCAAAAACACCUAGAAUAUUUCACAGAUCAUUAUCAUGGCAAAUCAAGACAAAUCAAAAUAGUUGGAAGCACGAAAUCCCCUAGUCAUUUCCCGUCCUCUGAAGGAAUUUUCGUUCCACGCACGGAAUGAAUUACUAGUAACAUAUUUGGAUUGCAGGUAUUUAUGUAGCAUUUGGCUGAGGGAACACAUCAGUAGCAGCCCGCAAUGAAUAAGGGACCGUUCUAAAUAUGGAAAGUUCUUCAACCUCACUCGUUGUCAGUCGAGUCAACACAAAGUGAGGACACAAUGUAAUGAGAGAUGAGGCAGGAACAAGUUCAGAAUUACGUAUUCGGACAUACCCACUUGAUAAUCGGCCAAUUAAUAUUCUCACCCAUUGAGUUAAUGAUGACUGGUGAAUUCAAUUUUCUGAUAGGCACACUGUAAAGUAAUAAUGUGCGGUUCCCAAUUACUUAACCUGAUGUUCAGGCUCUGCAUGAUAAAAUGCUUCAAGAUGUUGAAUCUGAGUAGUGACAACACUGCUCUUGGACUUGCUUUGCUCUCUUUCUUUGCUAAGGGCUGCUAGCCUGGACUCUUCAGUUCCAUUUGUGAAGAUAAUUGACCUGACAACACAAUUCCAUCAGUAAAUAUUCAGUAGACACAAAGCAACAGACCACACAUCCUAAUUCUGAUAAACAGGAAAACUUUCGAUGCAAAUAAUUGCCGUCACCUGUACUGGUUACCAACAUCUGGACUUUGCCCAAGAACUUGCCUUGAAUCAUGACUAGACCAAAAGACAUCCAAAAGUUGCCUGUAACUAAUCAAUCUAGGAUCAUAUUCCACCUGUGGAGCAGCAUUCACAAAAACAAAGAAAGAACGAGUAAAUAUCAAUACCAACUAGCAAUAUUCUUGUCAUUUAAAAGAUUAUGUUCCGAUUUCAAGAACAAAAAACCAUGGACAUACUUAAGUCUAGAAACUCUCUUGCUCAAAAGAGAGGACUUAUAGAUGAAACUUUCUCACCACCCUCCUCCUUCCCACUCCCCAAAAGGAAAAAGAAAAGCGACAAAAGGCAAAAGAAAGGGGAGUGUCAAAACAAUGCCUUUUUUUAUUAUAUAGAAUCUCAGUUUGAAUCCCGAUUUACCCCUCCAUGCUAACGGGGGUUCACAUCCAAAAUCAGCUUCUGCUUGCUCAAAUCCUAACCUCUUAUAUGCCCUAUGUCCCCAACAAAAUUUUCAUCAUAUAAGGACGACUUGUGACGAGCUUGGCAUUUGCACAAGUAACUUUGACAAGCCUCCUGACCUCCUUUAAAGAAACAUUAGCAGCCCAAGAUGCAUCAAUCCAAAAUGAUUGACCUGCAUAAAUCAGACUGAUCCUCAGAGGAAAGCGGAGGAUGAAUCCAGCAUCUUUCACCUAAUUAGCAAAUCACAAAUGACGAAAAUGCAAACUUACAGGAUCAAACAUUCGAUAUCACCUCUCUCUACGUCUUAUGUCCAAUCAACCACCGUGCAAUCUUUCACCCUUUUCACUGACUCGAAACUCUGACGUUUCAUCAAGACAAAGCUGAAAGUACCACCUCGCAGUGGCAUCUAAUGCUUAAUGCCGGAUGACCAUAGUGAACAGUGUCCUCGACUAUUAGGAAGAAAUUCUAAGAGUCAUGCUAAUAAAGGUGCAAGGAAACAACAAUGCGAAGGGCAGGAUUCUUAAACCAAAAGAAACAACAACAAUGGCAUCCACACUAGUUGACAAUGAUAGCUAAGCACCUCCGAUCAUUGAAACUACAAACUCAGUCGGUAGCACCGUCAGCCUCCGAUCUGUACAAUCCCUGUUGGAGAAAACUUCCUUGCGUGUUUUGAAGCUGACAAAACAUUUCCAUCAGUCUAGUCUGAAGACUUCGGACUCUUUCGUCAAAGUCUGAAGAUUGCUGGACCGCCAGACUCAAGAUUCAAAGUCUAUCCUCAUUGACAGUUUCUAGACCGUCGAAGAAGACUUAUCCAGAAUUGAGUAUUUCUUUAAGGAUUUGAUUCUAUCGACUAAAGAAGAUCUCUCGGCUGGAUAUAGCAUCUCGGAAUCCAUUAUUUAUCUUGAGAUUGAUUCAGGCAUUUUGGAUCCAUUGAUUGACGAAGUAUACUUGGAAAGUUCUACUUAUAGAAACCUAGAUCCUGAUUGUAUGAGCGAGCAGAAUUGGUGGGCUAUCGUCAUAUUCCUUAAAUAACUCGAAAUCUCCCUAAUUGAUUCUGUCCAACGGGUAGAUUGGAAGAGCUCCUUUGGUAAGUGUCAACGGUUGUGAUGGCAUGGAGGAGUAUAUAAGGAAGACGUUCUAGUUAUUCAAAUGUGUGCGCGAUAGAGAAAUUCCAAAGUAUGAAGCUUCUUAUUCUUUGUAUAUUCAAUUGUUGAGCGUGAACUUGUACUCAAAAGAGAGUUUAUACUUCUGUAAGACCUUGAGAAAGUGUAGCAGAGUCUCUAUACUGUGGAAUCAAGGAAGAGCUAUAUUGUAACAACUCUUUUGAUUCUUAGUGAAAUCCAACCGGUUGGCUGUCAGUGCGAAAAAGUGGACGUAGGCUUGGAUUAAGCCGAACCACUAUAAACCUUGUGUUCUUAUUCUCUUCCCUAAGCUCUUUUACUUUGAUCGUAACUCUAUCUGAUUAUUAGAGUCUAAUUUCCUUUUCAUAAUCUAUUGCUAAAUAGAGUUGGUUUAAAAGCAAAAUUUAUACUUUACUCUGCAAAAUUUGUUUUCGCACAUAUUCACCCCCUCUAGGUGCUCGUACUAGCUUUUACAAUUGGUAUCAGUGCAUGUGUACUAAUUUAAGUUGAAGUGUUUUUACUUCAAAGUUAAUGAUCCAUGGCUAGUAUGUUGGCUCUAGGUCUGGUUGAAGGGCAAAGUAACACCAGACCGCCUUAUUUUGAUGGAAAUGAAUACAUCAUAUGGAAAAACAAGAUGAAGGCAUUCUUAAGAUCAAAAGAUCCUCUGGAAUGGGACGUGAUAGGCAAAGGAAUCAUUCCUAAAGCUGCAACAGUCUCAGAAAGAGGAAAAUAAGCUGUUGAGUCCAGUGAAAUGACUCUAGAAGAAAUAACCAAGAGACAAGCUCUUGAUGCAAAAGCAAUUUAUUCCUUAUAUUGUGUAUUAUCUCCUACUGAUUAUAACAUAAUGUCUUCUUGUGAAACAACUAAAGAAGUCUGUGAUAGAUUGCACUUCACCUAUGAAGGAACAUAUCGAGUGAAGGAAACUAGAAUCAAUAUUCUGCUUGGUCAAUAUGAAGCAUUCAAGAUGAAACCAGGAGAAUCUAUCACUGACAUGUUUAGUCAUUUUACAGAAAUCGUGAAUGGUCUUGAGUAUCAAGGUCAACCAAUCUCUGGACCCAUGAAGGUUAACAAGUUACUGCGUGGACUUUCCAAAGAUUAGAAUCACAUAAAGACCUCAAUAAGGGAGACUCAAAGAAUCAUGCCACUUUCUGUUGACGAAUUGGUUGGCACUCUUCAGUCUUAUGAAGUAGAGCAAAUCAACGAAGAUGAAGAUCCCAAAGGUAAAAAAAUCUAUUGCAUUAAAAUCUAAUAAUGAUUAUGAUGUCACAGAUUUUGAAGACGAUAUGGACGAUAAAGAGUUUGCUCUCAUGAUAAGAAGGUUCAAAAAACUGAAUAGAAAAGGAAGAAAAUUCAAUCCAAAGAAACAAAAUUCUCAAAAGUUACAGAAUAAAUCAAUUGAGGAUGAUGAAUCCAACAAGGAUGUAAUCUGCUUUGAAAACAAGAAAAAGGGAUACAUUAGACCCAACUGUUCCUUACUGAAGAGAAAAAAAAAGGAAAAGCUGAGAAAUACCGAAAAGUUCUUAAAGCAGAAAUUUGGAGUGAUACCGAAUGUGAAGAAAGUGAUGAUGAUUAUGUCAAUAUUUGUCUUAUGGCACAAUCAGAAUCAGAUUCAGACUCUGAGACAGACUCAGAUUUAGAUAGUGAAAUCGAGGUAAGUAAUUUAAAAAUUCCUACUAAAGUCUCUAAGUAUAUUAAUGAAUUGUGUCUUAGUCUCAAAACCUCUCUCAAGAGGAUUUCCGAACUGAAAAGAGAAAAUUCUGUACUAAAGCAACAGGAGAUUCUUUGGAAAGAAAAUGUUGAAAAUUUAGAUAAAAGUGUUACUACUUUGAAAGAAAAUGCAGACUAUCUUUCAAAAGAAAAUGCAUUUUUGAAAAAUGAUAUCUCAAGUAUUUCCAAAAGGUUUUCUAUAGGAUUUGAGAAAUUAGAAAAUAUUCUUUAAGCACAAAGAGCUUACUUUAACAAAUCAGGUUUGGGAAUGACUGCUGAAACCAUUCCUUUAAUUGAUUUUCCUAAAGUAAAAGAAAUAAUUAAACAAAGACCUACAAAAGAUUCGUAUAGAAAUCAUUUCCAAAAAGUUUUUGUAAAACUUGUAGGCCGCAGUGCUCUCAAAUGUUCUCAGUGCAACAACUUAGAACGUUUUGAGAAAGAUUGUCCUAUGGUUUGUAAACCCGCGAGGAAGGUUUGGGCAAAGACAGUAUAUCACACUAACUCCAUUGGACUCGAGAAAGUAUGGGUACCAAAGAAAGCUUGAGUUUCUUUUUAAAAUGCGGGUCACUAUCAAGAAAAAGAUUAAAUGGUACUUGGAUAGUGGAUGCUCAAGACACAUGACAGGAUACUCAAAUUACUUCAUAAAGUUUAUACAAUUUAAUGGUGGAAAAGUUUCUUUUGGAGGAAAUAGCAAAGGCAGAAAUGUGGGAUACGGAACCAUAAAUAUUAGAAGUCUCACGAUCAAUAACGUUUCCUUAGUGGAAGGACUCAACUACAACUUACUGAGUAUCAGCCAGUUGUGCGACAUAGGAUUCAAAAUCAACUUUCAAGAAGGAAUAUGUUCAGGAACCAGUAAAGACUCCUCUCAAACUUUCACGGGGCGAAGACAUGGGAAUAUCUAUCUCUUGGAUAUCAAACCAGAAAAAUCCCAAUGUCUAAUCUCAAUUCAAGAGGAAGCAAAUCUAUGGCACAGAAAACUUGGGCACAUAAACAUGAAGCAAAUAGCCAAGAUCUCUACAAAAAGACUUGUUCGUGGAUUACCCAAAUUGACAUAUCAAAAGUUUGAUCUAUGCACACCAUGCGUGUUGGGAAAAUAGGUAAGAAAUUCAUCAAACCAAUAAAUCAAGUGUCCACUAAUCGUGCUCUUGCAUAUGGAUCUCUUUGGACCAACCACAACUCAGAGCAUUGGAGGUAAGAAAUAUUGCCUAGUAAUAGUGGAUGAUUAUUCACGAUUCACUUGGGUAUAUUUCCUGGCAAGUAAGUUUGAAACCUUUUCAUAAUUUAUAAAAUUUGCUAAGAAAGUUCAAAAUGAUAAAGUGUAUGUUAUUUUAAAUAUAAGGACAGACCAUAGAGGUGAGUUUGAAAAUCAAGACUUUGCUAAAUUCUAUGAUGAAUCUGGCUUUCAACAUGUGUUCUCCUCACCAUACACUCCAGAGCAGAAUUGAGUUGUGGAAAGGAAGAAUAGAUCGCUCUAGGAAAUGGCUAGAACUCUUUUAAUUGAAAGUAACAUUUCUUCUCGUUUUUGGGCUGAAGCAGUUUCUACAGCGUGCUAUAUUAUCAAUAGAGUCUUCUUAAGGCCUAUUCUGGAGAAAACUCCCUAUGAGUUGUUCAAAGGAAAGAAGCCAAUUGUUUCCUAUUUUCAUGUGUUUGGAUGCAAAUAUUUUAUAUUGAAAAAUGCAAAUGAUCAAAUUGGUAAGUUUGAAGAAAAAUCAAAUGAAGGCAUCUUCCUUGGAUAUUCAACCACUAGCAAAGUUUACAGAGUAUACAACAAAAAGAUUCAAUCUGUGGAGAAAUCGAUGAAUGUCAAAUUUCAAGACUUUGUACAAAAUCAAUUGAUUCAGACUCAACCAGAAGAAUCUGAACCUGCUCUAGACUCUACAAAGUCUAAACCUCAAGAAGCAGCUCAGACUUCAGAGGACUAGCAACAAAUAAUCACUGAAGAAUCAAAUGAAGAAAAAGAUCAACAGUCUGAUAAGCCAACCAGCAACUGGAAGCACAAGUCUAGUCAUCCCAAAGAACUCAUUAUUGGUAACAUUAAUGAAGAAAUUCGUACAAGAUCCAAAAAGCGUGAAGAGUCUAGUGCUGUAGCUCUUAUCUCUAAAACAUAGCCCAAGAGCAUAGAAAAAGCUUUAACUGAUGAAAGCUGGAUUAAAGCUAUGCAAGAAGAACUCAUGCAAUUUAGUAUCAAUGAUGUCUGGGAAUUGACUCAUAAACCAAAAGGUAAAUCAAUCAUUGAAGCUAAAUGGAUUUUUAGGAACAAGAUGAACGAGAAAGGAAAAGUUAUAAGACACAGAGCAAGACUCGUGGUCAAAGGAUAUACGCAAGAAGAAGGGAUAAAUUAUGAUGAGGCUUAUGCACCAGUAGCAAGGUUAGAAGCAAUUAGAUUAUUACUUGCUUUUGCUUGUUAUAAGAAUUUCAGGUUAUUCCAAAUGAACGUCAAAAGCGCUUUCCUAAAUGGAUUUAUCCAAGAGGAAGUCUAUGUGGAACAACCUCCCAGUUUUGAAGACCCAAGGAAACCAGACUUUGUAUUCAGACUAAAAAAGGCUCUGUAUGGUUUAAAGCAAGCACCUCAAGCUUGAUACGACAGGUUAAGUAAGUUUUUAAUUCAAAAUGGUUUUGUUAAAGGUAAAGUAGACACUACCCUAUUUAUCAAAAGAGAAAGCAAAAACUUCUUAUUUGUUCAAAUUUAUGUUGAUGAUAUUAUUUUUGGAUCUCCUAAUGAAAAUCUAUGCAAGAAAUUCUCUAAGUCUAUGCAGGAUGAAUUUGAAAUGAGCAUGAUGGGUGAACUAACAUUCUUUCUCGGGUUUCAAGUGAAACAAUUGAAGGAGGAAACUUUUAUUCACCAAGAAAAAUAUGCUAAAGAACUUGUCAAAAAGUUUGGACUGGAGAAUUGCAAAAAGACUGAUAUACUAAUGUCAAGUUCCUUGAAGCUGGACAAAGAUGAAGGAGGAAAGAAAGUAGACCAGAAGCUAUACAAGAGUAUCAUUAGUUCACUUCUUUAUCUUACUGCUUCUAGACCUGACAUUCUGUUUGGUGUUUGUAUUUGUGCCAGAUUUCAAUUAGACCCUAAAGAAUCUCAUUUUAGUACUGCUAAACGUAUCAUCAAAUACGUUGCUUCAACCUUUAAUUUAGGUCUAUGGUAUCCUAAAGAAUGAGACUUUACUCUCCUUGGAUAUUCAGACGCAGACCUAGCAUGUUGUAGUGUUGAUAGAAAGAGCACCUCAAGAACCUGUCAAUUGCUUGGUAACAGGACAGUAUCUUGGUUUUCGAGGAAGCAAAGUACCGUAGCUCUUUCUAAAGCAGAAGCGGAGUAUAUGGCUCUUGGAAGUUAUUGUUCACAAAUUUUGUGGAUAAAACAACAGUUAAGAGACUUUGGAAUUGAAGAUUCAUGCACUGAGAUCAAAUGUGACAACAUAGCGCGAUCAAUCUCACCAAAAAUCCAAUUCUUCAUUCAAGAGCAAAGCAUAUAGAGAUUCGAUAUCAUUUCAUUAGAAAUCAUGUGCAAAAUGGAGAAGUCUCGAUUCAGUUCAUUGACUCAAAUAAUCAACUGGCGGACAUUUUACAAAGCCUUUGGAGAAAAGUCAAUUUGAAUUUAUUCGUUCCAGACUCAAUAUUUUAAAGUUUGAAGAAGUUUAAAGUUUGAAGAAGUUCAGACUCAGGGCUAAAAAGUCAUAAGAUACUCAGACUCAGAAGAUCGAGAAUCACGACUGUAACUUAUUUAUGUUUAUCUCGGAUAAAAUCUCAAAAAGGUACGUUCAUCUAUUAAUUUGUAAUUGAUUGAUGUUAUCUUCCCCAGUUUUCGUGAUUAUUGCAAUCAUUCCUUUUCGAAAAAGAAGUUAUCUGUUAAGAUGACGGUUAUCUAUUUUUUUUAAAAGGUAGUUAUUUUUUGAAAAUGCAUUUUUGUAUUUUUCUUUUUUACGUCAUUCUGUAUGCCUUGUUUUGACUGCUUUAUAUACAGUUGUUUUUUUCUCCAUUUUACUCACAAAACCCUAAGAAAGCACAGAUCUUCAACUUCUAUUUUCUUCUCUUGUUUAAUCCUCGAAAAGUUUUAACCUUUCUUGCGAAACAAGCUUGGAAUCCCUCAAAAACUGUGAAGAAUGUCAUUCCAAAGAAAGUCUUCAAGGAUCGCGAACAGGGGACCACAACAAAUGCGUGAGGGUCCUACGCAUUUUGACCUCGUCGAGGAAGAAGCAUCUCCUAGACAGCAGCAAAGCCCACAACAUUCUCAACAGCGUCCAUCUCCUCCAUCUAGACCUCAGGAUAUUGAUCAUCGAGCAGAGGAAGAAAUCAUUGAAGAUGCAGAACCCGUAAGAACUCAAAAGCCCGCUUUUAUUUUUAAGCUUUACUCUGCCUUGAAGAAGGGUGGUACUCCCUUGAAAUAUAUUGAAGAAUUCUUAAAAGAGAAAGGGUAUCCAAAUGAAACCCACUUUUUACGCAUAAUUGAACGAUUGGGAAUUGCUCCUGCGGGGUCAGCAGAAGAAGCUUUUGCAAAUAUCCCAAGCGAUCCGCAUGUUGGAGGGCUAAGUCAACCUGAUGGGAAUGAUGAUGAUAAGAUGUACACUUAUUUUAAGCCUAGAAUGGGUGUUGCAGCGAAUAUUCGAAGCAAUAGAACGGAUUUGUUUCGCUCGGAGGAACACACGCGACUUUACUCUAAGUUGCUAAAGCGAGGGGUGAUCAACUCUAGAAGUGUGGAUUUUGAUUUUCUUGAUUCUCUGAAUGUCAAGUUGCGAGAAAAAUUCACUCUUCUUCAACUAGAACGGUUUUGUUUUGAGACGACAGAGGCUCAUGCUGAACUCACUGCUUACUUCUAUUCUAAUCUAAGUUUCUUGGAUGCGAAUAGAUUCUCAUUUAGUGUUCGAGAUCAGAACUAUGUAGUUGACAUGGACACAUUGGCUGAUGUGAUUGGGGUAGAAAGAGGGAAAUUCCAAUCAAUUAAUAUGUCUAUUGGAUGUGCGACGGUAGAGCUUGUUCGGGAGGGAAUGGCGGAAGGACGAAUUUCAUAUUUGAGGAUGAAUGCCUCCAAUAUUUUACUUCAUAAGAUAGUGAUCAACUGCCUCAGACCCAAAUCGACUUUGAAGACUGAUGUUUCAAACUCGAAUGCAAAGCUGAUGUAUGCCUUUAACACUGGCAAAAAGUUCUCUCUUCCACACACUAUCAUGUUCCAUAUAUACAGAACGGUGGUGAAAGACAAGGACCAACUUCCUUACUCAGCACUUGUCACUAAGUUAUUCAGACAUUUGAAUAUUCAGCCUCCUAGGAUUCUAUGUAUUCGAACCUGCGAUCAAAUGGUGGUGGGACUGAAAAUGGUUUCCAAAAUGCGUCUUAAGGAACUUAACAAAGCUUUGGAGCGAUUCAAGGAGAAAACCCCUGUCAAGACUCACCCAGUCUCUUCAGCUGCAAAACGGAAAGGGAAGGAGCCCAUGAUUGCUCCAUCCAGGAAAAGAAGAGCACUCAUCUUGGAGGAUGAAGAAGAUGAGGAAGAUAUUACCAUUUCUGCACUUAAAAGCUUACAUCGUUCCGUUCCAGAGACAGAGGAGAGACAAGAUCAAGAUAGAGAAGAGUCAGAUCAAAGAAGUGGAGAAAGAGAAUCGUUGAGAAAAGAAGCAGAGAAAGAAAGGACUGCAGAAGAAGAAGAAGAAGAAGAAGGCAGAGGUGAACAAGAGGAAACAAAGCAUGAAGAGUACUUCUCACCGCCUGAAGGCAAUGAAACAAGGGGAGUUACUGAGAAAAGAUGUACAUCUUCAAUUGCUUUUACUAGUGAAGAUGUUAGUCGUUCACCUGCAGAUCCAGAAGACAUCUAUGUCUCUCAAUUCCCUGAGGAAGGUCAUGAGGUUUCAUCGCCAAGUCUUGGUGCUCAUACAGAAAUGCCAUCAUCUGCUAAUAUACCUCAAACUGAUCAUGUAGAGGCCAGUACUCAGACUGAUAAUACAGUAGACUUUCGCAGAGUACUUGAUGUUCUUAUGAAAAUGCGAGGGCAAAUUUAUGCCCUGGGAUGCGAAGUUCAAAAUUUGUAGAAUGCAGGUCAAGCCUCUUCAGUUUCCUUGCAUGAUCAAAUUCAUGCCCUUGCUCUUCAAGUUCAAGCUAAUGCCAAGGGUGAAGAAAUGACUCAAUUGAAGGAGGACUUGAAAAAGCUAGAAGAGAUUGUCUAGUCAAUGGGAGAUUUCCAGCUUGUUCACGUUCCAAAGCAAUCCUAAUUCCAUUCUCUUUUCGUCUCUGCCUUUUUCAUGCUGACAAAAAGGGGGAGAUAUGUUGCAAAUUUGAGAUUUAACUCUUGACUUUUUGAUUGACUUUGACUUUACUUUUGUUUGGUUAUGGUUGUGACUGGUAUGUGAUUAUGACUUGAUUGAAUUUGGAUUGUUUGAUCAUUUAAAUGUUUACUGCAGUAUCUUAAGCAUUGUGGGUAUUUCAUGACAGAGAUAGUUGUUUACAGGACUAACUUGUUUCCUGCGGAUGCAGAUUUAAUGCUGUCUUUACUAAGCCAAUUACCUUUUGUGAGAUAUCCAUGUUUGCUUGAGUAUUGUCUUACAGGUCAAAGAUAUCCAAAUCUACGGGAAAGUUUUGUCACCAUAAAAAAGAGGGAGAUUGUUGGAGAAAACUUCCUUGCAUAUUUUGAAGCUAAAAAAACAUUUUCAUCAGUUUAGUCUGAAGACUUCAGACUCUUUCGUCAAAGUCUGAAGAUUGCUGGACCGCCAGACUCAAGAUUCAAAGUCUAUCCUCAUUGACAGUUUCUAGACCGUCGAAGAAGACUUAUCCAGAAUUGAGUAUUUCUUUAAGGAUUUGAUUCUAUCGACUAAAGAAGAUCUCUCGGCUGGAUAUAGCAUCUCGGAAUCCAUUAUUUAUCUUGAGAUUGAUUCAGGCAUUUUGGAUCCAUUGAUUGACGAAGUAUACUUGGAAAGUUCUACUUAUAGAAACCUAGAUCCUGAUUGUAUGAGCGAGCAGAAUUGGUGGGCUAUCGUCAUAUUCCUUAAAUAACUCGAAAUCUCCCUAAUUGAUUCUGUCCAACGGGUAGAUUGGAAGAGCUCCUUUGGUAAGUGUCAACGGUUGUGAUGGCAUGGAGGAGUAUAUAAGGAAGACAUUCUAGUUAUUCAAAUGUGUGCGCGAUAGAGAAAUUCCAAAGUCUGAAGCUUCUUAUUCUUUGUAUAUUCAAUUGUUGAGCGUGAACUUGUACUCAAAAGAGAGUUUAUACUUCUGUGAGACCUUGAGGAAGUGUAGCAAAGUCUCUACACUAUGGAAUUAAGGAAGAGCUAUACUGUAACAACUCUUUUGAUUCUUAGUGAAAUCCAGCCGAUGGGAUGUCAGUGCGAAAGAGUGGACGUAGGUUUGGAUUAAGCCGAACCACUAUAAACCUUGUGUUCUUAUUCUCUUCCCUAAGCUCUUUUACUUUGAUCGUAACUCUAUUUGAUUAUUAGAGUCUAAAUUCCUUUUCAUAAUCUAUUGUUAAACAGAGUUGGUUUAAAAGAAAAAUUUGUACUUUACUCUGCAAAAUUUGUUUUCGCACCUAUUCACCCCCUCUAGGUGCUCGUACUAGCUUUUACAAUCCCAACAUUCUUCCGUCUCCUAUUUGUCAGAAGUUUGGAUAGAGAGUAAAGUUUGAAAUUCUCUUCUAUAUCAUUCAUGUGUAUAAUUACAUCACCAUUUAUAAUACAAGAGAUCUAAAUCUAUAAGGAAGGAAAAUAUAUAAUAAAUCAAAUAAAAGAAUAUUCCCGCAAUCAAGAUCAUUUAAGAUCAAUUCCUAUCAGCACGAGAUCAAUUAAGACAACUAACCAUCAACAACCGUAUCUUCAACACUCCCCCUCAAGCUUGGCAGCCUAUACACAUCAAGGACACCUAGCUUGCUUAAUAGAUACGAAUGUUGCCUCUGACAUAAGGUUUUGGUAAAAAUGUCCACAGGCUGCUCUACUGUUCUUAUUCUUUUUUAACCGAUCACCCCACUUCGAAUCUUGUCUCGGAUGAAAUGACAGUCAACUUUUAUGUGCUUUGUCCUUUCAUGAAAAACUAAAUUCAUUGCCAGUUUAAGUGCAGCAUCGUUAUCACAGUAUAAGAUGGUGGGCUGAUUCACUUAUAUACCGAGAUCUUGUAGAAGGCCUCUUAUCCAGACUAUCUUGCAGCUAGUUUUUGCCAUCGCUCGAUAUUCCACCUCGGCGGAUGAUAAAGAAACAGUCGAUUGUUUCUUCGUCUUCCAUGAAAGUAGAGAAUCCCUUAACUUUAUACAGAAACCGAUAACAGAUUUUCUACUCAUAGGACAAGUAGCAUAAUCCGUGUCGCAAUAUGCUAACAUAUCCAUGUUAUUGUCUCGAGAUAACAAUAUUCCCAAUCCUAGACAUCCUUUCAAGUAUUUUAUAACUUUUAAUGCUGCAUUCAUGUGAGACUACUUUUGGAGCAUGCAUGAAUUGAUUGAGAGUUUGUACCGCAUAACAAAUGUCAGGUCUGGUCAUAGUCAAAUAGAUGAGUUUUCCAACAAGUCUUUGAUAAGCAGAGAGAUCCUUAAGUAAAGGGUCCUUGUUUACAGGUGACAAUCCUUUGUCAUAUUCAAACGUUGCCAACUUGACAUUCUGUUUGAUUGGAAUAACAGCUGGCUUGGAUCCCGACAAUCCUGCUUCCGAGAUAAUUUCCAAGACAAAUUUGCGUUAGUUAAGACAUAUGCCUUUAUUUGACCGUGCAAUUUCUAUCUUAAGAAAGUAUUUGGGAGAUCCCAAAUCCUUAAUGUGAAAUGUAGAAUGCAUGUAUUUCUUAACUCUAUCAAUGGCAGAUGCAUCAUUUCCCAUAAUGAGUAUAUCAUCCACAUUUAUGAGUAGGUAGAUCGACGAUGUACCUUGUUUCCAUGUGAAUAAAGCAUAGUCAUGCUUGGAUUGCUGGAACUUUGCAAUCACAAGUGCAUCAGUUGGCAUACCAUUGACGAGAAGCCUGUUUAAGGCCAUAUAGGGAUUUACGAAGACGACAUACAUUGUUCUCCCCCUGUCUACAAAAUCCUUGUGGAAGAUCCAUAUAAAUUUCAUCUUCGAGAUCGCCAAAAGCAUUGUGGACGUCCAUCUAAUGAGGAGGCCAAUCAUGUAGAGCAGCAAUAGAGAGGAAAGACCGCACUGUGACUUCCUUAGCAACAGGAGAGAAUGUUUCCGUAUAAUCAAAUCAUUCCAUUUGUGUGAAUCCCUUUGCAACUAAUCUGACUUUAUAAUGUUCAAUAGAUCCGUCCGCUUUGUAUUUGAUCUUGUAUACCCAUUUACAGCCUAUGGGUUUUCGAUGCGGAGGCAGGCGAACAAUAUCCCAAGUUUUAUUCUCCAUAAGGGCUCGCAAUUCAUCUUCCAUUGCCCAUUGCCAAUGAGGAUUUUUGGCUGCCUCAUCAUAUGAUGAAGGUUCCUGUUGCUUAGAAAUUUUGCUAAUGCAACACCUAUGUUCGGGCGAGAGAUGAACAAAACUAACAUAGGAGAAGAUGGGAUAAUGUGUACUGGAUUUGUGCAAAGAAGAGGAAACAUAAUCUAUUGUCCAUGUAGGUGGUUGAAUUGUGCGACCUAAUCGCCAAUGAUUAACUGGUACAGGUAGAUAAUCAUCCUGUGAUGCAAUAGGGGAAUUUCCUGCCGGAAUAGGCGAUUCUGGGGAAAUAGAUGCUUCAUUUUCAGGCCUUGCUUCAAUGUCAGGAAAUGUUGUAGAAGGUGACACUUGUGGAAGCAUAAUUACCGGUGCCUGUGGAGGAUCAUCUUCGCUUAAAAAAGGAUGAUGAGAUGUAGCAAGAUCAUCUUGUUGAUAAGAAGGUGAUUUAUCUUGAAAAGGAAAAAUAUCUUCAUGAAAAAUAACAUCUUUACUGACAAAAAAAAAGCCCACUGGAUGGAUCAAGUACUAAAUAUCCUUUAUGUUGAGUGGGAUAUCCCAUGAAUAUGCACUUCAGACCACGAGGACUCAACUUGUCCUGAGGACCCACGGUAGACACAUAGCAUAAGCAUCCAAAAACGCGAAGAUGUCGAAUGUCUAGACGUUUCCCAAAUAACAAUUCGAAAGGAGUCCUUCCAUUGAGAACAUGAGAUGGCAUCCGAUUGAUUAGAUAUGCUACUGUGACCACACAGUCUCCCCAAAACAUUUCUAGAAUUGAGGCUUGGUAUUUAAGAGCUUGGGCAACUUCUAGUAGAUGACGAUGUUUUCUUUCUACGAUCCCAUUUUGUUGGGGAGUAUAGACACAAGAACUUUCAUGAAGGAUUCCAUUGGAAAGGAAUAAUGAAGAGCAUUCAUGAUUAAAAAAUUCGUGAGCAUUAUCAGUGCGAAUCCAUUGUACAGAUUUAUUGAACUGAUUUUUAAUCAAAAUGAAGAAGUUCUUCAGAUUAGAAAGUACUUGGGCCUUGGAUUGCAUGAGAAAGACCUAAGUUGCUCUAGUAUGGUCAUCCACAUUUGUAAGAAAAAAAGAGAUCCAUCAUGAUGUGGAGUAUGAUAUGGUCCCCAGAUGUCCAUGUGUAAUAGUGCGAAAGCUUGAUUAGCACGUGAUGUGCUUUUCGGAAAAGGAAUUCGAGACUGUUUAACCAAUGGACAAAUAGGGCAUUUGGGAUGAGGAAAAGCGGCACUGUGGCCAAGACGCUGAUGAGAUAAAAAAAAUAUUUUUAUUAUUGUUUGCAUUACAUGAAAUGCUCUUACUUAAAGGAAAAGAUGCAAUAUCAAAGCUCUUUGGAAAAGUGUCCUAGAGCCCUCAUGAUUUCUACCCAAGCCCAUCAGUGUCCCAGUCGAAAGGGCCUAAAAGAGACAGAUGUCAGAAUCAAAAAAGACCUGACAGGAGUUGUCUUCACAAAGUCUAGACAUGGAAAUGAGGUUAAACUGGAAAUCAGGAAUGAAUAGAACAUUUUUGAGUUUGAUGGAAGAACUGAGUUGGACAUCCCCAAUUUUAGUAACUAAAGUGUCACUACCAUUUGGAAGACGACCAGAAGUAUGUGCCAAGGGCUUAUCAAUUUUGGAAAAGAAACGUUGAUCGCAGACUUUAUGAUCACUAGCACCUGAAUCAAUAAUCCAUGCUUUAUUGGAAAUAGUACUCAUUAAACAAUGGGAAAUAUCUGUAUAAUUGGUUGUCUAGUCCUGAAUUCCCAUUUGAUUUAAGGCCCUCAUAAUUUGUUGAAGUUGAUCAUUAUUGAAGGGCUAAUUGACCUUAGCAUUUGUUGCGACAGAAAAUUCCCGUUCCUUCUUAUCUGCCGGCUUCCCAUGUAAUUUCCAACAAUUUUCUUUAGUAUGAUAAGGCCGUUUGCAAUAAUCACAAAAUUUACCUUUUCCUUUGUUGGAAAUAGCUUUGUUGGAUGAUGUGGAAGAAUUCUGGCCAUUUGAUCCCUUCCAAGUAGGUACCGACAUGGCCAAUUUUGGGCCGUUCGAUCGCGGUGUAGCAAGGAUCAAAUGUGAGCUGUCUGAUUUUGCUUAAAGCCCUCCACCAUUGGAUCCAAGGAAUGAAUCUCGGCCACUCAUUUGUCUCCCAUAUCCUUGGCCGUCGAAUCUCCCAAAUAAAUAUUGGUCGUUGGCUUGAGAUUGAAAAAAGACUUCAUCUUCUUCCUCGUGAAACCCUAGCAUCCUGCCUGGGUUUCGUGGGGGACCUCCAUGAUUGUGCAUCGCUGCAGCCAAUCGUUGCUCCGGUGAAGCAUUGGCCACAAGGAUGACUUGGUCACCUAUUUUGACAUACUCCAACGACGCCAACCGUUGAGAUUCCUCUUGAACAGCAAGCUGGUAUAUGCGACUGUUGACACCUAAUUUUAGCAAAUCUAGGAAAAUAAAGAAAAUAAAAAUUGCAUUAGAACAAAUAAAAGGAAAAAAUGAAAAAAAAUGUGGGAAAUUGAUUUGAUUGAUUAUGCUUGGAAAUUUGAAAUUCUAACAAAUAUUCGGAUUUUGUUAAAUGCAUAAGCAAUUUAAAAAUCAAGUGAAUAAAGGGCACGGAUUUUACAAAAUGGAAUAAAUCUGAGAAAAAUUGAGCUGAUUGCGAAAUCAUGCUCUGAUUUACAACUUUGAUUUAAUGUGACAGAAGAUGGAAACUCGAAAAAUGCCAUACAAAGCGGCUGUCCGGAAUCAAUAUAAAAGAGAGCUUCAUUUUUUGUAAUGAAGGGGGAAUUUAGAAAAUUCGAGAGAAAAAUUUGCGAAAGAAUUCAUGAGAAAAGGAGAGGAGACUGAAAAAAAAAAAAAAAAAAAAAAGCAGAGAGGAAAGGACGUGCAGCAGAGAAGAGAGAGAGAGAGAGAGAGAAAAAGAGAAAAGAAAAAGAAAAAGGUUCAUGUUCAUCAUCUUCUCCGAGUCUCCCCUCGUCGUUCCACCUGCCGACCUUCGCUGCGCCGGUUGCCGCCACCCUGCCACCGCCUUUGGACACGGUUGCUGAAGCCGCGAAGAUCCCGACGCCGGAGCCGCUCCUGUCCUGCUCUGCCACUCAACCGGGAUGCAAGAUGCCCGAAGGUUUGUGCCUGAAGCUCUUCGCGACGCCAGGUUGGGUGCGAGCGAUAAAUGCGUGGGAUGCAAACAUUGGUCCCUGGAAGAAACAUGAUGAGAUCCUUGUGAAAUAUAAGAAUUGAAAUUGAAUCAUGUGCAUGGGUAUAUGCAUAUGGCAUGAUGCAUGAUCUACUUAUGAAAGUAAAUUGAUGCUAUUUGAUAUUAAAAAUACGAUCAUGAAGGCAUGAAUGGAUCUUAUGGUGAUGUAUGCUUGAUAGCAUGGAUGAUAUGAAUCAUGAGUAUGUAUGUGCAUAUGGCAUGGAAUGAACCUCAUGGAAAUACAAGUAUGGUUACAUGGUGGUAUAUGCACGAUGACAUGGUAAGAUAUGCAUGACUGCAUGGUGAUAUAUGCACGACUGCGUGAUGAUGUAUGCUUAAUAGCAUGGAUGAUAUGUGCUUUACUCGUGAUAUCUUGAUUGUCUUGCUUGAUGCAUUGUGUAGUUUGAUGGAUCUUUACUGUUGAGUGGUUGUAUUCACCCCUUUGGGGAUCAACAUUUCAGAUUGAGCUAUGCCUCUAGCACCUGUCACGUGUGGUACGUUUUAUGGAUUACCUUUUGAUGUCGAGGUCGAGUGCACGGAGCACCCUUGCUUCGGUGUUCAUGAUUUGGUAUUUAUCUGCCUCCGUGUUUUGGUCAUGUACGAUGUGGGCUUGCCUAAUGGCCCUAUAGUACAAGAGUUUUUUACUGUCCAUGUUCGCCAAGAUGGGAGGAUGAUAGGGAUGCUGCCGCCGCCGCCGGCCGAUGCACCAGGAUGGGUGUGAUAGGAGCGUGUGAUUGGUGGAGGUUGCCACUUUUUGGGAUGGCCGACACUAGCCGAUGGAUAGUUGUACAUGUUUUAUGUAUAGUCGGGUUCUUUUUUAUUUUAGUGCAACUUAGUUAUAGUCUUGGCCUUUUUGUCAUACCGACUUGUGAAAUCCAUCUUAGUAUGUAAAUAAAAGUGAUUUGGCCAUAAGAUGCAUAUAUAUAUGAAAGUUUGUAGUUGGUGUGUAUUGCAUGGUAUUGUUUGGUUGUGUAUAGGUUAAGGAGAUGAUAAGUAUGCUUCCGUUAUAUGAUCUGCGCUAGGACCGAUUGAGAUGGUACAAACCCCCAGGAUUUAUGGACCCGCUGCAAAUUUGAAAUGGUAUCAGAGUGGAAUGUUAUUAGGACAAGUGAAAAGGUAAGUAAGGGUAAGCGGACUGUGAUGACCCAAGCAGAUCGGAGGCCGCGUUGGGGGGUGCCACAAAUGAUCCUUUCGUUUUUCAACCCAUGAACCAAGCCUACGUUACGUCCCUUGCAAAGUCUCUUCUAGUUAUGGCACUUGGAUUAACCUAGGGGUUCACAUGUUUUAAGCAUCGCUCGAAGAAGUGUGAGCAAUAUUAUUGCUUUCUUAUUUUGAAGGGUUCUUGACUUGUAAACCCAGAGAUGAUUACAGAAUAUCACUCAUUCUUUCAAAAGCCUCAACUCAAAGAGUCCAUUUUGUUAAGCCAUUGACCAGGCCCAUAUCACAGUCCCUUUUAAAGACCUCUCAGAUUGGUCAGAUUGUACCACUUGCGAGAUUGCACAAACCCUUGUUUGGCAUGAUGAUAGUAAGAUAGAGUGAUUGUCAAAAUCAUGCAUCAAAUGUCAGGAUGAAACGACCAUUUUUAAUGAUGACGAGUGAAAAGUCCUUUCAGACGAGGAGAUCCCUCAUUUGACACAUCUAUGAUACUCAUGUGUUCAUAUUGGAAUUUUUUUUUGAAAUCUUUCCCAAUUUAAAUUAGGUAAUGCAAGAUUGAUAGAAAUCAUCACGCAUGAACCUUACUUGAAUUUAUGCAUGUCUGUGAAUGCAUGUUGUCUCUCCUAUAACUAUGUUUUGCAAGAGACAUAUCCCCCAAGGAACAGAGAUGUCACCAGGUAAAUAUAUCUUUAUUCAUACCUUAAAUACUUGUCAUUAUACAUGUAUUCCUUUUCAAGUACUAGCACUUGAUGGAGUUGCCCCCCAAAGAUUUUUCCUAGAUUCAUCAUAAUCAGGUGAUCGUAGAAUGGUACGGGUCCUGGAAAAUGAAUCCCAAUUUAGGCGACUGUAGAAUGGUACAGGUCCUAGACAACACCUAUUUCUUCAUUUAGGCGACCGUAGAAUGGUACAGGUCUUGAAAAUGAAUUCAAGUUUAGGCGACCGUAGAAUGGUACGGGUCCUAGGCAAUACUAGUUUAGGCGACUGUAGAAUGGUACGGGUCCUGGAAAAUCAUUUUUUCGUCAAUGCGACCGUAAAAUGGUACGGGUCCUAAGCAGCAUUCAAGCGACCGUAGAAGGGUACGGAUCCUGAAAAAUGAAUCCCCGUUUAGGCGACCGUAAAAUGGUACGGGUCUUAGACAGCAUUCAGGCGACCAUAGAAUGGUACGGGUCCUGAAAAAUGAAUCCUCGUUUAGGCGACCGUAGAAUGGUAUGAGUCUUGAAAAAUCAUUUUUUUUCGUCAAGGAGACCGUAGAAUGGUACGGGUUCUAGACAACAUUCAGGCAACCGUAAAAUGGUACGGGUCUUGGAAAAUCAUUUUUUUUUUCGUCAAGGCGACCGUAGAAUGGUACGAGUUCUAGACAGCAUUCGGGCGACCGUAGAAUGGUACGGGUCCUAGAAAAUCUUUUUCGUCAAGGCGACCGUAGAAUGGUAUGGGUCCUAAACAGCAUUCAGGCGACCGUAGAAUGGUAUGAGUCCUGGAAAAUAAAUCUCCGUUUAGGCGAUCGUAAAAUGGUACAGGUUCUAGACAUAACUAAACAAUGCCAUACCAGGCGACCGUAAAAUGGUACGAGUCCUGGAAAAUAAUUUUUCGUUUAGGUGAUCGUAGAAUGGUACGGAUCCUAGACACAACCAAACAAUACCAUACUAGGCGACCAUAGAAUAGUACGGGUCCUGGACAUGUAACACCAAUAUAUCUUGAGUUACUCUACCAUCCUUGAAGGUAAGUAAUUCUAGGAAAGUUCCUUUAUCAUUUGCAUUAGCAUUUCCAUGUAUCAUAUAAAUUUCAUUCAAAAUGGGAUUCAAUUUUCCCAAAAAAAAAAGGAGUCAUUUAGUUCAUGUGCAUGAUCAAAAUUUAAGUCUCAACUUGUCUUUGAAGGCAACCUCUAUGAGCUCACCUUCAAAGAGGAGCAGCUGUUGACACCUAAUUUUAGCAAAUCUAGGAAAAUAAAGAAAAUAAAAAUUGCAUUAGAACAAAUAAAAGGAAAAAAUGAAAAAAAAUGUGAGAAAUUGAUUUGAUUGAUUAUGCAUGGAAAUUUGCAAUUUUGACGAAUAUUCGGAUUUUGUUAAAUGCAUAAGCAAUUUAAAAAUCAAGUGAAUAAAUGGCAAGAAUCUUACAAAAUGGAAUAAAUUUGAGCAAAAUCAAGCUGAUUGCGAAAUCAUGCUUUGAUUUAAUAUGACAGAAGAUGGAAACUCGAAAAAUGCCAUACAAAGCGGCCAUUCGGAAUCAUUAUAAAAGAGAGCUUCAUUUUUUGUAACGAAGGGGGAAUUCAGAAAAUUCAAGAGAAAAAUUUGCGAAAGAAUUCGUGAGAAAAGGAGAGGAGAAUGAAAAAAAAAAAAAAGCAGAGAGGAAAGGGCAUGCAGUAGAGAAGAGAGAGAGAGAGAGAGAGAGAGAGAAAAGAAAAGAAAAAGAAAAAGGCUCCCGUUCAUCAUCUUCUCCGAGUCUCCCCUCGCCGUUCCACCUACCAGCCUUCGCUGCGCUGGUUGCCGCCACCCUGCCACCGCCUUCAGACACGGCUAUUGAAGCUGCGACGAUCCCGACACCAAAGCCACUCCUAUCCUGCUCUGCCACUCGACCGCGACUGCUCAGCGCAGAUCUCGCCUUUGUCGAACCCCUUUGCCGAUCUCGCCUUUGUCGAACCCCUUUGCCGAUCUCCGCUGCUCAAGAUCCGCCCAUGAUGCCUCUGCCUAACGCCUGCCGAAGCCGCAAUGAUCCCGGCGUCCCUGCUCACCUCCGCCCGUGAAGUCGCCAUCGCUGCCUAGCCGAGAUCCAGGCGCCGGAGCUCCUCGCCGCAACCGCCCAAGUCCUCUGCCCAUGACUUGUAGUGCCCGACGACCCCUCCAUCUCUACCGCUAUCGACGACCUGCCGACUCCGCCCGUUGUCUGAGCACUGGCCCCCCUCCGAGCGACCGCCCCACACAACCCUAGCUACUCCCACGACGCCUGACCCACGACGUACGACCCGCCUGCAACCUAUGAGAUCUCACACCGUCGCUCCACACCUCUGCCCCGCUCGCGAAGCCGCCAUUGCUGCCGAGCUACUCCACUAGCUCAACGCCCCGAUGCCCUCGCUCGCCUGCUGUGCCUUGCUGUCGUCAUCCGCGAGCUCUGCCCGACGCUGCUCGCCACCGCUCCGUAAUUCCCCUCACCGGCGAUUGCACUAGCGCUCGACGUCCACUCCGCUUCUGCUCUGACGUCGUUGUUUCCCCCGCGAUGCCCCCUCACCGGUGACUCCUCUCACCGGAGUAGCCCCCCACGGUUACCAAGCCCAAUUUUGAAGAAAGAAAGAAAAAAACACAUUAGGUAGUUUUUUUAGUUUAUUUUAUUUGUUUUUAUUUUUAUUUUAUUUUACUUUAUCUUGUUUUUUUUAGUAUAAUUAGUCCUUAAUAUAUGAUUGGAAAUUCCAACAUAUUACCCGAUUCGCAACCGCGCUUUGGGUUUUUUUAUUUCAUCUUUAAGGCUUUAGAUGAAAUAAUUAAUCAAGCGAGAAUAAAAUUGAUAUUUUGAUUUUUAAGGCUUAAGAUCAAUUUAUCGAUUUUAUCAGCGAAAUAUCACCCAUUUAUGUAAACGAUGUGUGAUAUUUUUAAUGAUUUUGGAUGAUUUAUUUUGUCUUGACUGCUUUAUUUAUCUUGAAAUGUGUUUGAAUUAGAUUAUCGCAUGCUUUAGGGUAAUUUACAUAUUUAGACUAAGCAUUUUAUUUAUUCUAAUUUUUUGAAAUAAAAAAUACCAAAAACAUGAAUUAGGAUGUUAGAUUUUCAUUUCAUUAAUUUGAAUUGCAUGUUUAAUUAUUUGACAUUUUUUUAAUUUCGAAAUUAAUUAAAAAAACAAAAAUAAUCAUGCAUAUGCCAUGUAAGAUUAUGGCAUCCUUUGUACGUCAUCGCGCAUUUGGGUAAAAUUGCAUAUUUCAUUUUAAGUUUAGAUUGAUUUAGAUAGACUGCAUUUUAAGUUAGAGAUUGGUAAGUUAAAAUAACAUCUUUGUUUUAAUUAGGGAAGUUGGAUAGAAUCUUAAUUUAGCUAGAUAAUUUUCACAUUUUUCUAAUUUCGAAAUUUCAUAAAAAAAUACAAAAAAAAAAUGUCUUUGAAUGAAUUAGUUUCAAUCUCUAGGAUAUAUUGCAUUUUUUAAAAAAUAAAACAAAAUAAAAAUGUCAUUGCAUGUCAUUUAGAAUUAGAUUCAUGAAAUGCAUGCCAUUUAGUGAUUGAUGCUAGGUCCGUUCAAUUAGAAAUUGCAUGUCAUUAGAAUUGGGUCAUUUAGUUAAUACUGCAUUGCCUAUUGCAUGAUUUUCAUUAAUCAAGUGAAAACAAAAAAGAAAUUGCGUGUUAAUUAGAAAUCAUAUUUAGGGUCGUUGAUGUGGAUUAUAAUUUAACAUUGCAGAUACUUUGGUUGCUUUGAGAUAAAUUUUUGCAAUUUAUUCAUUGUUUAUCCGUGUGUUAAAUUGGUGGUUUGCACACCCGUAUAAUCAUCUCACAUGUUAGGGAAAUAGAUUUAAAAUCAAUUUAAGCUGCCUACAAAAACAUUUUUUUAAAAUAAAAGAAUGGUAUCAAAAGGGCAUUAGAGAAAUCUAGUGUAACCAAGUCCCCGUACCCAUAGUCUCUAGUUCGUAGGAGUAAAGUAAACUCCCGUUACUUUAAUUGUGUUUCUAAUCGACCCACCAAAAAAAUAGAUUAGUGGCGACUCCUAGAUAAAAUCUAUCUGCAUGUUAAGAAUUUGAACAUAAGUCGCGAAUUGGUAUAGGCUUGAAAAGUCCGAGUUAAGUCUAGGCUUAACAAUCCAUUAGCCAAACCCUAGGUGAUUCACACCUGAAAAAAUUGGUCACGACAGUGGCCGAAGGGAGGAACCGGGUCCAUGGCCAAGAUCUAACUCCGAAAUGGCAAGUAUGUUUCGUUAAGGAUAAGUAGAAAUUGUGUGACAUUCUCUUGUUCUUUUAUGGCUCGAUAUUGUGCCAAGGUAUUUUCGAGCCCCUCCAACUUCUCCUCCGCCAUUUCAAGUUCAUUCCAGAGAGCGGACAAACAGUUGAAGAUGACAGAAAUGGACAAGUUUCCCUGUUUGAGUUCUGAUAGAGCUUGGGUUAACGAAAAAAAAUUUGCUCGAUCGAGCUUCCCAUACAUUUCUCGGAGGUUGUCCCAUAGUCUCUUAGCGUCUUUGUUAGUGGUAUUCCGACAAUAACUUCCGGUGUAAGGCAGUUCCCGAUCUAGGUCCACACCAACUGAUUACAUUUUCUCCAUUGUCGGGCAAGUCGAUUGUUAGAAGGAUUCGAACAGAACCGUCCAAAAAACCAUCUUUGUCUUUGGUCACCAAGGCUUGUUGCAGCUCGCGAGACCAUAUGGAGUAAUUUUCUGGUCCCGAGAGCUACUGCGUGACAAGACAGAGCUUGGGUUCGUCGACGGCAGACAUGUACAGUGGGUCUCCAAGUUCCGACCGUCCUUGGAUGAGACCUGCAAGCGGAAAGAAAUUGGGUCCGUAAGUCAGGUAGGGAUUUCCUCCCAGACCCGAUGGACCCGAUUCAUGAUGACCCGAAAAAGACCAACCCGCCCCAUAUCCAUGACCCGCCCCAGCAACAUGUGAUGGACUUCCUCCCAAUCCACCAUUUGUUCCGAAUUCUCCAGGACUUGGAUUUUGGGCCGGUCUUCCUGGGUUCAGCUGAACGAGUAUGGGUACCCAUUGAAUAUAUGGACCUGAAAAAAUUUGUCCAGGGUUAUCCUGUCUGAUCCUUACAACGUGUUCAACAGACUCGAUUGUCCUUCAUUAUAUGAUGGUCUUCUCUAGUGUUUUGCAGGAAACGUUGUCUCCUCCUCGGUUGUUGAGAGACUAUUCGUCGCCUUUGGACACACUAGAAUUUGUACCUUGAUUCUUCGGCAUGGUGCUCCCUUUGUCGACUAAAAAGAAACUUCACGGUUGUUGACUAAAAAAUCACAGGUCUGGCGUUGAUGCUGCCAAUCCAAGAAGAUGAAACAAAAAAGAACGAAGGAAGUUUUCUCAAGGAUAAAUGUAUAGCGGAAGCUAGAUGGAUGAGGGAGGCUCUGAUACCAUGUCAGAAGUUUGGAUAGAGAGUAAAGUUUGAAAUUCUCUUCAGUAUCAUUCAUGUGUAUAAUUACAUCACCUUUUAUAAUACAAGAGAUCUAAAUCUAUAAGGAAGGAAAAUAUACAAUAAAUUAAAUAAAAGAAUAUUCACGCAAUCAAGAUCAUUUAAGAUCAAUUCCUAUCAGCACGAGAUCAAUUAAGACAACUAACCAUCAGCAACCGUAUCUUCAACACUAUUCAAUCGCAAUUACAAGCAUGAAACCUUCUCGUAGUAGCUCCAUAACACAAAACCGACUCAAAAACUCACAAAGAAAACUACCUGAACACAUUCGGCGUGAUCGAUGUCGCAACCCGAUCUCGCCGCCCUCGCGUCAAAGGGAGGAAAGGUCAAGCUUAGGGGUACUUGAUCUCAAGAUCACGAGCUCUUCCAAGCUCGUACCCGCGUGACACCGAAUUUUAUACAGUCUAAUCAUUUAUAACAACCUAAAAAUAAACGAGAGUUGCCACUAGCCUUAUUUUGGGGGUCGGCUAGAAAACUCAAUCGAGAGUCGGGAGUGUUCUCUCGAUUCCUACGUAACCAGAUAUCUAAGUUCGGGGACUUGGGUUACGCUAAAAUUUCUAUUAACGCCCUUUCGGUAUCUAAACAGUAUGUUGUGUUUUUCUAACAUGUCCAUGCGUCUCUUUUUAUAUUUUCGGGAUCAUCAAUUCUAAACUAAGUGAUCAUGCGUGGUUAGUCAUUUUCAUACUAUUCUAUUUCUAGAAAAACAAGAAAAAAGAAAACAAUCAAUAGAAUUGAAAUUGCAAGACAGUAAGUAAACAAACAAGGAAAGCAGUAAAUCUGUCAUGCAAUCCUAAAAAAAAUAAAAGAGAUAAAAGAGAAAUAUGAUUGAAAAAGAUGAAAGAAAGAAAGAAAACCCGCAACUUGUCGGGUUUUAUACAACAAAUGGAACCCGAGACAUAUGUCGGGAAAAUGAAUAGUACAUGAUAAUGGUCUCACGCAAAGGUCCAUCUUUGGGAUCCUAAUCUAAACCUCAUCUAAGAAACAUGGAUAACUAGGUGCAUACAAAUGAAAGAAACAAUCAUCACAUAUCAAAACGAUCAAAAGCAAGACAUAUUUUGUGUUCAAGAAGAGUAACUAAAGUCACAAAGUCUAUAGGUCAAAUUCUAGGUGAUACCCCAAGGUUCAGCAUUAUUAUAUAUCACACCUAAAUCAUUCAUCUAAUAAUCACAUGUGAAACGUAUAACAUGACAAGCAUUCAAACCAUAUGACCUUAUUGUCAGAUUAAGAACACACAAUUUUAUAAAAAUCAUUCUGGGACAGCAGACUUUCAGAUAUGAGGAGCAAACAUAUGACAAGGCAAACAAUUGCCAAAUCAAGCACUUUAUAUGUCUAUGGAAAGCUUGAGAAAUAUAUUACAAAUCUCUAGAAGACAUUAAGUCCUAAUAACGUCAUCUACCAGCUCAUUCCAAGGACCGAAGCAUAUCAGUCAAAACAGGCAUACGAAUUUCCACAUCAGAGCAGAACACAACAAUUUUCCAGAAUUACUUCCUAACUUUUAAAGAAGAUUUCAUGUGGCUAAUGAUAUCGGAUCAGGGUGUAUUAUAGCUCGUUGGAAAGCUAGUUGAACCAUCUUCAACUCUCAUGAAGGCAUCAAACACAGAAAACCACAGCAGCUCGUAUCAAGUCAUUUGCACAAAAGGUUAUCCGAAACAGAGAACCAAUCAGAACAGCAAAAUUUCAAACAAGGUUAGGGAUAUUCUAGACAUACUCGACCUGGGUAAAUGAUCUUCAAUAAUCACGAAAUUUUUAUUUGAUAUUGAUUGGAACCUAAUGAACAACUUUCAUUUAGACAUCAACUUUAGAAUCUAAUCACAAAAAAAAAAUCAUGUGAAAAUGGCAAACGGCACAUGUCAUGCCAGAAACUUAUCAUCGAAGAAUUGAAGUCAGAAUUUCCAGAUUCAGCCCCUAAAUUUAGUGGCUUGUUUCUCACAGCAAAUGAACUUCAAUUUUAACAGGCAACCUAUUGAUUCAAAGCUUUAAGUAGUCAGAAUUAUAUUCCUAGCUGAUUUCUUCCCUUAAUUUCUACGUUUAGUUGCCCAAAUCAGCCCAUUAAGCACAUUGACUCAUUAACCUCCGAAAUUCUAGAACAGAUUAACAUAGGACGAUCAAUCGCCAGUCAACUCCUACUCAUGGAUUGCUGAACAUAUGCUGUUCAAAACUUUCAUUCGGAUUCUAUUAGAUGUCCUACCCAUGAACCUAGAAAAUUUCAAUGUCAAAGUUGGUCUCAGUGACCAGAGAGCAAGAAACAGUCUUAGUAUGUCGCCCGAUUCAGGUAAAACAUGCUUAACACUAAUAAUGAACAGGCUUCAAUCAAUUAUAUGCAAACGACGCAAACUGAACAGCAACACCAAACUCACAAUAACUAUCAAUUCAGUGGCCAGUAAACAAAAAUAGCUAAAGAAAGAUCCACAAACAAAAUCGCCCUAUCAGAGCAUCGUCAUUUCUGAAUCUAAAGCUUGUACGGUUCAAAUGUCAAACCUAGACAAACUCUUCCACUAACGAAACUUCAAGAGAGGAUAGAUUGAGCGCAAAACAGAGUGAUCGAGAGAGAGAGAGAGGGAGAGAGAGAACCUGAUCGAGCUAGAGACAGAGAGCCGUUGUCGCCGAUCAGUUUUGGAGCUCUAUCCUUGGAGCUGAGCCGAGACUUCCCACUCGGUGCGGACCCGAACCCCUGUAUCUCGAGCUCCAGAAGGGUGUGAUCAAUCAAGUGAGCGAGAGUCCGAAUGAGAGAACCCGCUUGAGAGAGAGAGCGGAACCCCUGAUCGAUCCAGAGAGAGAACCCGAUCCAGAGUCAGCGAUAUCCCUGUCCGAAAGCGAGAUCUCGCGCGCCUCCGAUCCUCGCCAACAACCGUCCGUCCAAAAAUGGGAAAACCGAGAGAUCCAGAGAGGGAGCUCUGAGAGAGAAUCGAGAACCGAGAGUCUCUCCGCUCGAGCGAGCUAACCUCCGAUCUCCAGAAAAAGAGCCAGAUCUGCUGUAUUCGUCAUCGCCGACGUCGCCGAUCAGAGAGCCGAACCCGCUCGAGAGCCACCGAUAGAGAAAAACGAAGAACCAGAGAGAUCGAGCGAGAGCCACCUCGUGCGGACGAACACCGGCGGCGAAAUCUGGAACGAACUACCACUCCACUCGCCGGAGACGGGGAUUUCAGCGGAGGAAGAGGUUAUUACCACCGAGAAGAGAGAGAUCUGGAGAUUUAGGGUUUCCUCCAAUCUGCCAUGGAAGAGCUCCAUCGAGCAGUUACAAAGAGGGAGAGAGAGAAUCCGGGGAGAGAGCGUCCGGUUUUUUUUCAAAGAAAGAGUGCCCGCGCCCCCCUGAUUGCCAAAGAAAGUCUCCGUUUUUUCCCCUUUUCAUUUUUUGUUUUCUUCUUUUCAUUUUUUUUCUUCUUUUCUUUACUUUUUUUUUUCAUUUUCAUUUUUUUUUAUGUUUUCAUUCAUCUUUUUUUUUUUAAUCUUUUUGGCUCUUUAUUUUUUAUAUUUUUUGCAAAAUGUUUGUUUAAAAUGUUGACAAAAAUUGUAGGUGUCAAUAAUCACGCAAGCUCCGGUACUCGGGAUUGGGCUUGGAGCCGUGGGUGUAACUGACGGCGGUCCAAACGACACCGUCGAGGCAGCCGAAGAUGGUGGUCCUCGAGGGCUGGUCCGGGGAGCCGGCGACCAAGUCGGGGAUCCGAUUGGCGAGCCUGAUGCAUUGGGCGCCGCCGAAGAACGAAGCAAGGACGACGGCAAGGGUCAAGAAAUUGGUCGGAGAGAGAGGAACGCUUCUCGAGAGACGAAUCGAGCGGGUCCCAGAGAGCGGCCGAGAGAGCUCUUCCAUGGCAUCGCCGUUGUCCAGCAGGAGCGGAGCGUCCGCAAGGGGGGAGGAGGAGGAGGAGCGAUUGGAUCGGGUUAUGGAUCUGCUUGUUCUUCCAAAUAUUAUUUUAUUAUUAUUAUUAUAUUUUAACCCAUUUUCACGCUUUUCUUUUCCUUUUUUUCACAACAUUUCCAAAAACUUACCGAAGGAUUUUUUUUUGGGCAAUCCCAGAGCUUUUCAGGUGAUUUCAAUUUAGACAAAACAUAUCACACCUUAGAAAAAUGUUUUCAAAGAAGUCAUUUUACGAUAUUUUUCGAUAUUCGACUUAAAUCUAAAAAUGAAUUGAAAAACUUUUAGUUUGUGCCAAUUAAAACUUCUUGUAUUAUAUAAAUGGGCUGAAAUGAUCACACGCCAUCUCUCUUCUCGUAAUUUUUGGAGAACCCACAACAAGUAGCUCGAUUUUCUUCCAACCUUGUCCGAAUCAACCCACGCUAAGAAAUGUGGCCUUUAUGCAUCUUGUUCAUCCACUCCCCUAAAAAGGUUGCUCGAUCAGAAGUUGCCGCCGGUCACUCAAGCAUUUUAGCCACAGAGUAGAACUAGAUUUUAAGAACUCUUAUUUUUCCAUCAUUAUUUGAAAUUUCCAGGGGAAAAUUCCAAAUAAAAGCCUAAAAUGGUGUUAUUUUCUCAAAAAAUUGCAUAUAAUCUACAUUAUUUCAAAUAAAGGUUUGAAAUGUCCAAAUUAGUUUCAAACAAAGGCCUGAACUUGCUGGUUGGCACAUGUGACUUUUCCAAUAGUCUGAACAAGGACACUUUUGUCGGAAAAAGUUUUCAAUAAAAAGAGAAGCCAAAUUUAUAAAAGUAAAAAACCCAAAUUUGUUGCUUUCUUUUCCCCAAAACACUUGAAAGAACGAAGGUCGAGAUCUAAGGUUUCGUUCGUUUUGCGGAAAAUAAUUUAUAGGAAAAUGUUUUUCGGAUUUUUCGACGUUUGUUUUACGGAAAAUGAAUUGUUUGGAGAAAAUAUUUUCUAUUUCAUUUUCAGGUUUCACCAAAAUACUGGAAAAUAAUUACAUUUUCUGGGAAAAUGGCUUCUCGAAAAAUAUUUUUCCAGAAACGUCACAUUUUCCGCGAAACAAGCGAAGCCUAAAUUUUGCACAUUGUGACAUUUUGGGGAGUGGCCGUAUAAAUGCAGAAGUUUCGAAAAACAUAAACUUUUCUGUCUAUCUAGUACUUAGUAGAAAUUUACAUUUUUUUUAAGGAUGAACCCCAUCCAUUGUUUUCAUUUAUGCUUCUUAAGAGUUAUUUACGGCAUCUGAAUCUUUCUUUGAGUUUAUGAACCGAAGUAAUGCAUUUAAGGAUAAUUUUCUGAUAUUAUUGUAAUUGGGCUCUUUUUAGGUAAUUUACGAUCCGUGGAAUUGAGAUCAUCAAUGUGUCCCCAUCAGCUUAGAAAACCAUAUGGGUAUUUUGGUAAUUUUCUGCUUAUGAAUGUUGAAGCCCGAAAUUUUAUUGACCAUCCAGGCGUCCAUUUUUUGCAAAAAUAUUUUAAAAAAAAAAUAUAUAUAUAUAUAUAUAUAUAGUAAUAAAAAAUAACGAAAAAUAAAUAAACAAGGAAAAUAGAAAAAAAAAUAAAAAUCAGGUGGCCCAUCUAUAUCAGGCCCGGUUCCUUUAGCAAGGUUUUCGGCCCACCUUCUUACCUCUCUUUGGGCUUAAUUUUCUCCUUUUUUUUAGGGCCUAGUAGUAUUUCUUUUUAGCCCAUUUGAAUUUACAUAGGCCCAGCCCCUUUGCCUUUCUUUUCCUUCUCCUCCUCCUCAUGCUCGCGGCUGGGAGCGUGGAGCGCGUGACCGUGACCGUGACCGUGACCGUGACCGAGCGUCUGUGAGGAACGAGGGCACGAGAAACAAGCCGGUGACGGAAGCAGAUCCAAGAGAAACCUUAUAGAAGGUGCUUAGCUGGUUGAGUGUGUAAGCAAAACGUAAAAAGAUUCCUUCGCCUGGAGGGAGGUCGCUGGCUGAAGAAGGUGCUCCUACAAAAGAGAGAGAGCUCGGUGGGGGAAAAAAAAGAGCGAAAAAAACAGAGAGAAAAACGAAGGGAGAGAGCUCGCCGGAGGAGGGGUAUUCGAGAGGAUUGUCUGGAUCCCCCACGAGGAUCACCGGCGAAUCCUUUCCCCCCGGCCGCCGUGCUUUCUUUCGCUCAUUGUCACCGGAGUUUGAUAUCUUCGAUUGGGGACCACCGUUUCCGAGAGUUCCCCAUUUCUGCGAUCCUUCCCUUUCACACUCGAAAUCGUCGUCGACAAGUGAACGCUGAGAUAAGAUGAGUCUAGCUCUAGCUUCUGCCAAUAUCGCCGAUUACACAUCGUUCCCGGACCAGGUGAGUCUUCUCUCGGACGUGCUCCGUGUAUGCUCUGUUUUGGCCGGGAGCGAGGCGCUCGAUUUAAGCGACGAUAUCGCGAGAAAAUAUGGAUAGGAUGGGACUCGUUUGUUGCUGAAUAGCACGAUUUGAAUGUUCUUACGUCGUUCCUAGAUCGAGAAACCCAUCUAUGUUGAAUCGGGACCUUGCACGCCAACCGUUCGAUAAAAUGCUUCAAUGAAGACCCGAACUCGAAUCGUUAAGAUCGAAGCUUAGAUCUUCGUUAUCUGCGUGAUUUGUUCUAAUAUUGUUGUCCAGAUACUGAAAUCGUCGUUUUAUUCGAUUUUUGAGUCGCGUCGUCUGAGUCGGCCAUGAACUUCUCGCCGGAAAAUCCAUCCCCCUCGCUGGAGAAGCCCGCCAUUUGAGGCUGCCCUCGGACUUCUCGCCGGAAAAUCCAUCCCCUUCGCUGGAAGAGCCCGCAGUUUGAGGCCGCCCUUGUUUGUCCGUUCCCCUUUGUUUUGAUGUGCAUAUCUUUGUUUGCUAUGCUAGGAUGGAUGGAUUUAUGUUAAUAUGCGACUUCAGACUCCGGAUUUAUUCCGGCGACAUAGGAACCGCCAGUCAGCUAAUGAUCGGCGGUGGUGGCUGAAACUUUGGCUGAAGCGCAUCAGAAAAAUAAUGGAGGUUCGGGUGAAGUUGAAGGAGGUUGAACAAGACGGCUCGCGAAGAAGGAGAUGUUGUGUGAAAAAAAUAAUAAUAGUAAAAAAGGAGAAAAGAAAUUUAAAAAAAAAAAGAAAAUAGAAAAGAAAAUAAUAAAAGAAUAGAUAUAUGAGCUGGGGUGUUAAUAAAAGCUGAGCUGAGAAUGUGGGCCGUGUCCGUUUGGAUUUGGUCUAGAUUUAAGGACUGGGUUGGCUUUGAUGUGGGCUGGCGGUGGCUUUCGGCUGGGCUUUGGGUUUUUUAGGAAUUGGGUUCAUUGGUUGAGCCCAGUUAAGCCUAAGACCAGAAGACCCAACCCGGACUAUUAGUAUUAGGGUCCGGGUCCCAAGAAAUACAGAAAAUUCCAUAGAAAAUUCAGAAAAAUUACAAAUCCCUGGAAAAAGCUUUAAAAAUUAGCUUUUCAAGUAGUUUCGUCUUAAAAAGUGAAAAAUCCUUCAAAAAUUGGAACCUAAAAUUGAAUAAGAAGGCUUUACGAUAGGGAUUUAUGGAUGCCAUUUUUUUUCUAGAGAAAAUAUUAGGUUUGUGUGUCUUUACUCCGAUGACAUUCGGUUGCGCAUCAUAAUACCUUGAGUGUUAUUUUCAUUUUUAGAAUGGUUAUGAUGAACCCUAAAAAUCUUCGAUAGGCUGCCCUAACACUUUAAUUAGCACUUAAUCAAGUUUAGAUACUGAAAGGACAUUAGUUCUAAAACUAGUGUAAUCAAGUCCCUGAAUUCAAAAUCUCCAGUUGCGUGGAAAGUGAAAUAUUCUUUCAUAUCUCAUUUGGUUUCUAACCAACCUUAAUAUGUUGGUAGCGACUCUUCAUUUGAAACUCACAUAGGGUUAGUUGAAUGGAAAUUGAACAACUAAUGUCACACAAUGUAUGGAUUUGGCAAAAUCAGCACUAACUGAUGGCCAUUGGCCUAAAUUUGGCAAUCUCUCUAAACAUGUUUCCCCUCGAGGGUGGGUCAUGACAAGGAAUAUUAAAGAUGACACUUGGAUCUGUUUAUUUUGCCAAAAAUGAAUGAUUUGAAAAAUAUUUGAAAAUAAACAUUUGUAUCGCUUGAAAUAAUUUGUCAAUGAAUAAUAUUUUCAUUAUUCAACAACAAUUUAUGUCUAAACAAUUUUAUAUAUAAUAAAAAUAUUUUUCAUUCAUUCAUUUUUAUAAGUGAUACGAUAAUUAUUUUUAUGAAAAUAUUUUUCUAAUCAUUUUAUUUCUGCGAAACAAAUGCACCCGUAUGAUUCCUCCGUGGUGCUAGAGAUACACCUUCACGAAAUUAUAUGAACUCAGGAUAGCUGGAGUUUAGAUGGUGGUGCUCUGCCUCUGCUAGGAAUUUCUAUAAUAGCAUAUUUGCAACCAAUAACAUAUUUUUAUGAAUCAAUUUUGGAUCAGAUAGAAAUGCUUUUGAGUGACCGAUGAGUUAAUGAAUUUGGGAUUUAGUUGUUGUAUUAGUUUAUCCUGUCAUUUGGUCUUAUUUUAAGGAACCGUUGCUUGCAAUUAUGCUGAGAUACAAAUGUUUCCCUUUGGGGAUUAUGCUUGUGAGUCCCCGUACAUUAUCGAGAUAUUUAUGAUCUGCUAUUGGAAACAAUGUCUGCUCGGCUACAUUGACGCGUCGAUAUAUUAUGCUUGUUGUGUGGUGAUUAGAUCAUGGGCGAUUGUACUCAUAUUUUAUGUCUAUUUGUUGAUAAUAUCCAAAAAUUAUUGAGUUACUUGCAGUGUUGAAGUACCUUGGACUUUUGGCAAAUGCCUAUGUGUCUAAUCAUUACUAGAGUUAAGGAUCACUUACUACGCAAGCAAGCUCAUUCCUUUAUAAUAUAAUGUUUUUCAGAUUUAAUUGAAACUGGUGAGAAUGAAUAGUGAAUUGAGAUUGACUAAUAUCUUGAGAAUGCCGGAAUAAUUAGAAGCUUUCUUUGCAAUUAUGUGUAUUUAAACAGAAGACUCGUUAGUCUAUUUGUGUUAGAUGUGUCAAACCUUUGGAUACGUAUGCGCUGGUUUCCUUUUUUUGUUGUUGUUGAGAUUAGCAAUUAUCUUGGAGAUUUUGGACAAAUUAUACAUUUAAUUUCAAUCCAGUAGCUUAUUUAAAAUUUAGUUAUUUAUGAAAAUAAUAUACAUUUGGGUGUGGCACAAAACAAUAAUGUGUUCAUAAGGCAUUUUUUAGUUAUCUUCCGAUUCCGGCAUAGUGCUUUCUUGAAUUGUUUUCUUUAUUUUGAGAAGCUUGAAAUAGUCAUAAAAUUAACGAUUACGUGUUAUUUGGAAAUGUCAUGUACAAGAAAAUACUUGGUGAUAAUCCUUCGAAAAAGUAAUUUCUUAUUUGCUGAAUUUUUUUUGUUGUUGUUGCAAAGUCAAGUGUUGAUGUCUAAGCAAAUUGCAGGUGAAGUUCGUUUCCAAGGUACUUUUAUAUCGUUGCCAAACCAAUAAAGUUAUGUCUAGUAGAAGGAUUAAAGACUAAACUCAAAGAAUUAGUUGUGAUAUUGCAUUAGCAGUGAAGCUCGGUAAUUCGAGUGUGAAAAAUGGACAGGAAAGACUACGCUCAAAGGAAUCAAGAAAUAAAAUGUGUUCCGAGUUACAAUUUAUAAAUCAUCAAAGGAUAGGAAAAAAGAGGUUGUGACUGUGUUUCUGGGAACAAUUUAUAAAUCAUCACAGGGUAGAAAAAAAGGUUGUGAUUUCAUGGAUAUUAACACGAUCAUUUAGUCUUCGUAAACACGAUGCAGAAUAAAUAUGAAAUUAAUAAAAUUUCCAAACUAGAAAAUGAAUUUGGCCGAAGUCAGAUAACAAUACUGUAAAAUAAAUAUGAAAUUAAGGAUAAUAUUGCUUGACGGAGACGGUGAGGGAGUUAUUCAAAUAACUCCCUCACUAUCUGUUAACAAUACUGUACAACAAGAAUUGAAAUUAAUCCCUCACCAUUUCAUCAAGAUGAUGAACUUUAACUUAUUUAUCUUACUCAGGCAACAGUAGGUUAAGCAAAAGACGCAUUUCCACCUGAAAGUUCUAGUCCAAGACCAGCUUGGUAAUGCAUUGUUUUUCAGAAGUUUGCACCGGCUCCACUACGCCGAGAUGCGCCAUUAGGAGCCAAACAUGGGUGAUGAGCUCUCCUCCUCUGCUCAGGUUCUCGGAGUGUUGGUAGCCUCUGCUUAGGCAAGCCGCGUAUAUCAGAAACUUCGCCCAGACCUUGCCGAUCAACUUCCAUUUCCUACCGAGGUCUUCCGACUCGAUUUUAUUCAACUGGGAUGCGAGAUGGCAAGCGUCGAACAGCACCGACCUGCUUUUGCCACCGCGUAUUUUUGUGGCAGGCAGUUGAGUUCCCACAUGCAGCAGAAGAUGGCAGACUUCGCAUAGAUCGCGAGACUCUGUUGACUUGUGCGCCUCGCUGCAGCUUUCAACGCCGGUGUGGUCAUUUUUCUCUUUCUUGAAUAAAUUCUGCGCCAACGUCUUGACAGCCGAUGAGUUGAUGCCGGUUUCUUUCUUUGACAACAUCUCUAGCUUGUCCUCGAAGAACUUCUGAGCGUCGACUGAAGUAUCUUCAUAUCGGAGCACGUCUAUCCCUGUUGGCAACAUGGAAGGAUGGAGUACCAAAAGAUAGAGCAUGUACCGAGAGUCCAACUUACUCAUCUUGAAGUCUUUGAUGUGUUCCGAGAUUUCUCCCCUACUCUUCUCGAGGUCCUUGUAGUGGAAGAGCUCGGUGGCGAUUUGCCAGAUCAGGAUGCUCUGGUCGAACUCCAUAUCGUUCACACUCCAGUUCAGGUGACCGUUGUUUGACCUCUUCAGUACUUCACUCACUAGCUUAAGACUCUUCAACCCGCUGUUCAAAUUGCGGUCCUGCUCUAGAUAAUCGACCGCAUCCCUCGUGUGAUUGAAGGUCCAUUCUUUGAUGUUUCUCUUGAACCCUUUGUAACUGAUGUAGUUCUUCUCCAACUUCUCAUCUAACUUGGCCAACCUCGGAUACAACUUGCUGAAUGUCCUGUUUCUUCUCUUGAUGGAUAAUUUCAAGAGGCUGAACUGGGCCACAGAAUUCGACCAUCUUGGGUUCGGGCAGAUCUGGAGAAAAGCCACGGCAGAUGAUAUUGUGGAUCCGCCAGGUCUCUGAAGUCGCCAAAGGUCGACCCAAUCGGAUGAAAUUGCGAGAAGAACCGAGUAAAUCUCUAAAAGUAUAGCCGCACUUAUCAGCAAGAAGGUGAUAUAGACGUCGACUUUGGGGUAAUCCUUCCUGUCCUGUAAGGAGAAGAAUACCAACAUGGCACACAGCACCGAGAGAUUAAUGACCCAACGAAUGAUGCCCCAAGCAGGUUCAGCAACAGUGCCUUGGUGUAGAGAAGAUCGUACAUGAACCCGAGCUCGACUUCCACGAUCCGAAAAGCCGUCUCUGGAUUCAUGUUCUGACGGUUCAUGAACAUGCGCUUGCUGGCCACCAGGUCGCUGGAGUUGAGGACUAGGCCCACGAAGAGAAGCUUAAAGAUCUAGAACAACUCAUAGGCUUUGGCCAGAGUCGUGGCUUUCUCUUGGUCGAUGCCUUGACCGCUGUUCGCUGAGAGGUCCUCCGGAGCCGAAAACUCCAAGACCUCGUCAAUGCCGACUUGGUAACCCUCCUCUUUCCUCAGAGUGUACUGCUCCAAGAUCCUGGGGUAUAUGGGACCAAAAUCGGGAUAUAAAAGCAUUGAAUCUCGAAGUUGACCUUUACUUCCCAAGUACAAACACAAUGUCCUCUCCACAUAUUUGAUGAACCCCAGCAGGAUCAUGCCAACCGCUAAUAUCGACAGCGUAGACCCUGACAAGGCCAUGAAGUAGAUGUAAAAAGCUAAUGCUAUUUGGACGCAAAGCCGUGCCAUCUGCCUCAACCAUAGCUCAUUGUCUGUCAGGGCAUACACGGUGAUCGUGUCAGGCCCACCCAAGUGGAGGAGAAGGAAUGGCGCCCAGAAAGCAGUGAUCUGGCUUUUCGGAUCGAUCGUCCCCUUCGUUUCCUUGACGGUGGCCAGGCGGUUCGAGAGGACGCCGAGUGUGAGGGUUGGGAUGAAAUCGGCCAAUAGGUAUGUUGUCCAGACCACGACUUGGAUCCAGUACUUGUAGAUGGAUUUCCUCCGAAACCCGAGUCACAAGGGUCAAUUGGAGGAACAAGCUGAGGAGGACAAGCAAUCGCAGCUCCCACUCCUUCCACAGUUCUCGAGUGUUUUCGGGAAGUAGCGGAAAUCCCAUGGUUGAACUCGAUGUCGGCACCAAAAGGCGCAACAAUCAGGCACCCUUGGUCGAUCUUAGGAUAAUAAAGGGAGAGGACAAAGCAAGGCAAAACAGCAUUAGCCUUGAAUUUUUACCUCUGCAACAUCCUCAAAACGGCCACUCUUUAUAACCAAUAACUUGAUGUUGGAAUCAAAUACACAAGCAUUUAUUUACCGUGCAUAACAUCAUAGGAAUGAAAAAGUAGUGCGCAUUUUGAAACAUCCCCAACAAUUGCCACAUCACUUUUGGAUGCACAGUUGUCAAUCAAUUCUUUGUAUUUGCCCAAGAAUGAAGUAAAGUGGCAAAAUCCGAUACCGGCAUUUGUACCAAUAACUUAAACUUCAAUUUCCCAAUCACUUUUCAAGUUUCCGAAUCUUGCAAACUCCAUUCUAAUCAUUGUGGUCCUGACAACCCUAGCCCAAUAUGAUCCAUGUGAAAUAACAAGUAAAGGCAAUUUGGGUUGCUAUAACAAGUAAAGGCACGCAACAAGGUAAAAAGAGGGUGAUAAAUGCUUGCUCCAAGUAGAAGUGAUUCCGAUGCACUGAGCUGAUUGCUUCGACUUCCAAACAGUAUAUUAUUGUCCUUGGGAUGAAAUCUAUGUAUUAAAUCCUAAAAAAAAAAAAAGUUGUUGCUACGAUGAAACAAUGCAUGAGAGCCCGUAUCACAUCACAUCACAUCACAUCACCGGCAGCUUAUGUGCUUUAUGGGCUUUAUGGCCAUCAUGAUCGCGACUUGUCAUCCGGGUCUGACCUAUUGGUUUAUGAUGUGCAACACUAGCUGAACAUUUUUCUCCAAGUCAAGUGGUGUAUGAGCUGGACAUUUUGGUUCUCCACAAACUGUCACGCGAGGGACACGCAACCAAUGCACCACCUUUAGCUUUACUUAAUUAAACCCUUAAUAUUGCACACCAAGGCUAGAAACAUUCGACUAAAAACUUAUGAAAGCCUCAAAGUCCAGAAAUUCAUAAACUCAUGGUAAGGUCAUCAAUGCCACAAUUUUCAUAGAGCGUCAUUUUAGUGUUAAAACUUAUUGAACAAUCAUUUUAAGUGCCACAACUUUUGAAAAAUGAUCAUCUAAGUAAAUACGGUAACUAAGUUUGCUGAAAAUCUGGCAUGGCUUAUUGAAAACACUUAAAUGGCUGCUUUAAGAAGUUUUGGCACUAAAGGGAUUAUUCAAAAAAAUUUGAUCAUUCACAAACUUGUUUCUUCUAAAAUUUUAAAAAUCAGAGCGAGCCAAAAGCAAAAAUCACAAAGAAAAUAUUCUAAACUUGACACGUUUUUCUUUGUUUUGUUAGAGUCAAAAGAAAAAUUAUUGAGCAAACAUUUUCUUAAAAUAGUUUAAUCUAAAGUCACAUAGAUCAAUUUGUUUUCCUAACAAAAAAGAUAGUAAAUAAAAUUUUCUUCACCUUAGUUAAGUUAUCGUAAAUAAAAUUUUCUUCACCUUAGUUAAGUUCAUAUUUGUUUCUUUUCUGACCUUGCUCUAUUCUUAGAUUAAACAGCAAAGCUUCAAGCAUUGCGGUAGUGGAUCACUGUGCAUUUGGUUUAGCUUUGUGAAAUACCUUUGCAUAGAUGCAAAGAACCUUAGUUCAAGGGAUUUCACAAAAUGCAAAACACUAUUUGCCAAAAACUUGUCAAGGACUUUAGUUUUAAAAAAGAAAAACAGAGAAUGAAAGUGGAAGCACAAAUUGACGAAGAUGGCACCUUAGGCGAAGGUUGAAAGAGAGACAACAACCCGUCACCGAGGUCACACGACCAUAGACGACUUCUGUCGAGGUUGCACCACCCUAGGUGAUCCUCAACCUCUACAACCGGUGCAACUAGCAAGCAUAGAGAGAGUGUAUGAGAAAGACAAUAAACAAUGUUUUUAGAGGGCAAAAGUGAAAUACACAAUUAUAAGUGAGGGCAAAUUUGGAAGGAAAAAAGUCAUUAGACCCCACAAUAACAUAAUGAAAAUACUGAAAGUGGGCCCCACCUGCUUGAGCUUUCAACUUUGCCAAUACUAGCUUUUACCCAAUGCCCUCCAAAAAUUUUAUUAAAUGCCCUAAUUUUUCUAAGGGAUUUUAGGGGUCCAAAACCCCAUGAGCUAAACCAAACGCACUUCUCUUUAAUCGAAUGUGAGGAUCCAUACUAAGGAAUGUUUGGAAACCAAUCUAACAAAAUAUCUUAAUUUGUGAAAAAAUGAUGCAUUUAUCAACGUUGAAUGGUAUAUAAAUUACGCAUCAUACAAUUUUAAAAUUUCUCGUGUGAAAAAUUUAAGAAAGAUUACUUUAGUGCCAAGAUUUUAUAAAUGAUCACUUUAGUGUCAAAUCUUUCCAAAAUUGUCCAUUUAAGUGACCUUUGUAAGCCACAUCGGUUUUUUCAUCAAUCACUUAAAUAUUGCCCUAUAAAAAUUGUGGCACAUAAAUGAUUGUUUAAAAAAAAAUUGACACCAAAAUAAGCACCUUACAAUAAUUAUGGCACUGACGUCAUCCUUAUCUCUACCUUCCAAAACUUCAAAAUUUAGGUAAACUUUAUUCAGAAAAUAGCAAGUGCAUACUUGAACCUUCCCCUUUAUCUUUCCGUUAUUCGAGCAAAAACUCCUGUCAAAAUAAAAGUAUGCAUUAUUCCAUUUCCAAAAAGUGGGAUAAGUACACUAAUGGUGCCAUAAGUUGUGUACGGCGCUCACUUUGGUGCCAAAAGUUUCUGUCGGAUCACUUAAGUGCCAAAUCGGAGGAAAAACGCUCACUUUGGUGCCACCGGCGAAAGAUUCCGGCCUCCGGCGAAAGAUUCCGGCCAAAAUGAUUUUUUUUUUAAAAAAAAAAUUGAUAAGCCUUUAAAUGACGUCGUUUUCAGUCCUCCUUAAGAAAACGACGUCGUUUUGUCGUCCUACGUGGAUGGCUUCAUGGAAACGACGCCGUUUAGCUCACAUGGGGAAGAAAUUAGGGUUUCGGCGAGGUCGAAGCCGUGGCCGUCGUCGGGGUUGGGGUCGGAGUCGGGGUCGAAGCUGCGGCUGCCGAGUGGCCAUCAUCGAGGUCGGGGUCGGGGUCGGGGUCGAAGCUACGGCCGUCGAGUGGCCAUCGUCGCGGUCGGGGUCGAGGUCAAGGUCGGAGCUACGACCGCCGAGUGGCCAUCGUCGGGGUCGGGGUCGGGGUCGAGGUCAGAGCCGCUGCCGUUGAGUGGCCAUCGUCGGGGUUGGGGUCGAGGUCGGGGUCGAAGCCGUGGCCGCCGAGCGCAAGGACCGUCGAGGACAGCGACGGCCGGAGAUUAGGGUUUUGAAUUGGGGGAGACACCAAACGGCGUCGUUUUGGUGUUUGGAUGCUGACUCAGCUCUCCGACGAGCCACAUUGGCGUCAAAAAUUAAUAAAAAAAGGCCACGUAGGAUUUCCGGCCAAUUUCGUCGGAGUUGGCACCAAAGUGAGCGUUUUUUAAAUUUUUUGGCACUUAAGUGAUCCGACGGAAACUGUUGGCACCAAAGUGAGCGUCGUACACAACUUAUGGCACCAUUAGUGUACUUAUCCCUAAUGAAAAAUGGCAAGAUUGCAAUUGCAAAUGACCUUAAUGUCCCUACGUAUAGGUUUCUAGAUCAGUCAAAUUUUAAAUGUCAAAAAAUAAAAAGUCAGAAAUGGAAGCGUCGCCUGCUUUUUCCAUACAUGCUAAAAAGGUCGAUUAAAUAUUUUGAAGCCUCUUGAUAAAAUGUUCAUUUUCUUGGCCUGAUGCUAAUAAAAAGUUACAUAUGAAUGAUAUAUCUUCUAUACAUUGACGGAAGCUUCAUUCCAAACUUGUCCUCAAGUAAGAUAAUGAUCUAAAGCGAAAGAAAAGAACAUUUGAAUAUACACUCGGUUUCAUAUCCCUUUCUCAACUAAAUUUUCAUUGCCCACGCGAACUCAUUAAAAUCAAAGUCCCUCAUCGGUUGAAUGUGCAUAAAUGAGGUUACAUAUAUGCCUAAUUAUGCGGAAUGUGAGGUAGUCCAGACCCCUAUUUUAGCGUGCCUUGGACUUCCAUAUGCAUUUCACCUUUGUCUGUCACCAAUCCUUUAGAAUUUAUUUCUAGUAUAUUCUUAUAUAUAUAUAUAUAUAUAUAUAUAUAUAUAUUUAAAAAGGGCCUCUCUACAGGACCCGAAUGUCACACCGUUUAGGAAUACACUGGUAAAGUGAGAUUUCAUACACGUCUGGAUCCAGGGAAGAAAAAGAAAAAAAAAAAAGACAUUACCCAAAACCAAAAGCUGUAACCCUUCACCUUCCGACACCCCACUGCGGUUCUUCCAUCAUCUGCUGGUUCAUCUCUUUGCCUUUGUCUUCCACGAGUCGCUGCAAGCAUCAAUCUUUCAUAUUGCAAAAUAUCCACUUAUUUAGUUGUUUUCAUUUAUUGCAUGAGUCUUGUUAACUGAAAGCAAGCAAGGCAAUGGUCUGUCCCAAAUCCCAACCUUUUGCCAUUGACUUAAUUGAUGGUUGAUAUUCAUCACCACUUAUGUUGUCUACACCGUCAAAAAUGGAAUUUGGACAAAGGAGUUAUGAGGUCCAAAGUUAGCUUGUCGAAUCUAUAAAAUCCGAAAAUUGAGUUGUGCGAUCGCGCAUGUGCUAACUUCAAAUGGCUUGUACAACUUAUCCUAAUGUCCAAUUGAAUUUUUGUUUUCAUGGCUUGCAUGGGCAUGAAAGUUUCUAUGUUCUUGGUAUUUUCAAGAAAUUUUCAUAAUUUUUGCUAUUUUUCAGAAAUGUCAAACAAUGAUGGAAAAAUAAGAGUAUUUGAAAUCUGGCUCUGCUAUGUGACAGAAAAUUUUAUAUUUUUCAUUAAAGUUGAUGAAAAAAUAUUAUACAUUGAUUUUUGUACGUUGUGACAUUUCGGGGGAGUGACCGUAUAAAUGCGGAAGUUUGAAAAAAUAUGAACUUUUUCGUCUAUAUACCAUCUACUAGAAAUUUACUCUCUCUCUCUCUCUCUUUUUCUUGGAUGAACACUAUCCAUUGUUUUUAUUUAUGAAUCUCAAGAGUCAUUUACGGCAUUUGAAUCUUUCUUCGAGUUUUUGGACUGAAGUAAUACAUUUAAGGACAAUUUUCUAAUUUUAUUGUAAUUGGGCUCUUUUUAGGUAAUUUACGGCUUGUGAAAUUUAGAUAAUUAAUGUCCCCAUCGGCCUAGAAAAUAUUAUGGGUAUUUUGGUAAUUUUCUGCUUAGGAAUAUUAAAGAUGACACUCAACUCCAUUUAUUUCAUAGAAUAUGAAUAAUUUGGAAAAUAUUUUUAAAAAAAAAUUGUUUCUAUUGCUUGAUAUAAUUAAUCAAUAAAUAAUAUUUUCAUUAUUCGAAAAAAAUUUAUGUCUAAACAUAUUCAUGUACGAUAAAAAUAUUUUACAUUCAUUCAUUUUUGUAAGUCAUACAAUAAUUAUUUUUAUAAAAAUAGUUUCUCAAUCAUUUUAUAUCUGCGUAACAAACGCACCAUUAUGAUUCCUUGGUGGUGCCAGAGAUACUGCUUUAUGAAAUUAUAUGAAUUCAUGAUAGCUGGAGUUCAGAUAAGUGGUACUCUGCCUCUGCUAGGAAUUUCUGCAAUAGCGUAUUUGUAACCAAAAACAUAUUUCCUGCAGAAACAUUGGAUCAAACAGAGAUGCUUUUGAGUGACUGAUGAGUUAAUAAAUAUGGAUUUAGUUGUUGGUUCAUCCUAUCAUUUGAUCUUAUAUUGAAGAACAGUUGCUCGCAAUUUCGUUUUAACACCACUGUUUCCCAAAGGUUAUGUAUGCGAGUCUGUGUCCAUUACCAAGGUGAUUAUGCUGCUGCUGGAAAUUAUGUAUACUCAGGUGCAUUGACAUGUCAGUGUGUUAUGCUUGUCGUUUGGUGAUUAGAUUGUGGACGAUUGUACCCAUAUUUCAUGUUUAUUUGUUGAUAAUACCCAAAAAUUAUUUUGAGUUACCUGCGAUGUUAAAGUACUAUUGAACUUUUGGUGAAUGCCACCUAUAUGUCUAAUCACUACUAGAUGUAGAGGAUCACUUGCUUCGCAAGGGAGCUCAUUCCUUUAUAACAUAGUGUUUCUCGGAUUUAGUAGAGAUUGCUUAGAAUAAACAGCGAGUUUUUCAUUAUUUUCGGAUCUUAAAAUAUUUUUUUGUUUUUAAGUUUUUGAGAGAUAGUCAUAACUAGAAGUUAUAAGUAGGCAAAAACCAGCCCCAAACUAUAUUUUCUUUAAGUAAAAUGUUAUUAACCAAGCAGACAAUCUAGCUACUAAUUUAUGGUAGUUUUAAAGUUACUCCUUUAAAAAAAAAAAAUUUGAAACUUACACGAAUCACUCUAAAAUAAAUUACCGGUCUCAGUCUCACAUAUAUAGAUAAAUACAUGCUUGCUUUCUUAAAGUUAAAAGUGUAGAAACCGGGAUGAGAUUUAAUUAUGUUAAGGUGGCUAGCUUCGGUUCAGGGAAAUGCCUCUGGUGAAGAAGGGUAACUGAUGCACAGUUUUCAUUAUUUCCUGAGUCCUCAAGUACAAGUAUUGAAAUAACUCAACCUCACUAUCUCAAGAUGAUGGUGAGCUUAACGUAUUUAUCUUACUCAAGUAACGGUAGGUUAAGCAAAAGACGCAUGCCACUGGAAAUUUCUAGUUCAAGAUCAGUUUGGUAAUGCAUUGUGUUUCGGAAGUUUGCACCGGCUCCGCCAUGCCGAGAUGCACCAUUAGAAGCCAGACAUGGCUGAGAAACUCUCCUCCUCUGCUCAGGCUCUCGGAGUGUUCAUCGCCUUUGCUUCGGCAAGCUGCGUAUAUCAGAAACUGUGCCCAGACCUUGCCGAUCAAGUUCCAUUUCCUACCGAAGUCUUUCGACUCGAUUUCAUUCAACUGGGACGCGAGAUGGCAAGCGUCGAACAGCACCGACCUGCUUUUGCCACCACGUAUUUUUGUGGCGGGCAGCUGAGUUCCUACUUGGAGCAGAAGAUGGCAGACUUCGCAUAGAUCGCACGACACUGUUGACUUGUGCGCCUUGUUGCAGCUUUUAACAUUGGUGUGGUGAUAUUUAUCUUUCUUGAAUAGAUUCUGCGCCCAAGUCUCGACAACCGAUGAGUUGAUGCUGGUUUCUUUCUUUGACAACACUGCUAGCUUGUCGUCGAAGAACUUCUGAGCAUCAAUCGAAGUGUCUUCAUAUCGGAGCAUGCCUAUCCCUGUUGGCAACAUGGAAGGAUGGAGUACUAAAAGAUAGAGCAUGUACCGAGAGACCAACUUACUCAUCUUGUAGUCCUUGAUGUGUUCCGCGCUUUUUCCCUGCCUGUUGUCGUGGUCCUUGUAGUGGCAGAGCUCAGUGGCGAUGUGCCAGACGAGGAUGCUCUGGUCGAACUCCUUAUCGUUCACACUCCAGAUCAGGUGACCGUUGUUCGACUUUAUCAGUACUUCACUGGCCUCCAGCUCAAGACUCGUUUUCCGUCCCAGAUUUUCGACCAUUGUUCUCAUGUGAUCGAAGGUCCAUUCUUUGAUGUUGCUGUUCAACACUUUGUAAUCGAUGUAGAAGUUCUUCUCUAACUUCUCAUCUAAUUUGGCGAGCCCGGGAAACUUGCUGAAGAUCCUUUUUCUUUUCCUGAUGGAUAAUAUCAAGAGGCUGAACUGGGCCACAGAAUUCGACCAUCUUGGGUUCGGGCAGAUCUGGAGAAAAGCCACGGCAGAUGAUAUUGUGAACCCGCCAGGUUUCUGAAGACGCCAGUGGUCGACCCAGUCGGAUGAAAUUGCUAGAAGAAUCGAGUAAAUGUCUAAAAGUAUGGCCGCACUUAUCAGCAAGAAGGUGAUAUAGAUGUCGACUUUGGGGUAAUCCUUCCUAUCCUGUAAGGAGAAGAAUACCAACACGCCACACAGCACCGAGAGACUAAUGACCCAACGAAUGAUGCCCCAAGCACGGUUCAGCAACAGUGCCUUGGUGUAGAGAAGAUCGUACAUGAACCCGAGCUCGACUUCCACGAUCCCAAAGGCCGUCACUGAGUUCAUGUUCUGACGGUUCAUGAACAUGCGCUUGCUGGCCUCCAAGUCACCGGAGUUGAGGAUAAGGCCCACGAAGAGAAGCUUGAAGAUCUUGAACAACUCGUAGGCUUUGACCAGAGUCGCGGCUUUCUCUUGGUCGAUGGCUUGACCGCUGUUCGCUGAGAGGUCCUCUGGAGCCGGAACCUCAGUGACCUCGUCGAUGCCGACUUGGUAACCCUCCUCUUUCUUUAGAGCGUACUGCUCCAUGAUCCUGGGGUAUAUGGGACCAAAAUCGGGAUGCGAAAGCAUCGAAUCUCGAAGUUGACCUUCGCUUGCCCAGUACAAACACAAUGUCCUCUCUACAUAUUUGAUGAACCCCACCAGGAUCGUGCCAGCCGCUAAUAUCGACAGUGUAGACCCUGACAAGGCCAUGAAAUAGAUGUAACAAGCUAGUCCUACCUGGACGCAAAGCCGUGCCAAUUGCCUCAACCAUAGCUCAUUGUCCUCCAAGGCAUAUGCGGUAAUCGUGUCAGGCCCACCUAAGUGGAGGAGAAGGAAUGGAGCCCAAAAAGCAGUGAUCUGGCUCUUUGGAUCGAUCGCCCCCUUCGUUUCCUUGAUGGUGGCCAGGCGGUUCGAGACGACGCCGAGCGUGAGGGUUGCGAUGGAGUCGGCUGAUAGGUAUGUCGUCCAGACCACGACGCGGAUCCAGUACUUGUAGAUGGAUUUCCUUCGAAAGCCCUGAGUCACAAGGGUCAAUUGAAGGAACAAGCUGAGGAGGACCAGCAACCGCAGCUCCCACUCCUUCCACAGUUCUCUAGUGUUUUCGGGGAGCAGCGAAAAUCCCAUGGUUAAACUCGAUGUCGGCACCAAAAGGCGCAACGGUCGGGCACCCUUGUCGAUCGUAGGAUUCUAAAGGGAGAGGACAAAGCAAGGCAAACAACAUGAGCCUUGAAUUUACCUCUGGAACAUCCUCAAAACGGUCACUCUUUAUAACCAAUAACUAGAUAUUGGAAUCAAAUACAAAAGCACUUACUUACCCUGCGUAACGUUACAAGAAUGAAAAAAGCGAUAUACAUUUUGAUAGAUUUAUGAGAUGGGCUUAAGGCCCGUCCGCCCAAGCUGGGCCCAAAAGGCCCGGCCCAUGGGAAUAUGGCCCGUGGAAAGGGAGAGGUAUAAAAGGGAGGAGAGAGAGAGAAAUGAUAUUAGUUGGAAAUAGAAAACAACGUACGUCUUUUUCUUUUUACGCUAUCUCUCUCUCAAAAGGAAAAACAGUAAGCAUACGGCGCGCUUUUCUUCCCUUCAAGGCUUCAUCGAAUCGAACAGGACCGUUUCUCUUCCUCUUGUCGGCGUCGGUGUUUAAUCUGUGGCUAAUAAGGUACGCUCGAAUCCGUGGUGUGCUUUACGAUCGGUGAUACGUGUUUUCCCGGGCUUCGUCUUCCGCAUUGAUUUAGGGGUUCGAUUCGGUGUCGAAUCCGGUUUUCGGGGAUCCGUUAUUCCCAACAUUGGUAUCAGAGCCCUAGUUCACGUUUUCCCGAUCAAUUUGAUGUUUUUUGAUUGAUUUUUCGCAAAAAAAAUUUCGGCCGUACGGAUCGGGCGAGAAAUCCCGACACCCGAGCGUUGUUCGGCCAUUUUUCUGAGUUUUUGUAAGUCGAAAUCGUUUCCUGAACACAUGGGGAGAAAGGCGACGUCGAGACGAGUCCGGCGACAUGUCGCACGCCGCCGGGAGACGCUGCACGCGCCCACACGCGCUGCCAGAAGCCGAUGCGCGUGGGCGCGACGCGCCAGAAGCGCUGGCAAUGGCCAGCGCGUGCGCCACACGCGCCGGUGACGAACCGGCACGUGCGCGCUGGCAACCGGCGAAACGGCACGCGCCGGUCCACGGACCGACGCGUGCUGACGUCACGCGAUGACGUCAUGGUGACGUCAUCCAACGAUCGGUAACCGCUCGGAUGACAUCACCGAUGACGUCAUCACCGACGACGUUUCGCCGGGCGGUCACCGGCCGGCGACCCGACCCGACGACGACCCGACCCGAACCGCGACGCCCGGCACACGCGCGUCACGUGCCGGCUGACGUUUGCGUGACGUCAUCCCGCGCACGCGCGCGGCACGUGCGGUCGGUUCGCCCGGACCGGCCGACCGGCCCGUCCGGUCCGACCGGUCCGACCGUCGUGACCGGUCCGAUCGGUUCGACCCGCGCGCCCGUUGACCCGACCCGUUGACCGUUGACCGUCCGUUGACUUUGACAGUUGACCCGAAAAAAAAAAAAGAAAAAAAAAGGGAAUUUGUUUCUUUUUCAGUCAUGCCUAUGUGGGUUAUAAGUAAUCCAUUUUUAAUGCUGCAUUUGUUGCAUGAAUUUUGGAAAAUUAUGUAUUUUCCCUUAUAUUUAUUAUGGAUUAUAAGUGAUCCAUUUUUAGUUCUGCAUUUGUUGCAGGAACUAUGAUGCGUUAUGCAAAGAUACCUGCAAUCCCGAGAACGGACGAGGGAAAUGAAAGACUUAAAAGGCUGAUGUCAGAAUUAGUUAAUUAUCGGUGGCAUGAUGGUGAUUUAGUAUCACAUGUGGUCAGGGUCAAUCAGAUGAUACAGGAAAUCAUCUGGAAUAGUUAUCUUAUGCCGGAUUUUGAGAAGGUGCCGGCUUUGAUGAACACUCUUCCACCUGAAUGGCAAGCAGUGUUGGAUCGGCUAUGGGAGGUCAACGUGGUCCCGGGUUAUAGGAGGCUGGUGGAAGCUUUUGUAAGAGAGCACUAUAGGAUUGAGUUGGCCAAAACUUCAACCCUUAGAUUGAGCGCCACAUGGCGUAGAGUAAAUGCGCAUUGGUGGCGACAUGAAUGCUCUCCAAAAGUUUUUUUUUAUGGUUGGCAAAUGUGCUUUCAGUUUUCUCAGAUGUUUUGACUGAUAGGUUAGAAGGGACAUUCCCUAUUUAUUUCUAUGAUUAAUUAUGUAAUGUUUACUACUUGAUUGUUGUUGAUGUAGCAACCGAUAUGUUAGUUGUAUCAUGUGAAAGCAUUGUUAUUUUAUUGGAUGUUAAGAUUUUAUUUGCUUUCUGCUAUUGCUGGUUGCUGUGGGUAAUUAGCUGUGGGUAGUAAUAGAAGUUUUUGUAGCUUCAUAGAAUUGAUUUUGCAUAUGACAAUCAUAUUAAUGAUAGUUUUAAGUUAGGAUUUUUGGAGGAUGAUUGGAAACGUAGUGACCUUUUGAUUCUGAAACCUUACUUGAAAUUAUUCAUUGAUAUGAUGAGUCUGUGCAAAGUGGAUGCAUAAAUGAUAGGCAUUAAUUAUUCGUGCACAUAUGUCUGAUGUGUUCAGAUUGAUGGAUUCAGCAACUAAGAACGUAAUUGCUGAUGUGAACGGCAACAAUUGUGAAAUAUUGAAUAUGAAGAUUCAAUAUGUGCUGGAAAAACUAGAAGCACUAGAAGCUCUUGACCAUGUUAUGGAAAAUCUUGAGGAUGUUGUGCGCCACCUUGAGCUGGUAGAGGACCGCUUGACGGCAUUUGAGCCGAAAAUAGAUAUUUUCAAUGCUAGUUCUAGCUCAGAAAGGGCUUUGUGCUCUAAGCGCAAGUGUAUUGAUUCGGUCAAUAUGUGGGAAUGCAAAGGAUCAAGUCCUUAUUGCAAGAGAUAAAGAGUUAACCCACACAAGAGAGGAAAACGUCCUCAAGUGAAGAAAAUGUCAAGGGUGAGGUGUUACAAUUGUGACAAUAAAGGUCACUAUGCUCGCAACUGUUGUGAGCCAAAGAAGGUAAACACCUCUUGUACAUUUGAGAACUUUGCUUAUGUGUCAAGUUCUACAUUAUUAGCUGAAUCCAAUCCUUUGUGGACUGUAAAUUCAGGAGCGACAGACCAUGUAGCAAAGGAUAGAUGAUCCUUCGUGGAAUUCUGACGAUACCAACUGGAACUAAGUGGAUCUAUGUGGAAAACAGCUCCAGAGCUGAAGUUAAAUGGGAUUGGCACCUACCAAUUGAACAUGCGUGGUGGACGCAACUUGUUCCUACAUGAUGUUCUAUAUGCUCCGGAGAUUCGUCGAAAUUUAAGUGUCUGUUUUGAUGUUGGUUAAGCUUGGUUUUAGUGUGAACUUCCGUAAUAACGGUGUAGAUUUGUAUUUGGAUACAAACUACUAUGGUUGUGGUCACUUUCUGGAUGGUUUUAUUGUACUGAAUGUUGACUGUGGUGAUGUCAAUAUGUUAUUCCCUUGUUUCACGUCUUUUACUUCAUGUGAUAAUGAUGUGAAUGUGUGGCAUGCUAGACUUGGUCAUAUUGGCCAACAACAUAUGAAUAGACUAGCUAAAGAAGGCUUGUUGGGCAAUAUUGAAUAAGUCGAUUUGUCCAUAUGUAAGCAUUGCCUAGAAGGGAAAACGACAAGGAAACCAUUUGGAAAAGGUAAAAGAGCUGACGUUCCUCUGCAUUUAAUCCAUUAUGACGUUUGUGGUUCAAUGAAUGUGAGAGGAAGGCAUGGGACUGUUUACUUCAUCACUUUUAUUAGAUGAUUAUACUCGAUUCGAAUGUGUCUAUUUGAUUUCUCAUAAAUCUGAAGCAUAAGUUGUUUCAAAAGGUUUAUGAACUUGGAAGAAAAUCAAUUAGACAAGAAAAUAAAAGUAUUGAGAUCCGAUCGAGGUCGAGAAUAUUUAUCUGAUGAGUUCAGAAAAUAAUAUGAUGAAAAGGAAUAGAAAUAUAGUUGUCUAUUCCAUAUACUCCUCAACAAAAUGGUGUUGCAGAGAGAAGAAACAGAACCCUACUGGAAAUGGGUAGGUCCAAUAAUUAGAACGUGAAUAAUAUUUUCAUUAGUCAAAAACAAUUUGCGUCUAAAUAUAUUCAUAGAUAAUAAAAAAAAAAUCACUUAUUUAUUUUUGUAAGUGAUACAAUAAUUAUUUUUAUGAAGAUAUUUUCCGAAUCAUUUUAUUUUUUGCGUAACAAACGCACCACUAUGAUUCCUAGGAAUGAGCAUGGUCCGGGUUGGGCCGAUCCACUCCCUAACCCUAGGACCAACCCGCAUAGUGCUAGUCCUCAAUUUUUGGGAAGGAGGACCGACCCUAUUGAGCUUGGGACCGAGGACCAAAUUGACCCAAUGGGUUUGGUCCGGUUCCAGGGUCAACCCGGGACCGAUCAAUAAUUUUUUAUUUCAUUUUUUGUACCCCUUAAAAAACCGAUUGAGGACCGAACUAACCCAAUAGGUUCGGUCCGAUUUCAGGGUCAACCUAGGACCAACCAAUAAUUUUUUAUUUCAUUUUUUAUACUCCUUAAAAAAAUUAUUGAGGAUUGAACUGACCCAAUUGGUUCGGUCCGGUUUUAGGGUCAACUCAAAACCAACCAAUAAUUUUUUAUUUCAUCUUUUAUACUCCUUAAAAGGGCAAUUGAGGACCAUACCGACCCAAUGAGUUCGAUGAUGAGCGAGGUCAACUAAGAAAGACAAGCGGUAAGGGUCAAGUGGGGUAAGCAUCGAACAGAAUAAGCAUCGAAUGUCGAGCAGGAAGCAAAUAGUCAAGCGAGCAUCGAGCGGCAAGCGGCAUGAGUAACUCAAAGCGAGCAAGACGAGUGUCAAGUGGUGAGCGGAGAAGUUGUUUUUUUUUUUUUUUUUGGCAAAUUGAAGACUAAGAGGGUAAAGACAGAAGAGAACGAAUACUAGAGGAUAAUGCCAUAAGGAACUGUUUAUACCUUUUUGGACGCCGUGAGAACUCAUUAUUAAAACAUUUUCCUCAUUCGUAAAUUAUGACUAUUGACGCCGUAAAAGACAUUAAAAAUCUAAGUUAUUAAAGAACAAUGUAAAAUUAUUUGAAUUCCUCACUAAAGAGCAAUUUAAUAUUGUUAACGUCAUUUAUUUUAAGAUUUUCUCUAUAUAAAAAAAUUAUAAGUAAUAUAUAUAGUUAGGAUUGAUCCGGGUUGAACCGACUUGGAACUUGCAGGACCGAUGACCAACUCACACAGUGCUAGUUCAGGAAUUCUAGGACCAAAGACCAACUCAAUCUCCCUGGGAACCGGACCAGGACCAGCAAGGUUGGGCUAGUCCAGGGUCAAUCCAGGGUCAACCCUGGACCAAUGCUCACCCGUAAUGAUUCCUUGGUGGUGCUAGAGAUAUUGCAUGAAAUUGUAUGAAUUCAUGAUAGCUAGAGUUCAGAUAAGUGGUGCUCUGUCUCUGCUAGGAAUUUCUACAAUAGCAUAUUUGUAACCAAAAAUUAUUUUGAGGUACCUGUGGACUUUUGAUGAAUGCCUCUCUGUCUAAUCACUACUAGAGGUAAAGGAUCACUUACUACACAAGCUGAGCUCAUACCUUUAUAAUAUAAUGUUUUUCAGAUUUAGUAGAAAUUGCUGAAAAUAUACAACAAGCUUUUCAUUAUUUUUCGGAUCUUAAAAUAAUUUUUUUGUUUUUAUGUUUUUUAGAAAAAGUCAUAACUAGAAGUAAUAAAUAGGCAAAAAGGGGCCCUGAACUGGAUUUUCUAAGUAAAAUGUUAUUAACUAAGUAGACAAGCUAUCUACUAAUUUAUGGGAGGUUAAAAGUUACUCUCUUUUUUUAUUAACCGGUCUCGGUCUCGCAUAUAGAUACAUACUUGCUUUCCCAAAGUUAAAAGCGUACAAACUGGGAUGAAAAAUAAUUAUGUUAAGGAGUUGCUUAGUAAAUCAACAUGAAAGAGUUACUUGACACUUUUGAAGAGAUAUGCCGAAAGUUACUAAACGACUUUGAGAAACUUAAAUUCUCUGUCCCAAUGGUAAUGCCACUGGCGCAUCUCUGUCCGAAAGUUACUGAUCCACCAUCAGUUUUCAUUAUUCCUGACUCCUCAAGAACUUAACCUCACCAUCUCAAGAUGACGAGCUUCAACUUACUUAUCUUACUCAAGUAACAGUAGGUUUAAAAAAAGACGCAUUCCACCUGAAAGUUCUAGUUCAAGAUAAGUUUGGUGAUCCAUUGUGCUUCGGAAUUUUGCAUCGGCUCCGCCACACGGAGAUGCGCCAUUAGAAGCCAGAUAUGGCUGACAAGCUCUCCUCCUCUCCUCAGGCUCUCGAAGUGUUUGUAGCCUUUGCUUUGGUAAGCCGUGUAUAUCAGAAACUUCGCCCAGACCUUGCCGAUCAAGUACCAUUUCCAACCGAAGUCUUUCGACUCAAUUUCAUUCAACUGGGAUGCGAGAUGGCACGCAUCAAACAGCACCGACCUGCUUUUGCCACUGCGUAUUUUCAUGGCGGGCAGCUGAAUUCCCACUUGGAGCAGAAGAUGGCAGGCUUCACAUAGAUCACCCGACUCUGUUGAUUUGUGCACCUUGUUGCAGCUUUUAACUCCGGUGUGACCAUAUUUCUCUUUCUUGAAUAAAUUCUGCGCCCGUGUCUUGACAACCGAUGACCUGAUGCUGGUUUCUUUCUUUGACGACACCAGUAGCUUGUCCUCGAAGAACUUAUGAGCGUUGACCGAAGUAUCUUCAUAUCGGAGCACCUCUAUCCCUGUUGGCAACAUGGAAGGAUGGGGUGCUAAAAGAUAGAGCAUGUACCGAGAGACCAACUUACUCAUCUUUGUAGUCCUUGACGUGUUCCGGUCUUAUUCCCUGACACUGGUCGAGGUCCUUGUAGUGGCAGAGCUCAGUGGCGAUGUGCCAGAUGAGAAUGCUACAGUCAAACUCUAUAUCUUUCACACUCCAGAUCAGGUGAUUGUUGUUUGACCUCAUCAGUUCUUCACUUGCCUUCAGAUCAAGACUGGUCAACCCGCUCCAAUCUUCUGUUCCGUUCUGGAUAAUCGACCAUACCGCUCAUGUGAUCGGAGGUCCAGUCUUUGAUGUUACUCUUGAACUCUUUGUAAUUGAUGUAGAAGUUAUUCUCCAACUUCUCAUCUAACUUGGCGAGCCAUGGAUACUUGCUGAAGAUCCUGCUUUUUUUCCCUGAUAGAAAAUUUCAAGAGGCUUGGGCCACGGAAUUCGCCAUCUUGGGUUCCGGAAGAUCUGGAGAAAAGCCACGGCAGUUGAUAUUGUGGAUCCGCCAGGUCUCUGAAGACGCCAGUGGUCAACUAAUCGGAUGAAAUUGCAAGAAGACCCGAGUAAAUCUCUAAAAGGAUGGCUGCACUUAUCAGCAAGAAGGUGAUAUAGACGUCGACUUUGGGGUAAUCCUUCCUAUCCUGUAAGGAGAGUAGAAUACCAACACGGCACACAGCACCGAGACAUUAAUGACCCAACGAAUGAUGCCCCAAGCAAGGUUCAGCAACAGUGCCUUGGUGUAGAGCAGAUCGUACAUGAUCCCGAGCUCAAUCUCUACGAUCCCAAAAGCGGUUGUUGAGUCCAUGGCACUAUUCAUGAACAUGCGCUUACUGCCUCCUGGUCGCCAGAGUUGAGAAUAAGGCCCACGAAGAGAAGCUUGAAGAUCUUGAACAACUCAUAGGCUUUAACCAGAGUCCUGUCCUUUUCUUUGUCGAUGGUUUGACCGCUAUUCACUGAGAGGUCCUCCGGAGCCGGAACCUCCAUGACCUCGUCGAUGCAGACUCGGUAACCCUCCUCUUUCUUCAGAGUGUACUGCUCUAUUAUCCCGUGGUAUAUGGGACAGAAAUCGGGAAGCGAAAGCAUCGAAUCUCGAAGUCGGCCUUCAGUUACCAGGUGCAAACACAGUGUCCUCUCUGCAUAUUUAAUGAACCCCACCAGGAUCACGCCAGCUGCUAAUAUCGACAGUACAGACCCUGACAAGGCAAGGCCAUGAAGUAGAUGUAACAAGCUAGUCCUACCUGGACGCAAAGCCGCACCAACUGCCUCAACCAUAGCUUAUUGUCCGCCAGGGCAUACGCGAUGAUGGUAUUAGGCCCACCCAAGUGGAGGAGAAGGAACGGCGCCCGGAAAGCAGUGAUCUGGCUCUUCGGAUUGAUCGUCCCCUUCGUAUCCUUGACGUUGGCCAGGCGAUUUGAGAGGAUGCCGAGCGUGAGGAUUGCAAUGGACUCGGCUGAUAGGUACGUCAUCCAGACCAUGACUUGGAUCCAGUACUUGUAGAUGGAUUUCCUCCGAAAGCCCUGAGUCACAAGGGUCAAUUGGAGGAACAAGCUGAGGAGGACGAACAACCGUAGCCCCCAAUCCUUCCACAGUUCUCGAGUGUUUUCAGGGAGUGGCGAAAAUCCCAUGGUUGAACUUGAUGUCGGCACCAAAAGGCGCAACGUUCAGGCAUCCCAGGUCGAUCAUAGGAUUAUAAAGGGAAAGGACAAAAGUAAGGUACAACAGCAUUAACCUUGCAUUUACCUCCCCAGCAUCCUCAAAACGGCUACUCUUUAUAACCAAUAACUUGAUAUUGGAAUCAAAUACAAAAGCACUCGGUUACACUACUUGUAGAUGGACUUUUAUAAAUGAAAAAGCAGUACGCCUUUUGAAACACAUAAAAUGCACGACUCAAGAGUUCAUUUUUUAAUGCAUAAUUGUCAAGCAAUUCUUUGCUUUGCCCGAGGAUGAAGUAAAGUGACAAAAUUAAAUUCCAGCAUUCAUAUUGUCAUGAUUGCUAUAUGCUUUAAUUGAGAAGAUUGGAAUAUAAUCCUAGAGUUAAAAGUUUGAUUCCUUAAUUACUUGUCAAGAUUUCGAAUUAUGUGAACUUAAUUAUAUUCAUUGUUAUCGUAACACUUUCUCUGCCAUGCCCCCACCAGCCCAGCAUAAUCUUUGUGGAAUAUAAAAUUCACCUAUUUGGGUUGCUAUAACAAGUAGAGACACGCAAGAAGGCCAAAAACAGGAUGAUAAAUGCUUACUCCAAGUUAAAUCAAUUCCGACGCAUUCAGUUGAUUGCUUCAAUUCCCAGACAACAUAUUAUCGUCCUUGGAUUAAUCUUCAUAUUAAAUCCUAGAAUGAAGUUGUCGCUACGAUAAAACAAUGCACAAAAGCGCAGGUGUCACACUGUAUCACCGUCAACUAAUGCGCUUUAUGACCAUCAUGAUCACAACUUAUCGUCCAUGUCUUGACAUGUGGUGUGCGACACCCGUUGAACAUUUUUUUCCAGGCCAUGUAUGAGCUGAACAUUUUCAUCCACAUCCUGUCACGCGAAGGACACACAGCCGGUGCACCACCUUUAGCUUAACUUAAUUAAACCCUUAACAUUGCGCAUCAAGGCUAGAAACAUGCGACUAAGAACCUACGAAAACUUGAGAGUCCAAAAAUUCACACCUCAAAAUAAGUUUUCAUUUUUCCCUAGGGUGGAAAGGACGUGAUCAAUGCCAUAAAUUUUCAUGAGGCAUCACUUUAAUGUUAAAACUUUUCAAACAAUUGUUUUAAGUGCAAUAACUUUUUAAAAAUGAUCAUCUAAGUGAAUACAGUGACUUAGUUUGCCGAAAAUCUAGCAUGGCUUGUUGAAGUCACUUAAAAGGUUGCUUUAAAAAAUUUUGACAGUAAAGUGAUCAUUCAAAAAGUUUUGGCAUUAAAUUGAUGAUUCAUAGAAUUAUUGCUCUAAAGAUUUAAAAAUUAGAGAAGCCAAAAACAAAAAUCACAGAAAAUAUUAUAACUCUGACACGAUUUUUCUUUCUUUUGUUAGGCUCAAAAGCAAAAUCAUUAGGCAAACAUUCUCUUAAGUUUCAUCUAAAGUCACAUAGAUCUAUUGGUUUUCCUAACAAAAAGGAUAAGUAAGUCAAAUUUUCUUUAAGUCAAAUUUUCUUCACAUCUUGGAAGUUUGUAAUUAUUUCUUUUUCUAUUCUUAGAUUGACAAAAAAGCUUCAAGCAUUGCCAAAAUGCAUUAUAGUGUGUUUGGUUCAGUUUUGCAAAAUACCUUUGCAUGGACACAAAGAAUCUUAGGUUGAAAGGUUUCACAAAUGCAAAACAUUAUUUGCCAAAACCUUGUAAUGGACUCUAGUUUUAAAAUAAAAUAAAAUAAAAAACAAAGAAUGUUGACGAAGAUGGCACCUCAGGCGAUGCCAGAAAAAGAGACGACAGCCAGUUGGCGAGGUCACGUGAUCACAAGCGACCGCUAUGAAGGCUGUGCUACCCCAGCUAUACAUUAAUCUCCGUAUCACGUCAUAACAUAAGCAAACUAAGCCUCUCACUCCACAUACUAUACGUUAUAUAUUAUGCAAUAUGUAAAGGACAAAGAUAAAAGGAAGAAAUUUCAAGGUAGUGGUAUACAGUCUUGUGAAAUUUAGCCCAACACAAAUUAGAACCAAUAUGAAUUCACUUUGGCAAUUCUAUAGAUAUUUAACUUAUAGAGAUAAGUACACCAUGUGUUUGAGUCAUAAAACUUUCAAAAGGUAUAAUCAAAUCUUAAAAUUUGUUGAGUUUACGCAAUUAAUUCCCCCAUUAACUCUAUCAAUUUAGCUAAUGAAUAAUGCUAACAUAAUGUUUUUAAUGUUUUCUUAUAGAGAGAAGUACACCCUAUAUUUGAGUACUAAAACUUCCAAAAGAUGUAAUUAAGUCCUAAAAUUUAUCAAAUUUGUGCAAUUAAUUCCUUCCGUUAACUCCAUCGAUUUCGCUAAUGAAAAAUAUUGAUGAAUUAUUUUUUAAUGUUUUCUCUCUCCUAAGUGAACCAAAAUUCUUUGACAAAAUCAAACAUGAUAGGAAUAUAAAAAGUUUUCAAGCAAAACAAAUCACAAAAAACUAUAAAACAAAACAAAACUCACAAACAAAAGAUCAGAUCUAUCAUUAUAUCAAUAAAUAAUUAGUAGCCGACCAUUGAAACCGUCAAUGAUAGGCACAUAUUGAGAUCUUCCUUUCUAGAAACUAUGGCUUUCAUCGUCAUACCAUCCAAAGACAACAACAUGGUGAACAACCACAAAUUAAACACCUCCAAGGAACUCCCAAAUCUAUAUUUAAUCGGGAGAAAAAAUCUCCGCACGAUCUAAAUAGAGAGAGGAGAACUUCUUCAAGCAGAUAUAUUCACCACAAUAAGCAAAGAAAAGCAACAACAAUGAACGAAAGAAGACAUCAAGCCAAGCGAAGAACGACUCCCAACAAUAAGUAAAGAAAAGCAACAACGAUGAACGAAAGAAGACAUCAAGCCAAGCGAAAAACGACUCCCAAAUUAGAUCAGGAGAGAAAAAUCAAAGCCUACAACCCCUAUCCCCAAGCUCGGAUGGAUGGUUAUCUAUUAGAGGACAUGAGCAAUAACUCCAAACAAUCGAUUAUUGCCAUAUCCAAAUCGACCCAUUAAGAGAAUAAUAUAAGCCAUUGAUAUUUUGAUGUGGAUUUUAUAUAAGUUAUUAAUCACGAAUGGAAUAUCCAUGAUUUCGUUAAAAAGAAUUAAGCACAAUUAAUUUAUUCGAUAUUCAUAGAGAGAAGGGAAAAAUAAUUAAUGAGAGGCAACGCGACACCAUAUCUCAUGGCAAUUUAGCAUAUAGAAGACUAUCUGAUACAUUAAACCAGAGCAAAACUUCAACUACAAAAUGCAUCCGCAAAUUCCCAGAAUUAUAAUUGUAGAAUACCCAAAACCGAGUCCAACGGAAUAUCAAAUGAAGAAAAACAGGAAUAUCUCUUCAAGCACUCUUAUCAGCCUUGGCAGCAGUUGCGGUGGCUUGUCCUCUGAGCCGACCAGUCCUCCAAGCGGCGAUGAGACCAACCUUCUGGCCGGGUGGCGCAUCACCUGACUGUGCUCGCGUGACCAAUGUGUUGGUGGUUACCUCCUCCGUGAGGAUGCUCAACUGGGUUCAUGGCCACACCACGCACCUUCGGCCAGCAGUUCCUCCACUCUGAACUUGUGCUAAGCAUUGCCAGCCUUGAGGAGGGGCAUCUCAGUUCUUCCUCCACCAGCAACCUGCCCGAUCAUUGCUCAGCAGCCACUUGGCACAAUUUUCUUUGAUCCGGAUGGAAGCUUGAUUCUUAAGUAACAUAAGACAUCAGUUCACUUUCACACAGCUCAAAAUUGUAGCAAACUCAGUUUGGCGCACUGGUGGAUAUGUUGCAGUAUAUCAAAAUAUGAACCAGCAAGUACAUUGUAGUUUCGUUAGUUCUGUUGCCAAUGUACCCACCGGAGCAAGAGCACACCGGAAUUCGUGUGCACAUAUCAUGUCAACCCAACUUUACAUUUCAGAGAACCAGAUCAAUUAACUUAUCUUUGCAUAAUUGUGGUCGUGAAAGACAUGUAAACAAAAUGAGCCACAAUAGUCGCAUAACUAGACCAACCGGCAGAUAUGAUGAAGACUGGAAGUUUCAGUCACAAAUACAAGAUAGAAACGGCAUCAAAUCAGCAUCAAGAAAGUCAUAUCAAAGCAUUCGAGCGGCCUGAUAUCAAAAGCCCCUUCAGAUAACUACUACGACAAAUUAAGCAAUUCAAAAAUCUAAUUCCUAUCCCAUAUGGGCACGUCGAACCUCUGUGAUAAUUACCAUAGAUUGCACCACAACAUGUUGCGCCAGAGCAAUACUGAGGCCACUCACUUAGCAGCCAUACAGUGAAGAAAUCAUAAACUUAAAGUAAUGCAAGCAUAAUCACAACGAAGCAAGGACAAACCAUGAUAUCAUAAACAAUAGUCAGGAAGGAUUAGUUGCACUUGCUAUCCGGGCAAAACUGCGAUCAUAAGUUUGGAUCUGCCACUCUCACUCAAAUCAUGAUAUCUUUUUAAUGGAGUGGCAUGGACUAUUCUCCGGUAAUUUAACUCCUAGCAACCACGGAUAACUCCACAAAACAUGCAUUUGAAAAAACAAAAGAGCUAGAUAGUGAUAGAAAUUACAAUCUGACAUCAAAGGUAGAGACACUAAAGCUCCAAGCUCCGUCUUCACAAGGGUAAAACUGCACGACAGAUUACACUAACAACCGAAUGUUUCAUAUCCGUUCAUUUAUCCAAUUCCAGCAACAUAACUUUUCUUCCAAAUCAAAUCAAAAACAAAAUGUUUCAGGCACAGGAAUAGAGUUAGAUUUAUCUAUAUUCCAGCUUCACGAAUUCGGCUAAAGUCCCGUAGAUUUCUAAGACGGAAGCAGUAUAGCAAGUAGACUCCAUCGAACGAGCAGAUGCGAGCAAUUAGACGAAACAGCGACGGUAAAGCUUCACAAAAGGCAAUCAUAAUAGGAGCUGAGAGUGGGAAAGAAUAACGAGCGCGAGGUCAGAUGGAACCAACCGAGAUCGCCGCCGCGCUUGGCGGAGCUGCAGUCGGAGAAGCGCGAGGCGAGGUCCUCGAACUUGGCCUUGCCGGCGACGAUGUCCUCCCUGAGGGCCUUGAGCUGCGAGACGGCGCUCUCGCGGGUGGUGCUGCGGAUGACCCUGCCCUCCAGAUCCUUCCACGAGGCCUUCCUCCGGGAGCCCUCGUGCUUGAUGAGGAUGUGCGAAGCGCGGACCUGGCUUUUCGCCCCCCUCCGCCCCCGCCGCCGACGACGACAUCUUGGCCUUCGCCCGGUGCUUGUCCCUGAGGCUGCCGGACUUGGCGGCGGCUGGAUCUGCCGAUGAGGUGGUUGUGGAGGACGGUCUCUUCCUCUUGCGAUCGGCGGACUCUAUUUUGGCAGGCUAAAAACGGCGGCGACCUCGUUCUGCUCCCCUCGCUGCGUUGAAGACUGAAGUUCGAGUGCGGUGCUGAGUUCGGUGACGAUGGAGAGAGUCGAGGCAGGGGGGAUGGUGGCUUUUAUAUGGUGAAUUUCUCAAUAUUUUUUUUCCUAUAUAUUAGAAAUGGACACGUCAUUGAAAGUAAUUAUCCUCUGCUAGCUUUUUCAAUCAACUAAUCUUUCGACCCAAAAAAAAAAAGUAUGAUUAAUCCAAUUUCAAAUAUUAGGCUCAUUUUAUUCAGCGAAAAAUAACUAAUUUAAAAAUCAUUUUUAAAAAAAUAAUUACUCAUCUCACUUAUAAAAAUGACAAUAUUUUCUGGUGUUCGGCUAAAACCUGAAAAUGUUUCGGAAAAUAUUUUUUAGUAUGCGAUAAGAAAAAUAUUUUCUAAAACUUCACUACUUAGGCAUGCAUCAUUUACCGACCUAUAAAUUUAUCAUAUAGAAUUUGCCUUUAAAUUCAAGCAAAUUUGCUUCAUAUUUUGUUCUGCCCCUAUGAGAAUCUUCCAGUUGAGUGGCAUGUUCUCCCCCUGCAUUUUUUGUGUUUUAAUAAAAUAAAAUAAAAAAGCAAAGCAUGUGGAGUUCUUUGCUUGUGCAAUGUACAACUGUAGGGUAAAAUAAAUAAAUAAAAAGAUAAGCAAGAGUGCAGAGUGCGGGCUUGAGAUCGACGAGCUCAAGAUUCGCCUAGCAACGGCCGACGACUAGCCAAAAAAGAAGAUGGGAAACAAAAAAAAAGAAAAUAAAUAGAAAGAAAAGAAAAUUAAAAAUAAUUCGAAUUAAAAAAGAAAAUGAAAAUUAAAAAAUAAUUUGAACAAAAAAAGAAAAUUAAAAUUAAAAAAUAAUUUGAACAAAAAAAGAAAAUAAGAAAAAGAAAGUGAAUGAGAAAGUGAGGAUAUGUAGAGGUGUAAGAUAAGAAAUAUCAAGUGAUGAAGAUGUUUUCCACUUUUCAAAUGUGGAAAAUAUUUUUCCUUUCUUACCUUUUACCAAAAAAAAUAAAUAUAUAUUUCCUUAAUUUAGAAGACUUUUUUUUUUUUAUGGAAAACAUUUUCCCUAAGGAAUUCAUUUUCCGUGAAAUGAACACCGGAAAAUCUGAAAAAUAUUUUGCCACAAAUUAUUUUCCGUAAAACGAACGGAGUCAUCACACCUCUAUCUAAUGGCUAAGCUUUUGAAACGAUCGGCAGUGACCUCAUGAAAAAAUCUUGCUUGUGCGUGAGAAGUGUGUACAAUUUUGCCUCAUGCUCACCGGUAACUUGUAGUCAUAUACAAUGAUCAAUCGACGCCAAAUCCUCAUUUUAGUUUCAUUUAGCCAGCCAGCGACGAUAUCCACUCGAAGCACUCUACUAGGCCCUAAAAACUAACAAAUCUCUUACAGUUGAAUGUACACAGUAUGUCUAGUUGUCUACAGAGUCUACACUUCAGCAGGUCCAACCGUUCCAACUACUACAAAAUGAGUGCGGGCAUCACCUUCAAUGUCGCCACCGCAUUCACUUCGAUUCUACCAUUAGCCUCUGCAGUUUUCAUCAUUAGACGGGGGGAGAGAGAGAGAGAGAGAGAGAGAAACAAGGCCUAGUAAUAGUGAACAUGAUCGGCAGGACGAUCUUCUUGCCAGAAGUGAAACAAGAAAACUUACAUGGAAUUUGAUAAACAUAUUGCAGGCAUCAAAAGAUGGUAACAUCUACAGGGCAAUUACAGUUGCAUGUCUAUCAAUAUUUAUCAUCGAUUGGUAUAAACAUCAACAACUCCGAAUUGGAUCAGUUUCUCCUCAACAAAUAAGUGCUUGGGCCAAAAAAAUCCUCCCUAAUGGAGAGAUAGUUGGAGAGGUGACAAAACCCUAUACUUUUCAUUACAAAACCAAUAAACCGGAAAAGAAUGGAUUGUUUUGUGAAAGAAUUUUUGGUCCUAUAAAAAGUGGAAUUUGUGCUUGUGGAAAUUAUCGAGUAAUUGGAGAUGAAAAAGAGGACCCGAAAUUUUGUGAACAAUGCGGAGUAGAAUUUGUUGAUUCUCGGAUACGAAGAUAUUGGGAUACAUCAAAUUAGCAUGUCAGUAACCCAUGUGUGGUAUUUGAAACGUCUUCCUAGUUAUAUCGUGAAUAUUUUAGAUAAACCUCUUAAAGAAUUAGAAGGGCUAGUAUAUUGCGAUGUGUGAUUUGAUCAAAAUUCUGAUUUUACAUAUUCGAAAUAAGAAACUGUCAUCCCAGUCAACUGAAUUGUGAUGCCCCAGAUCUGACAUGUCUUGUGAAAGGAGUGAUAUGAAGCUUAGAAUUAUGGGUGUAUAAAAUAUUCCAAGGGGAUUGGUCUAUGGUCGAUUCAGUAAAAAAGAAAUAGUAUUUUUAGUUGGACCUCGUGAAAAAAAGGCUUCUUUAUUUGUGAAAUUAAUCAUUAAUUUCUCUUAGAAGGAAAUAAAAUUAUGUUUAUGUUCAACUAGCAAAUAUGUCAUGGUUGCAGGAGUCUAUCCAUCGCAUAUAGGCUUUAAGGACAUCGUAGCAUAACCAUCGAGGUGAUGUUAGGACCUAAAAAAUCGAAUGGAAGGAUACAUAGACAAGUAAAUCCCUUAUAAAACCCUUAAAGGGAUUGUCAUUCAAAGGGAAGUAGACUACUCAAGAAUUUCACAUUUCAUUUAUGUAGAAUUGAAUAAAGAAUUCUAAAAAUCUAAAUAAAACAAAAAUAAGAAUGAAUCAAUGAAAUAUUGCUUGGUCUUCACUGCUAACUUGAGUAAGGAGUAGAUUUUUGGAGGUUUUUCGAGAAUUUGAAAGCGAAACAACCCCCCCCCCCCCCCCCCGCUUUUUUUAUUUGGUGUAACUACUUGAGCCGGAUGAAAGGAAACUUUCAUGUCCGAUUUUGAGGGGGGGAGAUCCUAUAGGAUCCUAUCCCAAUUUUUCUUUUGCUAGGCCCGUAGCUAAAAAACCUACUUUCUUACGAUUACGAGGGUUAUUCGAAUAUGAAAUCCAAUCUAAUAUCUCCCAACAUCCCAAAACUAGCCGUUACCCCACCAGUAGUAGGAGAUGUAAGGAUUGAUAUAUAGAAUAACUUUUUAUGGGAUUGAUAAUCAUAUAAAGCCGGAGAUAUUUUAGCCAUUUGCAUCAAGCUCAAGCUUCCUUCUUGCAUACGUGCUCCUCCGGAAGCACACACUAGAAUCAGAGGUAAAAAUUUAUUGGUAGCAUACUCGAUCAAACGGGUGAUCGAUGCAACAAGUGGUAAACUUUAAUCGUACUUUUUACCAACUAAUCAACAGUAAAUUACAUUAGUAGGAAUAUAAGCCGAAACAUCUCCCGACUAAGUCUCCACUAUUGGUAAGGCAAUCAUACUUCCUUCACCUAAAAAAGAACUUAAUAAAGGAUCCAUGGAUAAAUAUAGACAAGCGUAUUUCCAAUCGUAACUAAAUCUUUCAUUUUUUCUUUUUAAAUUGGAAGUAUUGAUCCAAUUCAAAAAAAAAAAAAAUUAUGUUUCCCAAUUAAAUAAUCCAAUUUUCCAUUUUUAAUUGACCCUUGGAUACAAAUCACGAGAAUGUAUAUUUUUCCUCGAAUCCUUCGUUGAGAGGUAAAGGAUUAAAUCCUUUUAAGAAAUAAAGUUUUUCUUCGGAAUAUGAAUCAAAUCAAAUCUUGUUUCCUCUCAAAAAGUUGGAUUUACAGCUCCUAGCGCAGAAUGGACUGAUGAAUUUGUUGCCAUCUGAAACGAUUGAUAUAUUGUUUAAUCUAGGAACUAAACAUUUCUCAAGAGAGGCCAACUUUUUCUGAUGAUAUCACCAAUCUUCGCAUCAAUCUGCUUCUGAAUGUGAGGUGGGCAAAGCUCACCUGCAAAACUAUUCAAUUUUGCAGCCAAACUUGAUUUCUGAAGUUCCUCUUCAGGCAGGUUUCCCAUCAGCUGGAGGAGGAGUGGUUUCUGCUUGAGCUCAAACUUCUGCAUAAUUCAUGGUACGGGAAUUCUUGUCAGAAAUGAGAAGAGACUAUUUCCAGUUCCUUGUGACCAACAAAAGUGCCAGAUGGUACAAUUGAAAAUUUAUAUGGAGCGCAUGCAUUUCUCAGGCGACAAGCUGAAGAUUUCAGAUAUGUCUGCAAUAUGCAUUCUAAUUGCAAGCCAAAACGAAAUUAAACAGCUAGAAGAGCCAUAACAUGCUGCAGAGGAGCCAAGGAAACAAUCUUUCAACUUGUUCACAACAGAUCUGGCUUGACAAUUCAGGGCAUCAACCUAAGCAAAUUAAUACACAGGUGGACCUUUUUCUCUUUCAACAGAACUAGCAGCAAAGCACUUCCUUACACAUCAAAAACACCUAGAAUGUUUCACAGAUCAUUAUCAUGGCAAAUCAAGACAAAUCAAAAUAGUUGGAAGCACCACCCCAAGUUAUUUCCACUCCUUUGGAGGAAUUUUGGAUCCACACACAGAAUGAAUUACUGGUAACAUAUUUGGAUUGCAGGUAUUAAUGUAGCAUUUGGCUGAGGGAGCAGCCAGGUAUGAAUGAGGGACUGCUCUAAAUAUGGAAAGUUCUUCAACCUCACUCGUUGUCAGUCGAGCCAACAAAAAGUGAGGGCAAUAUUAAUAAGUUCAGAAUUUACCUACCAAUUUUCUCCAACGAGAAAGAUGGGCUGGUUAAGGUGGACACAAUGUAAUGAGAGAUAUAGACAGGUGCAAGCUCAGAAAUACCUAUUCGGAAAUACCCACUUGAUGAUUGGCAUAUUAAUAUUCUGACCUAUUGAGUUAAUGAUGACUGGUGAAAUCAAUUAUCUGAUAGGUAUAGUUUUAAGUAAUAAUGUGCAGUUCCCAAUUUCUUAACCUGAUGUUCAGGCUCUGCAUGAUAAAAUGUUUCAAGAUGUUGAAUCUGAGUAGUGACAACACUGCUCUUGGACUUGCUUUGCUCUCUUUCUUUGCUAAGGGCUGCUAGCCUGGACUCUUCAGUUCCAUUUGUGAAGAUAAUUGACCUGACAAUACAAUUUCAUCAGUAAAUAUUAGGUAGACACAAAGCAACAGGCUACAUAUCCUAAUUCUGAUUAACAGGAAAACUUUCGAUGCAAAUAAUUGCCAUCACCUGUACUGGUUACCAACAUCUGGACCUUGCCCAAGAACUUGCCUCGAAUCAUGACUAGACCAAAAGACAUCCAAGAGUUGCCUGUAACUAAUCAAUCUAGGAUCAUAUUCCACAUGUAGAGCAGCAUUCACAAAAACAAACAAAGCACGAGUAAAUAUUGAUACCAACUAGCAAUUUUCUUGUAAUUAAAAGAUUAAGUUCCGAUUAGGGAUACUGAAUAGCGAUGUUUACAAGAACCAAAAACCAUGGACAUAGUGAAAUCUUGAAACUCUCUUGCUCAAAAGAGAGAAUUCAUAGAUGAAACUUUCUCGCCAACCACCUCCUCCUUCCCACUCCCCAAAAGGAAAAAGAAAAGCGACAAAAUGCAAAAGAAAGGGGAGAGUCAAAAUAAUGUUUUCUUUUGAUAGAGUCUCUGUUUGAAUUGCUCAAAUCUUAACUGCUCAUAUGCCCUAUGUCAAUCAUUAGACAUUAGUCGCCCAAGAUGCAUCAAUCCAAAAUGAUUGACAUGCAUAAAUCAGACUGAUCCUCAGAGGAAAGCGCAAGAAUAAUCCAGCACCUUUCACUUCAUUAGCAAAUCACAAAUGAUGAAAAUGCAAACUUACAGAAUCAAACAUUCAAUAUUACCUCUUUCUACGUCUUAUGGCAAUUUCUUUAUCAACCAGACACUAAGGAGGGCCUGCUUAGUAACUAUCAUAUCCCCAUUUCGUAAUGUCAGCUAAUUUUUAUAUUCCCCAGAAUUAAAAAGUGGCCAGAAAAUAGAUUUACAACAGAAACAUUAAGUAAAAAAAAAAAUCUACUUCUUUGUUUCAGGAACAGAAAUGGGAAAAACUAUUUAUGAACAAAAAUCAUUCCUGGGAACAGAAAUAUAACUAAACAGAGACUGAAGGGAAUACCCUUAUUUCAUAAACAUGCAGAACCUAUUCAAUUGAUUAGAAGCAACCAUCACGCAAUCUUUACCGUUUUCACAGACUCGAAAGUCUGACGUUUCAUGAAGAUAAAGCUAAAAGUACCACCUGGCAGUGGCAUCUGAUGGUUAAUGCCCAAUAGCGAAUAUCGUCCUCAAUUAUUAGGAAGGAAACAACAAUGUGAAGGACAGGAUUCUGAAACUGAAAGAAACAAGAACAACGGCAUCCACACUAGUCGACAAAUGAUAGCGAAGCAUUUCCAAUCAUUGAAACUCUAUACUAGUCGAUAGCACCAUCAGCUUCUGAUCUGUACAAUCCCAAAGUUCUCCGUCUCCUAUUCAAUUUGCAAUUACACGGAAUCUCCUCGCGAUAGCUCCGCAGCAUAAAACGGAAUCAAGAUUCACGAAGAAAACCACCUGAACGCAUUCGGCGUGAUCGCGCAAGCUCCGGUACUCGGGGUUGGGCUUGGAACCGCCGGCGUAACCGACGGCGGUCCGGACGACGCCGUCGAGGCAGCCGAAGACGGCCUCGGACCUCCAGAAGCUCCCGAGGGCGAAGACGGCGGUCCUCAGCGGCUGGUUCGGAGAGCCGGCGGCCGGGUCGGGGAUCCGAUUAGCGAACCUGAUGCACUGGGCGUUGCCGAAGAGCGAAGCGAGGACGAGGAGGAGGAGGGUCGAGAGGUUGGGUAGAGAGAGAGGGACGCCUCUCGAGAGACGAAUGGAGCGGGUCUCGGAGAGCGGCCGCGGCCCUUCCAUGGGCAUCGGCGUCGUGCAGGGGGAACGGGAGCGUCCGCAAGGGGGGAGGAGGAGGAGGAGGAGGAGGAUGAUGAUUUGGAUCGGGUCAUGGAUCUGCUCGUUUUUUCCAAAUAUUACUUUUUUCUCUGUUAUUAUAUUUUAAGCCAUUUCGUACUUUUUUUUUUUUUUAGGGUGGGGGUAGAUGCACUGUCCACUGUGACGUAUUUAUCACAAUUUCUUUUUUGUGAUAUUAAAAACUUUAAAUAUAUAUUUAUAUGACACAUUUACUCUGUCUAACACAUUUACCAUAAACUUUAGCCCAAACUUUUAUUUAUAUGACACAUUUACCUAAAAAAUUUGAUAUCAUAAAAAAAAGUUUAAGAUUUUUAGUAUUAUAGAAAAAAUUUUGAGGUAAAUAUAUCAUACGAGUAAAAUUUUGGGAUUUUUUGUAUUAUUGAAAAAAUCUUAAGAUAAACGUGUCAUAUGAAUACAAAUUUGAGUUAAUCCUAGUGUGAGCUUUUUGAAUGAUUUGGCUUUAGACAAAAAUGUGAUGCUUUUGAAAAAUAUUUUUCAAGAAGACAUUAUUCUAAAAAUAACAAAAUUUUCAAUUGCUCAAUUAAAAUCUGAAUAUGAAUAGGAAUUUUUUUUUACCAUUUGGUAAGGAAAUUAGAUUUGUAGAGAAAAAUUACCUAAAGACUAAAUUGUAAUUAUGUUUUUAUUUUUUCUCCUUUUCUUUUCUUUCUUUCUUUUUUUUGGUUCUUCCUAGACUAAUAAUGAUUGCUCAUUGGCAAGAGACGAGCUUGCCAUUGAGGCUCUAGCAAGGCUAAGCUUAUUGAUCUUUAGCAAGGCUUGUGCCUUGUCCGAUCUAAUGAGACUCAAGCUCAAUGGCAGGUGGCCGUUUGGUUUGGUAAUUUUCUACUUAGGAAUAUUAAAUAUCUUCAUUUGGUUUGGAAGAUAUAUGAUUUGAAAAAUAUUUAAAAACAAUCGUCUAUAUUGCUUGAAAUAAUUAAGACAUGAUUAAUAUUUUCAUUAUUCCAAAACAAUUUAUGUCAAAACAUAUUCAUAGAUGAUUAUUGACACCCAAAAUUACCUUCAAGACCACGUGUCAGUCACGAGAGACUACUAGAUGAAACACUUUGUUUUGGUUCACGAAGUUAAGGGCAAAAUAGCUUUUGUGAAACUGUAGAAGCCAACUCUAGAGUCGAUGGCCAGGAGAUUAAUCGACACAUGUCAGACUAUAGGAAUAGUGCACCAAAUUUGAAAAUAAAGUGAAAUUAGCAUUAGAAUUCGUACAAGAAUUACUGUUGCGAGAAAUGCACAUAAAAUUAGGGAACAGUUAUUUGCUUGAGAAACAAACUGCACAAGCAUCGUCAACAGAGCAAGAAUUGGUUAUUAAAGGAUAAAGUCAUAAAAAAGAAAUGGAAAACAUGGAGAAUGCAAAGAGUAGUGAGGAACAACCAGUCCAAUCUAGAAAUAUCAUAGCCCUACCAUUGAGAAGCCUCCCAAAUAACACAACAAUUAUCUUUAUUUUAUCUUUACUUUAUCGCAUUCUAUCUAUAGCUUUCCAAAUUUCUGUUGUUGAUUAAAUUCCGACAUGUAUCUUUGUCCGGUCCAGCAUCGUUGAUUGAAUUCUAGUGUUGUUCUACAAACCCAACGUCAUUGAUUAGAUUACGGCGUUGUGUUUCUUACCCAAGAGUAUUGUUGUUUAUUAAAUUCCAACUUUACACCUAAAACAAGAUGCAUCGUAAAUUAAAUUCCAGCAUAGUUUGAGUUUGAAACAUAGCUGUUCGUAUUUAGAUAACAUCAUUGAUUAAAUUCCGGUGUAAUUUGUGCCUAGAAGUAGUCAAUCUUCGAGUCAUUCGAGUACCAAUUGUCAGGGUUGUAUGUAUAAGUUAAUAAAUAAGACUCUUCCUUGCAUUUGACAUUCUCUGUCCAAGCUCAACAUAGAACUUGAGUCUGCUAUAAUAAAUCCAAAAAGCAACAUCUCGUGAAAGAUUUUACAAGGAUCAAAACCGGUGAAACAUCUUUUUGGCAUGCCUGGUAGGACCUUUUGUGUUAAGUUGAGAGAAUGCUAUGCCAUGAAUCCGAAGUCAAAUCAACUUGAAUAAUCUUACAGAGGAGCAAGUGCUGAUGGCUGAGAUAAUGCAUAGGCCGAGUCAUCAUCAGCCUAACAUCCUCAAAAUGAGGUCACAAAUCAACUCCAAGAGGAUGGUGCCGAUGCUUCAAGACAUCAUGCAAAAGAAAGAAGACAGGCGGACCUCACAUCGAUCAUGCUUGCUACUAUGAGGCGAACAAUGGAGGAAACUUAGAAUGAAUUUGCUGAUCAAAUGGUCAGGCGGAUGACUGAUGUAGUCAAACUAUUAAUCAUCAACACAUAUCAAGAGUCAACCCCAAGUUGGGCAAGUCCCUAUUUCGACCAAGUAUGUUCCUAUAUCAUCAGCUUCAUAAAUGACAUUAAGUAAUGCACCAUAAACCUUGUCGAUUGCACCCCCUUUGAGAAUUCUUCAAAGAGGAGAAGUUUUUGCGACUACGCAAGCCGAUGGAUCUACCAAUGCGCCUGUCAUUACAAAUGCCGAUCGCAGUAUUGCAAUGUUCGUUUUGCCAACAACUCAACAAAAUACAUUAUUAGAGAAUGCCUCAGGAAUGAGACUAACUCAGCUAGACCCCAUUCUAAUGCCUCUGGCAAAUGCGUUCCCUAUUACAGUAGAGGUUCCCAAAGCAGUAAUGAGUCCGGCCAGGGGGCAAGACCAACUACCACAAAUGAACGUUUAGCUUCAGACAGGAGUCUGAAUGUUCAAUCCCAAGUGCCUUAGUUAGGGGCAUUUAAUGCCCAGCAAGUUCCAAAUAUACAGCCCUAGGUGCCUUUCAAAGUUCAACCUCAUAUGUUGUAGCAAUCUCUUCUUCCCGAUUAGGUGAACAUGCCCAAUCCACAAAUGAAUGCGGUACCUAUAGCCCAGCCAUAGCCACAAUUCUUUAGGCCUUAGCAACAAUAUCAUCAAGUACCCCCAACAAAAUGCAAAUGUAGCAUGACAGCCCAAUAAUGUUGUGCAACAGGUUCCAGGGUUCCCUCAUAUGGCUUCAAUUCAAAAUCAACCAAUAAUUGAGCCAUUGUUGAUAAUGUACAUUAAUGAUAUUGCAUCUUUUGCCAACAUCUAUAGGAAGCUGUACCCAAACUAGAUGAAUACUAUACCAUAUCCAAGGGAUUCCGAAAUGCUUGAGUUUAUCCUAUUUACCGAAGAAGAGGAUCAGUCAACUUUUAAACGUGUUAAUUGUUUUCUAGCGCAGUGCGGAUAUGCAGGAUAUGCAGAUAAUUGGAAGUGGAGGUUAUUGCCUUUAUCAUUAUCAAAAUUUGCUUUUACUUGGUAUACUGCAUUGCCACCCAACUCGGUUAAUUCAUGAGAACAAAUAGAAAGAUUAUUUCACACCUGGUUCCACAGGGCUAUCCCAAAUUGUGCGAAGAAAUCCUCGUAGAUGAAAAUGAGGGGGCAAAAUUCUAUUUUGAUCUUGCGGAAGUAAUGGAAUUUGAAAAACCUCUAGCACAAAUUUCGAACCAUUUGAGAGCAUUAAAUAUAAAUGCCAGAAAUAAUGGUUGACCCAUAUCUUAAGUGCUAGUCGACAGGGUAUCCACAUUGAAUCUUAUCCCCUUCGCUUUUACCAAAAAAUGGGAAGAAAAGAGAACGAAAUCAUUCCAUCAAACAUUCAGUUGUCAGACUUUACGAGGGAUGUUUUAGAUGUUAAAGGAAUAUAUGUGGCUGACUUAAUUAUAAGAUCGAAGAUUUCUAGAACUUAUUUUUUGUGUCAUCGAUGCUGAUGGAUCAUAUAAUUUAUUACAUGGAAAGGAUUGGAUUCAUGGUAAUCAAUAUGCACCAUCGACUCUUCACCGGAUGUUGGCAUUUUGGAAUUGUGAUAAGGUUAAAUAUGUUAAGGCAAAUACUAAACCACGAGUACCAUGUUCCCACUCGAUCAUGGGAUGCUAGGGAGCAUUGGAAGACAAUAUUUGCGUAAGUAGACCCCUAUUUGUGAUCCAAACAGCAUCACAUUCUGCUGGUUUGAUAAGGGGAUAAUUGAAUGGAUCCCAAAGAACCAACUGGCAGAGUAAUUUGAUAAGGUUGUUUAUGGAAAACCUUAUAUUAUCGAGAGACCUCAUUAGGAGGUACUCGGCCUAUAGAGCCGAAUUAGCAAAGCAGGACGCUAAAGCUAUUAAAAGAAUUGUAGAGUUCAAAGACUCGCAUAUCAAAAAUGAUAACAAGGUAAUUGAAGCUUGAGACCCAUUGGAAGAAUUAAUCUUGGCACUGAGACUAAUUGACAACCUAUUUAUGCAAGUGCCCUACUUGAUGAUGAAUUCAAAACUCGAUUGGUAAAUUUGCUAAUAAAAUACAGAGACUGCUUUGCUUGGGAUUACCAUGAAAUGCCUGGGUUAGGAAAAGAUAUGGUUAAGCAUCAACUACCAAUAAAAACGGGUUUCAAGCCGCAUAAAUAACCGCCCAAACGUUUCAUGCUAGAAGUCAUACAAAAGAUUAAACAAGAAAUUGAAAGACUACUCUCAGUGAGCUUUAUAAGAACAACAUCGUAUGUCAAAUGGUUGUCCAAUAUUGUCCCUGUAAAAAAGAGAAAUGGAAACUCAAGGUGUGCAUAGAUUUUCGCAACUUGAAUGCUACAACGCCCAAGGAUGAGUACCAAAUGUCAAUGGCUGACAUGCUUGUUGAAUCAGUUUCCAGCAAUGAAAUUAUGUCACUUAUGGAUGGUCAUUCAGGCUAGAACCAGAUAUUCAUAGCGGAAGAAGAUAUCCAUAAGACUACAUUUAGAUGUCCAAGAGUAAUUGGUACCUUCGAAUGAGUAGUCAUACCCUUUAAAUUAAAGAAUGUAGGAGCAACAUGCCAAAGGGUAAUGAACUUCAUUUUCCACGGUAUAAUCGGUGACUUCAUGGAGAUUUAUAUUGAUGACGUCAUUGUCAAAUCAAAUCAGGUAAGUCAUUUGCUUUAUUUAGAAUAAGCCUUUAUUAGGAUACAAAAGUAUAAAUUAAAAAUGAACCCUCUAAAAUGUACUUUUGGAGUUAAUGCUGGUAAUUUUCCAGGAUUUCUGGUUAAUCAAAGAGGGAUAAAAAUAGAUAAAAAUAAGGUUGAGGCCAUCCUAGAAUUGUCGCCACCGAUUACUAAAAAAUAGCUUCAGAUGAUAUUAGGAAAGAUAAAUUUCUUACGUCGAUUUAUCGCUAACUUUUUAGGAAAGAUUGAAGUGUUUUACCCAUUAUUGAAACUUAAAAAUCAAGAAGAGUUUAUAUAAGAAGACAAGCAUCAGUAGAAAUUCAACCAAAUAAAAGCAUAUCUUUACAACCCUCUAGUUUUGAUGCCACCCAAGGUGGGUAGGCCAUUGAAACCAUAUUGUCAGCCACCGAUACUACUAUCGGAUGCAUGCUGGCACAAGAGAAUGAUGAGGGGAAAGGGCAAGUAAAUUAUUACUUGAAUCGAAUGAUGAAUGAUACAAAGACAAGAUACACAGCUAUUGAGAAAUUAUGCUUGUCAUUAUACCAUGCCUGUACUAAGUUACAUCAUUGUAUGUUGUCGACUACGGUACAUGUAAUAUGUAAAACAGAUGCGAUCAAGUACAUAGUAUCUCAACCAAUAAUAAAAGAGUCAAAUUGCCAAAUGGACAUUCACACUCUCAGAAAUUAACUUGGUAUAUAUCCCAUUAAAGGCUAUAAAAGAGCAAGUAGUAGCAGACUUUAUUAUUGAGUAUCCAGGUCUUCAAGUUGAAGAUCAUUAAGAGGGAUGUGUCCAGGUAGUUCCUUGGACCUUGUAUUUUAAUGGGUCAAGCGUAGCUGGGUCAGAAGGAACUAGAAUUUUAAUAGUCUCUCCACACGGAUAAAGGUCCAAAAUGAUGUUUAAACUGGAUUUCAGGUGCUCGAAUAAUUAGGCUGAAUAUGAAGCGUUAAUUGUUAACCUGAAUAUUUUGGCUGACAUGAAGGCAAGAUUCAUUAAGGUAACUGGCAACUCUCGAUUGGUUAUAAAAUGAUUGUCUAAAGAGUACUAGUGCUUAAAUGAAAAUAUUAUUUCUCAUUAUUAGCUUUUAGAUCAUUUCGAUGAUCAUGAGUUGGUUCACAUCAAGAGAAAUCAAAAUGCAAAAGCCAAUGAAUUAGCUCAAAUGGCAUCCGAUUAUAAGAUAUUUGCACAUUUAGAUGCUACGACCGUACUAUCAAGAGGAUUAGCUGCUAAAGGUAUCUAUCCAGCAGUAGAUCCUUCUAAAGAAUUGAUAGAUUAUAUUAUCACACAGAUAAAGACAAUGCCUUGGAUUAAUAAUAGGAUCAUGUUGAUUCAAGAUACACAAGCCCCAAACAAUCAAAUGAUGGAUUAAGAUUGGAGAUUUCUGUUUACUAAAUACUUGAAAAGAAAAGCAAUUAAUACUUGCUGAUCGGCGACGAUCUAUAUCGCAAAACUGUGGAUGGACAAUUAUUGAAAUGCUUGGGAAAACAUGAGUCUAUGCUCGUAAUGGCUAAAGCACGUGAAGGCAUAUGUGGUGCACAUCAUACCGGAGUAAAAAUGAAAUGGCUAUUGCAUCGACAUUGUUAUUUUUAGCCAACUAUUAAAGAUUGCAUCAACUAUGCCGAAGGAUGUGAAACAUGCCAAAAGCAUAGCCCUAUUCAACAUGUACCAAUCUCGAUACUGAAACCCAUAAUUAAGCAUUGACCAUUUAGAGGAUGAGCCAUGAAUAUAAUUGAGAAAAUAUAUCCUCCCUCGUCCAAAAAGCAUAGUUUCAUAUUAGUGACCAUGGAUUAUUUUACAAAAUGAGUUGAAGCCGCAUCUUAUAAAAAUAUUACACAGAAGAUAGUAAAAGAGUUCAUUAAAGAAUAUAUUAUCUAUAGGCUUGGCAUUCCGAAGUCAAUAACUGCUAAUCAAGGGAUAGUAUUUAUUGGUCGAGAGAUGUUGGAUUUUACCAAGUCAAGAGGAACCAAGAUGAUACAUUCGACGCCUCAUUAUGCCCAAGUCAGUGGUCAAGCCGAAGCCUCUAAUAAAAUAAUUAUUAAUUUAAUUAAGAAGCAUUUGGAAGAUAAUACAAGGGAAUAGGAUUCUUUACUAUCGACGGUCUUACAAGCCUAUCGAACGUCUAAGAAAACCGUGACUGGAGUUAGUCCAUAUAUGUUGACAUAUGGCCAAGAAGCCAUAUUACCAUUUGAAAUCACUGUCCAAUCAUUAAGAGUAAGGCUUCAAGGCGAACUAGCCAAAGAAGAAUAUGAUGACCUCAUGUAUGGCAAUAUUGAUGAAUUGGGUGAAAGUAGGGCGGCUGCUUCGGAGAGGCUAGUCCUUCAAAAGAAUAGAGUUGCAAAAACAUGCAAUAAGCACAUAAAAGAGAAAUGGUUCGAUGUUAGUGACAUAGUUUGGAAGCCAAUUUUGCCAACAAGCACGAGCAUAGAUAAUGAGAAAAUUGGCAAAUGGUCACCAACUUGGGAAGGACCAUAUGUAGUCUCCGAAGCCUUUAGUGAAAACACCUAUCGACUAAUGGAACGAAGGCAAAGACUUGCCUCAUACAAUAAAUGGAAAAUUCUUAGAAAGAUAUUACCCAACCAUGUAGGAAAUGCAAGGAAAUGAAUAACACAAUAUGGAAAAAGGUGGUAUUAUUAAAAAGAACACUAUGCUUACAACCCUAGCCGGAUUAUCUAUUUGAAUCCCAGAUAUCUUUUGAAGUCGAGGACAAGACAGGAAAAGCAGGACUCGAGGCAUUGGUUGCCUUUGACUGCUGAUGCACUCGCCUUCUUCAAAUCGUGCAUGACUUCAAAAACCAUCCUCUGCUCUUUUUCCAGGCGACUAAGGAUGGUGAUUUGGGUCUCAACAAGGUCAUUCAUUUGGCUGAUAAGGAUCUCAGAGUUCUUAAGAUGCGGGUCGAUCACCUUAUAGGUAUUGGCUUAUACCUGUCUUGAGUAACCUUUUCCUUUUCCAACGGACUGAGAUCUUUUUCCAACUCCUCAACCAAAGCCAUCUCUCUCAUAGUUGAGUAAGAAUGGAGACGAUGAAGUUAAAGGUGCAAAAUGUCCAAUGAACUUCGGGCAUUCACCAGUUCAUCAUACACCGCUUCCACACACCCUAUUUCUUCUUGCUUGCAUUGAUGUGCUUGCUUGGCGGCUGUGUAGGAAUCGAUGGUCGACUUGUUGGCUUGAUAAGCAGCGAGAUCAUGAUCAAAGGUGAUCAUGAAUUUUUAAUCUCUUCACAGGAAAGGAUAGUCACUAGAGACGUCAGUGGGGUAGCAGUUCCAGAUCAGCUUUCAAAUGGCCUCGAUGAUCUUUGGCUCUUUGUAAAUUACAACCAAAUUUAGCAUCAAUUUCGAGAGCAAGUCGCUCUUCAGGGUAAGGAACUUGUCAUUCGAGGACGAUGAGGUAGAGGAGGAAGAUCAACCUGCCAUGGCUUCGAGGUAUGGAAGAAGAGUGAGAAGGUUCACGCAUGUAGAUGAAUGCGUAUGAAUGGAUGGAUUCAUUUGGAGCACAAUCCUCUAUAUAUAGAUCAAUAGCGAGGAUUUGAAAAGACGCGAUUUUUGGAGCUCGUCAUUAUAAUGGAUUUCUUGGAAGAGAUGAUGCUUAUUGAUAGUCGAAUUGAAUCACGGAUUUUGGGUGCCGACAAGGUUCAACAUUAUGGAGAUAUUCAAAAGGUGCAAACUAUUGUGAUAUAAUAUGUGGAAAUGACAGGAUGUUGCAAUUUACGUCAAUACGAAAUCACAAAAAAAAAAUAAGAAAAAUAAGGACACCAGAAAUUUGUUCGAUUAUCGGUACUUACAUCCACGGAGAGAGCCAGCAGCAAACGCUCAAGUGCCCACAUCUAGAUUUAACUCCAAAUCUAAAGUGUUUAUAAAUAAAUAACUCACUUGGAUAUAAACUCACAACACAAAAUUACAGCAUAUUCAAGUUCAAAACAAAACACUAUACGUAUGCCAAAAUCAAGAACUCCGGCGUUCAUCUUUCAUCCACGUAUGUAAAUCUUCACGUUCCUUUGAAAAGGUUCGCGUGUCUUCAAGGAAACUUGUGGCUCCCUUCUGAAUUUCGUAGGGUUUCGGCAGUCCGAAGAAAACUCCUGAAGACUUCGGCACAUUAUUUAUAUGUGCGCCCAAGGGAGGGCCCACUUUUGGCUUCUUUGUACGUAAAGGGCUUCGGCAGCUUUGAGUGCCCGGGAAGUCAAAGUCGUGACUUGGGCCCCACGAAGAUAAUUCUUCAACGUAGAUUAGGUUUCCUCCUUCACGUAAAAGUGAAAUCCUUCUUUCCUUUUAUUUUAUCUUCGUCGGCUUAUGCAGGUUCCGCAAAUAAAAGAAGAAACUUUGCUCUUUUUUUUUUCUUUUUAUUUUUUGGAUAACUUCAAGAGUCUAACGAUUCGCAUUUUAUAAAGGGUUAAUACCCUGAAAAACCCCGAACUGGUAUACUUGUGACAAAUUUACCUCAAACUAUUUUUUUGACCAUGAAAAAUCUCAAACUGGUACACUUGUGACAAAUUUAUCCCGACUGACCAUAAAAAACUAUAAAUUGGUACAUUUAUGACAAAUUUACCUUAAACUAAUUUAUUCGACUGCAAAAAACCUCAAAUUGAUAAAUUUGUGACAAAUAUACUCUUUGCUAAAUUGAAUUAAUACCACAAAAAAAUCAUAAAAAUUGUAAACUUUGACAAACGGAUUGUAAAAUCCCAAAUUGGUAUACUAGUCAAUUGUCACGUGUCAUUUAACUUAAUAAUUUGAUAAUAAAAUUUAACAAAAACUAACAGAGGGUAAAUUUGUUACAAGUGUACUAGUUUGGGGUAAAUUUGUCAAAAGUAUACCAGUUUGGGAUUUUUGGUGGUCAAAAAAAUAGUUUGUGGUAAAUUUGUCACAAGUAUACCAGUUUGGGUUUUUCAAGGUAUUAACCCUUUUAUAAAUACUUAAACUUGAGAUAUAAUUUAACACAAACAUUAAUUAGUGUUUGUCCGUUUGAAUAAAUAUUAUAUACGUGUAAAUCCAUCUUUAGACAGCCAAUAUACGAAGGGUCUGUUAAUAUUACGUAGUUAUUAGAAAUGUUUUGACAUUGAUUAGUGUUUGCGUAGUUUGAAUGAGUUCUAUAUGCAUGUAAGUUUACUUUUAGGUAGCCCGAGAUAUGAAAAGUCCAAAAUAUUAUUUUUCACCAUAUUUACAAUAAGAAAAGAGAUUAGUACAUACGAGAGUUUAUCCAUCUAGGCCUAGAUGAUUCCUAAAUCUUAAGACGUAGUCAACCAAACGUCUCUCUGUGUCCCCGUUCUCUUAAAUCGCUUGGUCGUAAGCAAGGUAUUUUCCCUCCAAGAUCGACUUUGUUCGAGCAUUGAGCUCUUCCAGGUCCACUAGCGUAUCCUGGCAUGCUUAGGCCCUCUUUCCGAGGCUUGUCACCAUCUAUUGGCAGAGGACAAUCUCCUCUUCAACUACGGUCAGCAGAGUGGGUAUCCCAGGGGGCACGGUGUGGUCAAGACCCUAGGUUCUGAUCCUUGCCUUUUCCAUGGCCACGUCAUCCCCGUAGACCGUUAUCCAUUCCGUCAUUUUUUGAACGUCAUCCUUGACCUAGCGCCACUUGUCACCAAUCUUCCGGAUGUGGCAAUUGUAGUCAAACACCCCUUUUAACCUCUUCUUCUAACUUGCGGGAGGAAGAGAUUAUGCUCCAGUUCUUGAUAGAUGAGUCCAACGCCUCUAUGAAGAAGCGGUAAAACUCGUCAGUCCUCCCUGAAGCGGUGCGUGGGAGGAAGGUGAGUAGGCUUGCCAUUGUAGACGAGCUUGAUGACCUCCCCAAGGUUCUCGAGAUUGUCGAUUAGUAACACAAGAGUCAUGAUGAGCUUUGUGAGUAGUCUCCUCUAGAGGUUUAGGAAAGCACCUCGGGAAGAUGUAGUGUUGAAGGAAGAGGAAGAGGAGUUUGCCAUGAAUGAUGGAGUGAACAAGGCUUUGACUGGCUCCGAUUAACACUCUCAGUGAUCAAAUUUUGAGUGGAUGAAGAGCUCUAUGGGCACCCACUGGGGUUUAUAUAGUGGAGAAAAAGAAAAAAUCUCAAAUUGAUGGCAUGAACGUGCGGGAUCAUGCCCAAAGGGGAGGUGCAAGUGCCACCAGUAAUGUAUAUUUAUCAUAGCGCAGUUAUUAUGGGAGCAAAACUAUAAUGAUAACCCGCCAGUUGUUGCUAACAUCCAUUGGACACUUUCUAAGUGUUUCAAGAAUGAUAAAAAUAUUUUUCAAUUACUCAUUUUUGUAAGCAAUACAACAAUGAUUUUUACGAAAGUAUUUUGCGAAUCAUUGUAUUUCUACGUAACAAAACUAUGAUUCCUUGGUGAUGCCGGAGAUACUCCUUCAUGAAAUUUUAUGAAUUCAUGAUAGCUAGAGUUCAGAUAAGUGGUGCUGCGCCGCUGCUAGGAAUUUCUACAAUAGCAUAUUUGUAACCAGUAACAUAUUUUUAUGCAUAAACAUUGGAUCAAACAGAGAUGCUUUUGAGUGACUGUUGAGUUAAUAAAUCUGGAUUUAGUUGUUUAUCCUGUCGUUUGAUCUUAUUUUGAAAAACAGUCGCUUGCAAUUUUGUUGUGAUACCGCUGUUUCCCAAAGGUUAUGCCUGGAGUCCAUGUCCAUUACCGAGAUAUUUAUGUUGCUGCUGAAAAUUAUGUAUACUCAGUUGCAUUGACGCGUCGGUGUAUUAUGUUUGUCGUGAUUAGGUUGUGGACGAUUGUACUCAUAUCUAAUGUUUAUUUGUUGACAAUACCCAAAAAUUAUUUUGAGUUACUUGCGGUGUUAAAGUACUCCUGGACUUUUGGGGAAUGCCUACACUUCUAAUCAUUAACGGAGAUAAAGGGUCACCUGCUUCACAAGCGAGCUCAUUCAGAUUUAGUAAAAAUUGCUGAGAAUAAACAGCGAGUUUUUAAUUAUUUUUCGGAUCUUAAAUUUUUUUUUUGAAAUUUUAAGAGAAAAUUAUAAAUUAAAGUGAUAAAUAGGCAAAAACCGGCCCCAAACUGGAUUUUACUAAGUAAAAUGUCAUUAACCACGUGGACAAGCCAGCUACUAAUUUAUGGUAGGUUAAAAGUUACUCUUUUUUUUUAAUUGCAACUUACGAAUCACUGUAAAACAAAUUACCGGUCUUGGUCUUACAAUUAGAUACAUUCUUGCUUUCCCAAAGUUGAAAGUGUACAAACCGGGAUGAAAAUUAAUCAUGUUAAGGAGUUGCUAAGUAAAUGAACAUUAAAAAGUAACUUGACACUUUUGAGGAGAUGCCGAAAGUUACUGAAAGACUUUGAGGGACUCAAAUUCUUCGUCCCAAUGGUAAUGCCCCUGUGAAGAAGAGCAACUGAUACACAGUGUCAUUAUUUCCUGACUCCUCAAGAACUACAAAUAUUAAAAUUACUCAACCUCGCCAUCUCAAGAUGACGAGCUUAACUUAUUUAUCUUACUCAAGUAACACUAGGUUCAAAAAGCAUUCCAACUGAAAGCUCUAGUUCAAGAUCAAUUUGGUAAUGCAUCGUGCUUCGGAAGUUUGUACUGGCUCCGCCACGCCGAGAUGCGCCAUUAGAAGCCAGAUAUGGCUGAUAAGCUCUCCUCCUCUGCUCAGGCUCUCAGAGUGUUCGUAGCCUUUGCUUUGGUAAGCCGCGUAUAUUAGAAACUUCGCCCAGACCUUGCCAAUCACGUACCAUUUCCUACCGAAGUCUUUCGACUCAAUUUCAUUCAACUGGGACGCGAGAUGGCAAGCGUCAAACAGCACCGACCUGCUUUUGCCACCGCGUAUUUUCGUGGCGGGCAGCUGAGUUCCCACUUGGAGCAGAAGAUGGCAGACUUCGCAUAGAUCCCGCGACUCUGUUGACUUGUGCGCCUUGUUGCAGCUUUUAACGUUGAUGUGGCUAUGUUUCUCUUUAAUGAAUAGAUUCUGCGCCCACGUCUUGACAACCGAUGAGUUGAUGCUGGUUUCUUUCUUUGACAACACCGCUAGCUUGUCCUCAAAAAACUUCUGAGCAUCGACCGAAGUAUCUUCAUAUCGGAGCACCCCUAUCCCUGUUGGCAACAUGGAAGAAUGGAGUACUAAAAGAUAGAGCAUGUACCGAGAGACCAACUUACUCAUCUUGUAGUCGAUGACGUUUUCCGGUCUCCCCUCAUUGCGGUCCUUGUAGUGGCAGAGCUCAGUGGCGAUGUGCCAGAUGAGGAUGCUCUGUUCGAACUCCACAUCGUUCACACUCCAGAUCAGGUCACCGUUGUUUGACGUCUUCAGUACUUCACCAGCCUCCAGCUUAAGACUCGUCGACACGCUCUUCAAUCUGCUUUUCUGUUCCAAAUAAUCAACCGUAUCCCUCAUGUGAUUGAAGGUCCAUUCUUUGAUGUUGCUCUUGAAGUCUUCGUAAUCGAUGUAGAAGUUCUUCUCCAACUUCUCAUCUAACUUGGCAAGCCCCGGAUACUUGCUGAAGAUCCUGUUUCUUUUCCUGACAGAUAAUUUCAACAGGCUGAACUGGGCCACGGAAUUUGACCAUCUUGGGUUCGAGCAGAUCCGGAGAAAAGCCGUGGCAGAUGAAAUUGUAGAUCCGCCAGGUCUCUGAAGACGCCAGUGGUCUACCCAAUCGGAUGAAAAUGCAAGAAGAACCGAGUAAAUCUCUAAAAAUAUAGCCGCACUUAUCAGUAAGAAGGUAAUGUAGAUGUCAACUUUGGGGUAAUCCUUCCUAUCCUGCAAGGAGAAGAAUACCAACACGGCACACGGCACCAAGAAAUUAAUGACCCAACGAAUGAUGCCCCAAGCACGGUUCAGCAACAGUGCCUUGGUGUAGAGCAGAUCGUACAUGAACCCGAGCUCGAUCUCCACAAUCCCAAAAGCUGUUGCGGAGUCCAUGGCAUCACGGUUCAAGAACAUGCGCUUACUGGCCUCCAGGUCGCCAGAGUUGAGGAUAAGGCCCACGAAGAGAAGCUUGAAGAUCUUGAACAACUCGUAGGCUUUGACCAGAGCCGCGGCUUUAUCUUCGUCCAUGGCUUGACCGCUGUUCACAGAGAGGUCCUCCGGAGCCGGAACCUCCACAACCUCGUCAAUGCCGACUUGGUAACCCUCCUCUUUCUUCAAACUGUACUGCUCCAUUAUCCUGGGGUAUAUUGGACCAAAAUCAGGAAGUGAAAGCAUCGAAUCUCGAAGUCGACCUUCGCUUGCCAGGUAUAAACACAAUGUCCUUUCUACAUAUUUGAUGAACCCCACCAUGAUCAUGGCAGCUGCUAAUAUCGACAGUGUAGACCCCGAAAGGGCCAUGAAGUAGAUGUAACAAGCCAGUCCUACCUGGACGCAAAGCCGCGCCAACUGCCUCAGCCAUAGUUCAUUGUCUUCCAGGGCAUACGCGGUGAUCGUGUCAGGCCCACCCAAGUGGAGAAGAAGGAACGGCGCCCAGAAAGCGGCGAUCUGGCUCUUUGAAUCAAUCAUCCCCUUCUCUUCCUUGAUGUUGGCCAGGCGGUUCGAGAGGACACCGAGCGUGAGGGUUGCAAUGGAGUCAGCCGAUAGGUACGUCGUCCAGACCACGACUUGGAUCCAGUACUUGUAGAUGGAUUUCCUCCGGAAGCCCAGAGUCACGAGGGUCAGUUGGAGGAACAAGCUGAGGAGGACAAGAAACCGCAGCUCCCACUCCUUCCAUAGUUCUCGAGUGUUUUCGGAAAGCAGCGAAAAUCCCAUGGUUGCACUCGAUGUCGGCACCAAAAGGCGCAACGAUCGGGCACCCUCAGUCGAUCUUAGGAUUAUAAAGGGAGAGGACAAAGCAAGGUAAACAACACUAGCUUUGAAUUUACCUCUGCAACAUCCUCAAAACGGCCACUCUUUAUAGCCAAUAACUUGAUAUUGGAAUCAAAUACAAAAGCACUUACUUACCCUGCAUAACAUUACAGGAAUGAAAAAGCAGUACGCUUUUUGAAACACCAACGACACAUUACUUGUGACACCACUUUUAGAUACAAAAUCGUCAAGCAAUUCUAUACAUUUGCCCAAGGAAGAAGUAUAGCGACAAAAUCAUAUUCCAUUAUUCGUACUGGCAUGAUUAUAAUAUGUUUUAAUUGAGAAAAUUAAAAUAUGGGUUUAAAGUUAAAGUUUGGUUUCUCAAUCACUUCUCAAGAUUUUGAAUCCCGUGAACUUCAUUCUAAUCACUAUGGUCUUUACUCUUUAUCUGGCACACCCCACCAGCCCAACAUGAUCCUUGUGGAAUAUCAAAUUCACCCAUUCUAGUUGCUUUAAUAAGGAAAGACAAGCAAAGGCUGAAAAGAGGUUGAUAAAUGCUUCUCCAAGUUGAAGCGAUUCCGAUGCAAUGAGUUGAUUGCUUCCACUCAGAGACAGCAUAUUAUUGUCCUUGCGUAUUAAUUGCAUUAAAACCUGGAAUGAAGUUGUCGUUACGAUAAAACAAUGCAUGAGAGCACACGUCUCACACCACAUCGCGGUCAGCUGACGUGCUUUAUGACCACCAUAAUCGCAACUUCUCGUCCAUGUCUGACCUAAUGGCAUGCGGUGUGCGACACUUGCUUAACAUUUUUCUCCCACGUGGUGUAUGAGCUGAACGUCUUCGUCCUCCACAUACUGUCACGUGAAGGAUACACAGCCGCUGCACCACCUAUAGCUUAACUUAAUUAAACCCUUAACAUUGCACAUCAAGGCCAAAAGCAUGCGACUAAGAACCUAUGAAAACCUCAAAGUCCAAAAAUUCAUAACCUCAAUAUAAAUUUUAUUUUUCUCUAGAGUGGAAUGGACAUCAUCAAUGCCACAAUUUUUAUAGGCCGUCACUUAAGUGAAUGUGGUGACUUAGUUUGUUGAAAAAUCUAGUGUGACUUGUUGAAGUCAUUUAAAGGAUUGCUUAAAAAAAAUUAGCUCUGAAGUGAUCAUUCAAUAAGUUUUGGCAUUAAAUUGAUCAUUAAAAAAAUUGGUGCUCUAAAGUUUUAAAAAUUAGAGUGGGCCAAAAGCAAAAAUCACAAAGAAAAUAUUCUAACUUUGACACUAUCUUUCUUUGUUUUGUAAGACUCAAAAGCAAACUCAUUGAGCAAACAUUCUCUUUAAAUAGUUUCAUCUAAAAUUAUAUAGACCUAUUUGUUUUCCUAUACCUAACAAAAAAGAUACUAAGUAAAAUUUACCUCUGCAACAUCCUCAAAACGGCUACUCUCGAUAAGCAAUAACUUGAUAUUGGAAUCAAAUGCAAAAGCACUUAGAAACCCUGCAUAACAUUACAUGAAUGAAAGAGCAGUACGCUUUUGAAACACCCACGACACACUACUCAAGACACCUUUUUUGGAUGCAUAAUUGUCAAGCAAUUCUUUGCAUUUGCCCAAAGAUGAAGUAAAGCAACAAAAUUAGAUUCCGGCAUCCAUACUAACUUGAUUAUAAUGUGCUUUAAUUUAGAAGAUUGAAAUAUAGGCCUAGAGUUAAAGUUUGGUUUCUCAAUCAAUUCUCAAGAUUUCGAAUUCUGUGAACUUCAUUUUAAUCACCGUGAUCUUAACUCUUUGUCUGGCACGCCCCAUCAGCCCAACAUGAUCCAUGCGGAAUAUCAAAAUCACCCAUUUAGGUUGCUACGAUGACAAGUAAAGACGGUCAAAAAGGCCAAAAAAGGGUGAUAAAUGGUCACUCCAAGUUGAAGCAAUUCCUAUGCAUUGAGUUGAUUGCUUCGAUUCCCAAGAUUGCUUCGAUUCCCAAACAACAUAUUAUUGUCCUUAGGUACUAAUCUCCCUGUUAAACCUUGGAAUGAAGUCGUUGAUAGAACAAAAAUAAUGCAUGAGAGCACACAUCUCACACCACGUCGCCGUUAGCUAAUAUGCUUUAUGACCAUCGUGAUUGCGACUUGUCAUCCAUGUCUGACCAAUUGGCAUGUGGUGAGCGACACUCGCUGAACAUUUUUCUUAUGAGCUGAACAUUUUCAUCCUCCACAUACUGUCACGUGAAGGACCUUAACUUCAUUAAACCCCUUAACAUUGCACAUCAAGGUUAGAAACGUAUGAAAACCUCAAGUCAAAAAUUUCUUAACCUCAAAACAAGUUUUAUUUUUUCCUAGAGCGAAAAGGAGGUCAUCAAUGCCACAAUUUUUAUGGGGCGUCACUUUAGUGUUUAAACUUUUCAAACAAUCAUUUUAAGUGCUACAACUUUUGAAAAAUGAUCAUCUCAGUGAAUAUAGUGACUUAGUGUGUCAAAAUCUGGCGUGGCUUGUUGAAGUCACUUAAAUGAUUGCUUUAGAUAGUUUUGGCACUAAAAUGAUCAUCCAAAAUGGUUUGGCAAUUUUUGGCAUUAAAUUGAUCAUCCAUAAAAUUGUUGCUCGAGAGUUUUAAAAAUUAGAGCGAGUCAAAAGCAAAGGUCAUGAAGAAAAUAUUCCAACUUUGACACUAUUUUUCUUUGUUUCAUUAGACUCAAAAGCAAAAUCACUGAGCAAACAUUCUCUUAAAAUAGUUUCAUCUAAAAUCACAUAGAUUUUUCCUAACAAAAAGGAUAAUGUCAUGCCCCAACCUGUUUUGAGCGUGUGGCACCCCUCACUUCCAUUCAGAUGGUCGUUCGAUUGCGACAUCCCAAAGGCGUCACCAACCCAAUUCAUAGUAACGACACACAAGCGGAAACAUAAACAAAUCUCCAAUCAUCAUUCAACAGGAAUAGUUAAAAGCAUAUAUAUAUAUAUAUAUAUAUAUAUAUAUGUGUGUGUGUGUGUGUGUGUGUGUGUGUGUGUGUGUGUGUGUGUGUGUGUGUGUCAUAAGUCAACGUUUCAUACACACCAAGUUCAAAAGCUAUACAACCAGCUUCAUUACAUCUGACAUGCUUGACCGCAUUGCCACGACCUUCUACAAAAAGGCUUGGGGUACGUCUACACCUCUAGGGUAGUCCAAAAAGUACUAGCAACCCCACUACUAUCUAAGCCUCAAUGACCUUUAGGAUCCAUGGCUCCGGCACCGUGAUCAUCUUGGAGUUGAGCUCAGGGUCGGACAUCUUUCCAUCUGGAAUGUCCCUGUCCUUGGCAUUCCAGUGAUGCCUCCCCCAAAACCUCUGACACCCGGCGGACCGUCGAAGCCACGGAUGGGACCAUGGCUCUCAUUACCCACCCAAAAGUAUCAGGCCACGAAUCGGAGUGGCAUGAGGUUAGGUAUACCUUCGUUGACCCAAAUGGUCAUGAUGUAAAGCGUGUAAUGUGCGUCGACCCCUCCUGGUACAAGAUACUCCGUCACCUCCUAACCGUCCUCAAUGAGUAGGUCAAAACAUAUCUAACGAAACAACUUAGCUACUCUUAGGGCCUAUAAACAUUUCAACAAACAAAUAUGAGAUAGACUCAAUAAGUGAACUUCCUAGACCUCACGUAGGGAAGUCGUUCACCUCGAAAGUGCCCUAAACAAGCAAUUAUCUAUCGAUGGCAAAAUGUGACAACACUCUUCUCGCUUUACUUUUACUAUUCUCAUAAUAACAUAUCUAUUAUUCAAGGCCAUUAAUAUAGACGCCUAGGCAAUUCCAUAACACAAUUCAUUUUUUUUUCUAACCCAUGUGAUACUCAUGUGAUCUGCCACAUCACUCGUCAAAUGCCACUAUGUUACACACGUGCAUCAUAUUACAUUAUAUAAAUGCUUUAUAUAAUUCAUAAAGAAUCCGUGGCAUAUGGAUCACUUAUUACAAUGAGGUAAGGUCAUCAUAGUAUUCCAAAAUUAUCUAUCACGUGCCAUUACAAUUACCAAUGACUCAUCUUUUAUUCGUAUGGCAUACUACCCUACCAUAAUAUGCUCUAGUAAUGAGUCACAUCAAAACGUCACUCCAUGAUGGCACACGUGACACAUAUAACAUAGGUUACUGACCCCGUAUAACAUAUAUACACAUAACCCAUAUAGCACAUAUACACACAUAAACAAUGCAACACAUUUAACACAUAAUCCUUAUAGCACAUAACUCAAAUAAUGCAUCUAGCACAUAAUCCAUAUAUCAUAUCUAACCAAUAAUCCCUAUAUCACAUAAACCAUAUAAUGCAUCUAACAAAUAAUCCCUAUAUCACAUAAUAGCAUUUCAUCAUAUUAUGACAUGAUAGAAUCACAUAUCAAUUUCACUUAUUGUAAUCUGAUAACUUAUUGCCCUAACCAUGAUAAUCUAUCACUUUGAGACUCAAUAACCCAUCUAAGUCCAACAAUAACUUAUCACGUCAAUAAAUUAUCAUUUAACCACCAACAAGUCCUAAACUACUCCCUAAAUGCAACCAUAACUCUAAUCAAGGGCUAGAAAGCCACUCACAAAUGAUUCGGCCCUUAAAACGCGUCGGGGGAAGGAACAACAAGACUGAACAACAGCUGUGGACUACCAAUCACGUGUCUACAGGCUACAGAGGAGAUGGAUAGUAGUUGAACGGCGGUCCGACGGUGGCGUGGUGGUGGUCUGACGGCAGUUCAAUGUCAGUUCAACAUUGGUACGGCGUUUAGGCUUCACAAGGGACUAAACCGAAGAAGAAAUGAGUGACUGUUGCUCAGUACCAAACAACCCUUAAUGUAACACUCUUGAUAUCGACCCUGUAAGGAUUGGCCAUAAGGUCCUAAAAGGAUCAAUCAUGGGCUAUUGGCCAUGGAUCGAUCAAUUCGAUCGGUAAGGAAUCAAGGAUCGAUCAUGAACUGACCGACUGACCGACUGACCGACCGACUGACCGGUCACGAAAUGAUCGAUGUGUCGGCCGUGAAUUUCUAGCAACCAAUCACCAACUCAUAAAAUAACAUUUUCAUCACGAGGGUUGGUCAUGGGAUGAUUUUGGAUCGACGGGUGAUCAUGGGUCAAUCCGACUGGUCAUAGUACCUGGUCGCGGGUGAUUCUGCCCGCCAAUACACGACGAAUCUAACUUGAUCAAAUGUGAUCUCCUUCUAACCAAAAAUGCAUCAUUCCUUAUUUAAUCCUUAGUGAUUGGAAAAGAUUCUUGAAUUAGUGAUGUUCGACCGUAGAUCGAUAAUGCACCAACCAUGAGCCAUACAGAUGAAUCGAGUGCCGAUCGAAAUGAGCUCAAAAAUAGACCUAGUUAUUCCGUCACUAAUUCUAAAGUCCAUGAGUGCCUUGACUUAGUGCUAGGCCAUGGGUAGCCUUAGGAUUGGCCUUGAACCGACCGAAAGACAACUGACCCUUUAGGCCGAUUGACCAUCUAAAGGAACGGUUUGGGUGAGUAUAGGGCAUGAUGGCCGAAUCUUGGGUCUACAUAAUUCAAUUUUUUGAACUGUACCUAAUGAUCCAUUCUCUGGCCCGAAAUCAACUUAGACGGGGGUAUUCUCUAGAUCACCUUUGAUGAAGAAAAUGACAAAAUAAGAGAAAAUUCUAGACCCCCUCAUUAAAUGAAUGAGUGAUGUGUCCUUUGAAAAUUCAAACGUCAUGAUGGUAGCCCAAAAUAUCUUUUAAGUUCUAGUAAAAGGUAGCACACAUGUGGACCAAUCGGAGAGCAAUACACCGGCCCUCAUUAAUGAUCGAAGAUUCUAGAUUGCCGAGUUGGCAACUAUGGUACCAUUAUUAUCAAACCCCAUUAAAUGUUCAUUAAAUUCGGGAUAUAGGUGGACCAAUGGAAAGUGAAAAGCAAGUCGUCAUCGAUUAUGUCAAUGGACUAGAUUGCCAAGUAAAACCUUUUAGCCAUGCCAACUUACUUUUUAGGUGUAACCAUGAGGCAAGUAAACUUGCCACCCAAGAAUUUUAGGCAGGCUACAUGGAAGCUUAAGAUUGGGUCGUGUGGCUUGAUAAAGAUAUCAUUAAGGGUUAUAAAUAGGAGGAGCCCUCUUCAUUUCCCCACCUUGCCUCCCAUUUCCUCCUCCCUCCUCCUCUUGCACGCCUCCUCCUUCUCACGCCCUCUUUCUCUCUUUCGGCCUCCAAGCAAAGCCGCCCAUCUCUUGUAACUCGUGCUUUAAUGUGAGGUUCACCUAGGUAAGUGUAGUUUCUCCCUUCUUUUAGUAACAUUUGGGACGUCUUCGACUCUAGGAAAUCCUCUCUCGGACAAGCUGAGGGUAGGUCGAUUGAUUCUUGGAUGUUGAUGUAUUCUAUGACUUGUUCAUGUACUUAAGUUUCUUGUAUGACUAGAAUGAAGUCAUGGUUCAUAGUUUUCGUUCAGUACUAGUCAAGGUUCGCCCAUAGCCAUAAGAUGUGAUUCGGUAUUGAGGCAUACCGAGUUUACAUCUUGGAUUGGUGUGGGGUUCCUUUAUGCUUGUUACUCGAGUGGGGCUUUGGGCUUAGGCCCGUUCGUAAUAUUGUUGAUGAAGAAAUUCAUGACUUCAUGACACAUGCAUAAGACUUGAAUACAACCUCAAGAAGAGAUUGUGCUCGAGCUAAGUUUGAGUCUCUGAUUUCCUAGCAAGAACUGGGUUCGAGUCCUAAAGGCUGGCAAGAGACUUGGAUUCGAGUCCCCGGCAUAUUAACUAGGUUUGAGUCCCAAAAGUUGACAAAAAGCCAGAAGUCCAAAUAAAAACCCGAAUUGAAUUGGGUUCGAGUCCUAAAACGGCUUCGAGAAGACUUGGGUUUGAGUCCCAAGCAUAAGAGAAAAGCUUAAUGAGCAUGGCAUACAUGAGCAAGAAAGAAAGGCUAAAAGUGCAUAAGCUCAUGACAUGCAUCAUGUUCAUGAAUGAUUGCAAGAAUUGCCAUUUAUAUAUGUCUGAAGCAUGAGAAAGAAGAGAGAGAGACGAGGGAAAUCUUGCACAUUAAUGCACAUCAACUCACAAGCUUUUGGACUCACAUCAUUCACUCAAGGAAGGCUUCUUCAAGAUGCGAAAAUCUAUGCAUUAAUGAGGGGAUUUCACACUUGAAUGUCUAGGCUUAGACUAGAAUAGCUAGGGAGGCUAGAUAGGUCUUCUAACUUCUCCAAUUUGCCGCCCAAAUGCUUGAGCCGCCCCCUUCUCUUGCCAAUUUCCAUCUUUUCCCUUCUAUCCUUAGUCCAAUGGAAGGGCAUUUCGGUCCUUUCACCAAGAUCUCGCAUUAUUCAUACACUAUUCACGUCUUUACAUGCAUUUAAUGCCAAGAUCUUGCCAAAAGAAGGCGGGAUGGGCUUGAAGGACCCAUGGACCUCCCUCAGCUGCCCACUCCUUGGGCGUGUGGGCCUUAAGCCACCCACUUGGGCUCGAGCCCAUUGGGUCUCCGCCCAUAGUCCGUUUCCACUUUUUCGCACUUGUACGUCCUUAUCAAUAAAAAAUCGAGUUUUUGCCCAAAGUGGCCUUUUCUAAUGCCCUUGUGGUUUAUCGAUCCUCAAGAUGAUCUCGUCCAACGAUUGCUUGUCAAAACAAUUUUGUUUUGAAAAACCGAAUGAGGACGAGGAUGUCAAAACGAGGAUGUCACAGUUUAGCAAUGUUGUUUGGUAUGUACAUUACACAACACACAAUUUUAAAACUUCUUGUGUGAAAAUAUUAAGACAUCACUUUUUCAUCAAUCACUUUAAUAUUGCUCAAUAAAAAAGUGGCACAUAAAUGAUCAUUUAAAAAAAUUUGACACCAAAGUAAGGGCCUUACAAUAAUUAUAGUAUUGAUAUCAUCUGGGAAAACUAUCCAAGAAGUCCUAAACUUAUUACACUUUCGUUAAUUCAAUCCUAUAUCUUUCAAUUUUAUAAAUUUAUUCCUAAACAUUUUCACUUCUUACCAAUUUAGUUCAUCCAGUCAAUUUUGACCGGAAAUUGUUUAUGUGGAUAGACGGCACUAACGUGGCACUUUUCAAUAAUAUUUUGAAUUUUUUUUUUAUGGUUUUAUCUUCCUCUUUUUCUACUUUUUUUGCUUUUUCUUUUGGUUUUUGGAUAUAGAGUUGGCUUGGCCACAAGCGAGGGCUAGCAACCCUAGCCAACCAUAGGCAAGGGCCAUGACGCCCUCAUCAGCAAAAAUGAGGGCAUACAAGCCCUCACCCAGAAACGACGAGGGCUGCAAUGCCCUCACCAACGUGGCUGGCAACAUUAGCCAGCCAUAGGCAAGGGCCACAACGCCCUUGCUAGUAAAAGUGACAGCAUGAGCCCUCCCUAAAAACGGUGAGGGCCGAGAUGCCCCCAUCAGCUCUAGGCAAUAAGUAAGGUCGAUGCCCUUGCCUUGCCAGAUCUAGCGAGGGCAUCGUGGCCUUCACCGUUUCCUAGCAAGGGCUCGCACGCCCUCACUUUCACCAACGAGGGGCGCAAUGCCCUCACCCAAAGCCGACAGCCCUUGCCUAUGGCCGGUGAGGGUUGGCCGGUAACCCUUGCUAGCCCUAGAUCCAAAAAUCCAAAAAAAAAAAAAAAAGCAGAGAGAGAGAGCAUAAAAAAAUUCAAAAAUAUUAUUAAAAAGCGUCACAUAGCGCUAGUCAUCCACAUCAAUAAUUUCCAGUCAAAAUUAGCCGAUUUGACUCAAUUGACAAUGAGCGAAACAAUUUAUAACUGAAUUAGUAAAAGUGCAAUAAGUUUAGCACUUUUCAGACAAUUUUCCAAUAUCAUUCUCAUCCCUACCUACUAAAACUUCAAAAUUAAGGUCAACUUUAUUUAGAAAAUAGCAAUUGCAUACUUUAACCUUCCCCUUAUUUUUAUGCUAUUCCAAUGAAAAUUCCAGUAAAAAAAAAAAAGUAAGCAUAAUUUGAUUUCCAAAAAAUUAUUAAAUGGCAUGAUUACAAUUGCAAAUGACCUUAAUGUCCAUAUGUAUAGGUUUCUAGAUCAGUCAAAUUUCAAAUGUCAAAAAAUAAAAAGUUAGAAAUAAAAGUCAUGCUUGUUUUUUCCAUCUAUGCUAAAAAGAUCGAUUAAAUAUUUUGAAAACCCUCGAUAAAAUGUUCAUUUUCUUGGCCUGAUGCUAAUAAAAGGUUAUAUAUGAAUGAUAUAUCUUCUAUACAUUAACUGAAGCCAGGUUUCGCCUCGCUUUUACUAAGUUCCAUUCCCAAACUUGUCCUCAAGUAAGAUAAAGAUCUAAAGCGAAUAAAAGAAUAUUUGACUAUACACUCAAUUUCAUAUCCCUUUCUCACUAAUUUUCAUUGCAGACACCAACUCAUGAAAAUCAGAGUCCCCUGUCGGUUCAAUGUGUACAAAUGAGGUUGCAUAUAUGCCUAAUACUGCGGAAUGUGAAGCCGUCUAGACCUCUCUUUUUAGCGUGCCUUGGGCUUCUAUAUGCAUUUCACCUUUAGCCCUUAAGCCAGUGAAUCGGUCUCGCCAAUUCUAUAGGAUCUAUUUCUAGUUUAUCUUUAUUUAAAAAUAAAUAAAAUUUACGGCCUCUGCACAAGGCCUGAAUCCCACGCCGCUUAGGAAUACACAGGUAAAGUAAGAUUUCACACACGCCGUCUGGACCUCCUCUUUUCGGUGUGUCUUGAAUUUCUGUAUGCAUUAUACUUAAUGCACUUUACCUAAGCUUAUCACCUACAAAAAACAUUAUCCAAAACGGAAAAUUGUAACUCUCCGCCUUCUGACACUCCACUGCUCUUCUUCCAUUAUCUGCAGGUUCAUCCUUUCGCUUUGUCUUUCACAAGUUGCUGCAAACAUCAAUCUUUCAUAUUGCAAAAUAUCCACUUAUUCAGUUGUUUUUAUUUAUUGCAUGAGUUUUGUUAAAUGAAAUCAAGCAAGGCAAUGGUUGGUCCCAAAUCCCAACCUUUUGCCAACUACUUAAUUGAUUGUUCACAUUCAUUACCACUUAUGUUGUUGUACAUACCUAUCCAUCCAAAAUGAAAUUUCGGCAAAGGAGUUAUGAAAUCCAAAUUUAGCUCGUUGAAUCUAUAAAAUCUGAAAAGUGUGUCCUUCCCAUAUGUGCUAACUUCAAACGGCUUGUAUAGCUUAUCCUGAUAUCCAAUUGAAUUUUUGUUUUGACGGCUUGUAUGGGCAUGGAAGUUUCUAUGUUCUGCAUAUUUUCAAGAAAUUUUCAUAAUUUUUUCUAUUUUUGGGAAAUUUCAAACAAUAAUGGAAAAAUAAGAGUUUUUGAAAUAUGGCUCAUCUUUUUUUUAUCAUGGAUGAUGGAAAACUAUUAGACAUUGAGUUUUGUAAAUGUGAACUUUUUUGCCUAUAUAGAUAGUAUCUACUAGAAAUUUACAUUUUUUUUUUUUUUGGAUGAACCCUGUCUAUUGUAUUUAUUUAUGCUUCUCAACAGUUAUUUACGGCAGUUGAAUCUUUGUUCGAGUUUAUGGACUGAAGUAAUGCAUUUAAGGACAAUUUUCCAAUUUUAUCGUAAUUGGGCUCUUUUUAGGUAAUUUACAAUUUGUAGAAUUUAGAUCAUUAAUUUGGCCGUCGGCCAUGAAAAAUUUAUGGGCAUUUUGGUAAUUUGCUGCUUAGGGAUAUUAAAUAUCACAUUUGACUAUGUUUAUUUUGUGAAAGAUGAAUGAUUUGAAAAAUAUUUAAAAAUAAUCGUUUCUAUCGCUUAAAAUAAUUAGAACAUAAAUAAUAUUUAUGUCAAAAUAUAUUCAUGGAUGAUAAAAAUAUUUUUCAAUUACUCAUUUUUAUAAGCGAUACGACAAUUAUUUUUAUGAAAAUAUUUUACAAAUCAUUUUAUUUUCAUGUAACAAACGCACCACUAUGAUUCCUUGGUGGUGCUGGAGAUAUUGCUUCAUCAAAUUAUAUGAAUUCAUGAUAGCUAGAGUUCAGAUAAAUGGUGAUCUGCCUCUGCUAGGAAUAUCUACAAUAUAGCAUAUUUGUAACCAAUAAUAUAUUGUUAUGCAUAAACAUUGGAUCAAACAAAGAUGCUUUGAGUGACUGAUGAGUUAAUAAAUCUGGAUCUAGUUGUUGGUUUAUCCUGUCAUUUGAUCUUAUUCUGAAGAAUAGUCGCUUCCACUUUUGUUGUGAUACCACGGUUUCCCAAAGGUUUUGUCUGCGAGUCUAUGUCCACUACCGAGAUAUUUAUGUUGCCGCUGAAAAUUAUGUAUACUCACUUGCAUUGACGCGUCGGUGUAUUAUGCGUGGACGUUUUGGGGAGUGCCUAUACUUCUAAUCACUAAUAGAGGUAAAAGGAUCACUUCCUUCACAAGCGAGCUCAUUCAGAUUUAGUAAUAAUUCCUGAGAAUAAACAGCAAUUUUUUCAUUACUUUCGGGUCUAAAAAUAAUUUUGUUGUCUUUAAAUUUUUAAGAGAAAAUCAUAACUUAAAGUGAUAAAUACGCAAAAACCGGCCCCAAACUGGAUUAUACUAAGUAAAAUGUUACUAACCACGUAGACAAGUUAGCUAGUAAUUUAUGGUAGGUUAAAAGUUACUCUUUUUAUAAAUAAAUAAAAAUUGAAACUUACAGGUCACUCUAAGAAAAAAAAAAUUACAAGUCUCCAUCUCGCAUAUAGACACAGACUUGCUUUCUCAAAGUCAAAAGUGUACAAACCGGGAAGAAAAUUAAUUAUGGUAAGAGGUUGCUAGGUAAAUCAACAUGAAAAAGUUACUUGGCACUUUUGAGGAGAUAUGCCGAAAGUUACUAAACGACUUUUGAGGGACUCAAAUUCUCCGUGCCAAUGAUAACGCCUCUGGUGAAGAAGAACAGCAGAUACACAGUUUCAUUAUUUCUUGAAUCCUCAAGUACAACAAGUAUUGAAACAACUCAACCUCACCAUCUCAUCAAGAUGAUGAUGAUGAUGAUGAUGAGCUUUAUUUAUCUUACUCAAGUAACAGUAGGUUAAGCAAAAGACGCAUUCCACCUGGAAGUUCUAGUUCAAGAUCAGUUUGGUGAUGCAUUGUGCUUCGGAAGUUUGCACCAGCUCUGCUACGCCGAGAUGCGCCAUUAGAAGCCAAACAUGGCUGAUAAGCUCUCCUCCUCUGCUCAGGCUCUCGGAAUGUUCGUAGCCUUUACUUUGGCAAGCCGCGUAUAUCAGAAACUUCGCCCAGACCUUGCCGAUUAAGUCCCAUUUACUGCUGAAGUCAUUCAACUCGAUGUCAUUCAACUGGUACGCGAGAUGGCAUGCGUCGAACAACACCGACCUGCUUUUGCCACCGCGUAUUUUUGUGGCGGGCAGCUGAGUUCCCACUUGGAGAAGAAGAUGGCAGACUUCACAUAGAUCGCGCGACUUCGUUGACUUGUGCUCCUCUUUGCAGCUUUUAACACCGGUGUGACCAUGUUUCUCUUUCUUGUUACGCGCCCACGUCUUGACAACCGAUGAAUUGAUGCUGGUUUCUUUCUUUGACAACACCGCUAGCUUGUCCUCGAAGAACUUCUGAGCGUCAACCGAAGUAUCUUCGUAUCGGAGUACCCCUGUCCCUGUUGGCAACAUGGAAGGAUGGAGAACUAAAAGAUAGAGCAUGUACCGAGAGACCAACUUGCUCAUCUUGUAGUUUGUGAUGUCUUCCGGUCCUUUUCCUUGCCUCGCGUCGUGGUCCUUGUAGUAGCAGAGCUCAGUGGCGAUGUGCCAAAUGAGGAUGCUCUGGUCGAACUCCAUACCGUCCACACUCCAGAUCAGGUGACCGUUGUUUGACUUCUUCAGUACUUCACUAGCCUGCAGCUUAAGACCCGCCAACCCGCUCUUCCCUUCCAGAUAAACGACCGUUUUUCUCAUGUGACCGAAGGUCCAUUCUUUGAUGUUGCUCUUGAACUCUUUGUAAUCAAUGUAGAAGUUCUUCUCCAACUUAUCAUCUAACUUGGCGAACCACGGAUUCUUGCUGAAGAUCCUGUUUCUUUUCCUACUAGAUAAUUUCAAGAGGCUGAACUGGGCCACAGAAUUCGACCAUCUUGGGUUCGGCCAUAUCCGGAGAAAAGCCACGGCAGAUGAUAUCACAGAUCGCUUGGGUCUCUGAAUCCGCCAGUGAUCGACCCAAUCAGAUGAAAAUGCGAGCAGAACUGAGUAAAUCUCUAAAAGUAUAGCCGCACUUAUCAGCAAGAAGGUGAUAUAGAUGUCGACUUUGGGGUAAUCCUUCCUAUCCUGUAAGGAGAAGAAUACCAACACGGCACACGGCACUGAGAGAUUGAUGACCCAACGAGUGAUGCCCCAAGCACGGUUCAGCAACAGUGCCUUGGUGUAGAGCAGAUCGUACAUGAACCCGAGCUCGAUCUCCACAAUCCCAAAAGCCGUCACCGAGUUCAUGGCAACGUUCGUGAACAUGCGCUUACUGGCCUCCAGGUCGCCAGAGUUGAGGAUAAGGCCCACGAAGAGAAGCUUGAAGAUCUUGAACAACUCAUAGGCUUUGACCAGAGCCGUGGCUUUCUCUUCGUCCAUGGCUUGACCGCUGUUCACUGAGAAGUCCUCCGGAGCCGGAACCUCCGUGACCUCGUCCAUGCUGACUCGGUAACCCUCCUCUUUCUUCAGACUAUACUGCUCCAUUAUCCUGGGGUAUAUGGGACCAAAAUCAGGAAGCGAAAGCAUUGAAUCUCGAAGUCGACCUUCGCUUGCCAGGUACAAACACAAUGCCCUUUCUACAUAUUUGAUGAAUCCCACCAGGAUCGUGCCAGCUGCUAAUAUCGACAGCGUAGACCCCGACAAGGCCAUGAAGUAGAUGUAACAAGCUAGUCCUACCUGGACGCAAAGCCGCGCCAACUGCCUCAACCAUAGUUCAUUGUCCUCCAGGGCAUACGCGGUGAUCGUGUCAGGGCCACCCAAGUGGAGGAGAAGGAAUGGCGCCCAGAAAGCAGUGAUCUGGCUCUUCGGAUCCAUCGUGCCUUUCACUUCCUUGAUGUUGGCCAGGCGAUUCGAGAGGACACCGAGCGCGAGGGUUGCAAUGGAGUCGGCCGAUAGGUACGUCGUCCAGACCACAACUUGGAUCCAGGACUUGUAGAUAGAUUUCCUCCGGAGGCCCAGAGUUACAAGAGUUAAUUGGAGGAACAAGCUGAGGAGGACGAGAAACCGCAGCUCCCACUCCUUCCACAGUUCUCGAGUGUUUUCGGGGAGCAGCAAAAAUCCCAUGGUUGCACUCGAUGUUGGCACCAAAAGGCGCAACAAUCGGGUACCCUCAGUCGAUCUUAGGAUUAUAAAGGGAGAGGACAAAGCAAGGCAAACAAAUUAGCCUUGAAUUUACCUCUACAACAUCCUCGAAACGGCCACUCUUUAUAACCAAUAACUUGAUAUUGGAAUCAAAUGCAAAAGCACUUACUUACCCUGCAUAACAUUACAGGAAUGAAAAAGCAGUACGCUUUUUGAAACACCAACGACACACUUCCACUUUUAGAUACAAAAUUGUCAAGCAAUCUAUACAUUUGCCCGAGGAUGAAGUAUAGCGACAAAAUCAUAUUCCGUUAUUCGUACUAGCAUGAUUAUAAUCUGUUUUAACGGACAAAAUUAAAAUAUAGGCUCAAAGUUAAAGUUUGGUUUCUCAAUCACUUCUCAAGAUUUUGAAUCCUGUGAACUUCAUUCUAAUCACUAUGGUCUUUACUCUUUAUCUGGCACACCCCACCAGCCCAACAUGAUCCUUGUGGAAUAUCAAAAUCACCCAUUCUAGUUGCUUUAAUAAGCAAAGACACGCAAAGGCUGAAAAGAGGUUGAUAAAUGCUUCUCCAAGUUGAAGCGAUUCCAAUGCAAUGAGUUGAUUGCUUCCAUUCGGAGACAGCAUAUUAUUGUCCUUGCGUAUUAAUUGCAUUAAAACCUGGAAUGAAGUCGUCGUUGCAAUAAAACUAUGCAUGAGAGCACUCGUCUCACACCACAUCGCCGUCAGCUGAUGUGCUUUAUGACCACCAUAAUCGCUACUUCUCGUCCAUGUCUGACCUAUUGGCAUGUGGUGUGCGACAAUCGCUUAACAUUUUUCUCCCACGUGGUGUAUGAGCUGAACGUCUUCGUCCUCCACAUACUGUCACGUGAAGGAUACACAGCCGCUGCACCACCUAUAGCUUAACUUAAUUAAACCCUUAACAUUGCACAUCAAGGCCAAAAGCAUGCGACUAAGAACCUAUGAAAACCUCAAAGUCCAAAAAUUCAUAACCUCAAUAUAAGUUUUAUUUUUCCCUAGAGCAGAAUGGACAUCAUCAAUGCCACAAUUUUUAUAGGCCGUCACUUAAGUGAAUGUGGUGACUUAGUUUGUUGAAAAAUCUAGUGUGACUUGUUGAAGUCACUUAAAGGAUUGCUUAAGAAAAUAUUAGCUCUGAAGUGAUCAUUCAAUAAGUUUUGGCAUUAAAUUGAUCAUUCAAAAAAUUGGUGCUCUGAAGUUUUAAAAAUUAGAGUGGGCCAAAAGCAAAAAUCACAAAGAAAAUAUUCUAGCUUUGACACUAUCUUUCUUUGUUUUGUUAGACUCAAAAGCAAACUCAUUGAGCAAACAUUCUCUUUAAAUAGUUUCAUUUAAAAUUACAUAGACCUAUUUGUUUUCCUAUACCUAACAAAAAAGAUACUAAGUAAAAUUUACCUCUGCAACAUCCUCAAAACGGCUACUCUCUAUAACCAAUAACUUGAUAUUGGAAUCAAAUGCAAAAGCACUUAGAAACCCCGCAUAACAUUAUUGUCCUAGAGUUAAAGUUUGGUUUCUCAAUCAGUUCUCGAGAUUUUGAAUUCUGUGAACUUCAUUCUAAUCACCGUGAUCUUAACUCUUUGUCCGGCACGCCCCAUCAGCCCAACAUGAUCCAUGUGGAAUAUCAAAAUCACCCAUUUAGGUUGCUAUAAUGACAAGUAAAGACGGCCAAAAAGGCCAAAAAAAAGGUAAUAAAUGCUCACUCCAAGUUGAAGCAAUUCCUAUGCAUUGAGUUGAUUGCUUCGAUUCCCAAACAACAUAUUAUUGUCCUUAGGUACUAAUCUCCACGUUAAACCUUGGAAUGAAGUCAUCGAUAGAACAAAAAUAAUGCAUGAGAGCACACAUCUCACACCACGUCGCCGUUAGCUAAUAUGCUUUAUGACCAUCGUGAUUGCGACUUGUCGUCCAUGUCGGACCAAUUGGCAUGUGGUGUGCAACACUCGCUGAACAUUUUUCUUAUGAGCUGAACAUUUUCAUCCUCCACAUACUGUCACGUGAAGGACCUUAACUUCAUUAAACCCUUAACAUUGCACAUCAAGGCUAGAAACGUACGAAAACCUCAAGUCAAAAAAUCCAUAACCUCAAAACAAGUUUUAUUUUUGCCUAGAGCGAAAAGGAGGUGAUCAAUGCCACAAUUUUUAUAGGGUGUCACUUUAGUGUUAAAAUUUUUCAAACAAUCAUUUUAAGUGUCACAACUUUUGAAAAAUGAUCAUCUAAGUGAAUACAAUGACUUAGUUUGUUGAAAUCUGACGUGGCUCGUUGAAGUCACUUAAAUGAUUGCUUUAGAUAGUUGUGGCACUAAAAUGAUCAUUCAAAAUGGUUUGGCAUUAAAUUGAUCAUCCAUAAAAUUGUUGCUCAAGAGUUUUAACAAUUAGAGUGAGCCAAAAGCAAAGGUCAUGAAGAAAAUAUUCCAACUUUGACAUUAUUUUUCUUUGUUUUAUUAGACUCAAAAGCAAAAUCACUGAGCAAACAUUCUCUUAAAAUAGUUUCAUCUAAAAUCACAUAGAUUUUUCCCAACAAAAAGGAUAAUGUCAUGCCCCGACCCGCUUUGAGCGCGCGGCACCCCUCGCUUCCAUUGCGAUGGUCGUUCGAUUGCGACAUCCCAGGAGGCAUCACUGACCCAAUUCGUAGUAAUGAUAACGCACAAGCGAAAAUGUAAACAAAUCUCCAACCAUCAUUCAACAGGGAUAGUUAAAAGCAUAUAUAUGCGUCAUAAGUCAACGUUUCAUACACAACAAGUUCAAAAGCUAAACAACCAGCUUCAUUACAUCUGACAUGCUUGACCGCACUGCCACGACCUUCUACAAAAGGGCUCGGGGUACGCCUAUGCCUCUAGGGUAGUCCAAAAAGCACUAGCAACCCCACUACUAUCUAAGCCUCAAUGGCCUCUAGGAUCCAUGGCUCAAGCUCGGUGAUUAGCUCGGGGUCGAGCUCGAGGUCGAACAUCUUCCCAUCGGGAAUGUCCCCGUCCUUGGCAUCACAGCUGAUGCCUCCCCAAGAACCUCUAACACCUGGCGGACCGUCGAAGCCGCGGAUAGGACCAUGGCUCUCGUUCCCCACCCAAAAGCACAAGGCCACGAAUUGGAGUGGCACAAGGUUAGGUAAACCUUCGUUGACCCAAAUGGUCAUGACGUAACUCGUGUAAUGUGCGUCGACCCUUCCUGGUACAGGAUACUCCGUCACCUUCGAACUGUCCUCAACAAGUAGGUCAAAAUGUAUCUAAUGGAACACUUCAACCACUCUUAGGGCCUAUAAACAUUUCAACGAACAAAUAUGAGAUAGACUCAAUGAGUGAACUUCCUAGACCUCGUGUAGGGAAGUUGUUCACCUCAGAAGCACCUUAAACAAGUAAUUAUCUAUCGAUGGCAAAACGUGACAACACUCUUCUCGCGUUACUUUCACUAUUCUCAUAAUAACAAAUCUAUCAUUCAAGGCCAUUAAUAUAGACGCAUAGGCAAUUCCAUAACAUAUAUUCCAUGCUCUCUAGCCAAACAUACGAAUGCGCAUUAUGGUUCAAAUCAUGCGCUCAUGCCAUGCAAUAAUCCGGACCUAAACAUAUACGAAUCUCAUACACUUUCCAUACAAAUAUGUCCAGAUUAUUACGGCCACUCAGGACCUAAGGCCAACCCAUCAUAGUUAUCCGACGUGACCGUCAUCGUCUCGCCUUAUCAAGCACGGUAUCUUCCCUCUUAAAAUGCAUCAGGAUGGUCAUUCCUGUAAAGAGCUUCAUUCUGAAAUCCAUUCACGAUCGACAUCCCAUUGACUUUGGGGCAUCCGAACUGAAUCAGGCAUCAUCCCGCGUAAAACCCAUUAGGACAAGUUCACACCCCGCAUAAUAUGCAUCAGGGUCUUAAAUGAUCACACGGGCAUAUCUUCGCACAUCAUUUCUCUUCUUUCUCAUUUAACCCAUGUGAUACUCAUGCAAUAUGCCACAUUACUCAUCAAAUGCCACUAUGUUACACACUUGCAUCAUAUUACAUUAUAUAAAUGCAUUAUUUAAUUCAUAAAAAACCUAUGGCAUAUGGAUCACUUAUUACAAAAAGGUAAGGUCAUCAUAAUAUUCCAAAAUUAUCUAUCACGUGUUAUUACAAUUAGCAAUGACUCAUCUUUUAUCCAUAUGGCAUACUACCCUACCAUAAUAUGCUCUAGUAACGAGUCAUAUCAAAACGUCACUCCAUAACGGCACACAUGACACAUAUGACAUAGGAUACUGAACCCAAAUAACAUAUAUACACAUAACCCAUAUAGCACAUAUACACACAUAAACUAUGUAACACAUUUAACACAUAAUCCUUAUAGCACAUAACUCAAAUAAUGCAUCUAGCACAUAAUCCAUAUAUCACAUCUAACCAAUAAUCCCUAUAUCACAAAAACCAUGUAGUGCAUCUAACAAAUAAUCCCUAUACCACAUAAUAGCAUUUUAUCAUAUUAUGACAUGAUAGAAUCACAUAUCAAUUUCACUUAUCGUAAUCUAAUAACUUAUCAUCCUAACCAUGAUAACCUAUCACUUUGAGACUCAAUAACCCAUCUAAGUCCAAUAAUAACUUAUCACGUCAAUAAAUCAUCAUUUUAAUCACCUAAAAGUCCUAAACUACUCCCUAAAUGCAACCAUAACUUUAAUCAAGGGCUAGAAAGCCACUCACAAAUGAUAUGGGCUUUGAAACAUGUCAGGGGAAGGAACAACAAGACCGAACAGCAACUGUGGAUUGCUAAUCACGCGUCUACAGGUUGCGGAGGAGAUGGACAACAGCUGAAUGGCAGUUUGGCGGUCACGCGGCAAUGGUCCAAUGGCAAUUUAGGUGUCAAUUUGGCAUCGACGCGGCGUCUAGGCUUCGCAAGGAACUAAAUCGAAGAAGAAACAAGUAAAGGUUGCUUAGUACCGAACAGCCCUUAAUGUAACACUCUUGAUACCGACCCCAUAAGGAUUGGCCAUAAGGUUCUAAAAGGAUCAAUCAUGGACUAUUGGCCGUGGAUCAAUCAGUUUGAUUGGUAAGGAAUCAAGGAUCGAUCAUGGACCGACUGACUGACCGACCGACCGACCAACCGACCGACCGACCGACCGAUCGGUCACGAAAUGGUCAAGGUAUCGGCCGUGAAUUUCUACCGACCAUACCGAUGGGGUAGGAUCACCUACUCAUAAGAUGACCUUUUGAUCACGAGGAUUGAUCAUGGGAUGAUUUUGGAUCGGCGGAUGAUCAUGGGUUGAUCCAACCGGUCGUAGUGCCCGGUCACGGGUGAUUCCGCCUAGCUAUGCACCGAUAUACAAACGAUCCGACUUGAUCAAAUGUGAUAUCCUUCAGACCAAAAAUGCAUCAUUCCCUAUUUAAUCCUUAGUGAUUAGAAAAUAUUCUUGAAUUGGUGAUGUCCAAUCGUGGAUCGGUAAUGCACCAACCAUGAGCCAUACGGAUGGAUCGAGUACCGACCGAAAUGAGCUCAGGAAUAGACCCUGCUAUUCCGUCACUAAUUCUAAGGUCCAUGAGUGCUUUGGCUUAGUGCUAGGCCAUAGGUAGCCUUAAGAUUAUCCUUGAACUGACUGAAGGACAACCAACCCUGUAGGCCGACUAACCGUCCAAAGGAACGAUUCAAGCGAGCAUGGGGCAUGAUGGCCAAAUCUCGGAUAUAUGUGAUUUGAUUUUUCGAGGUGUACCUAAUGAUCCAUUCUCUGGCCCCGAAACAAACUUAGACGGGGGAAUUAUCUAGAUCACCUUUGAUGAAGAAAAUGACAAAAUAAAAGAAAAUUCUAGAAUCCCCUCAUUAAAUGAAGGGUGAUGUGUCCUUUAAAAAUUCAAACGUCAUGAAGGUAGCCAAAAUAUCUUGGAAGUUCUAGAAAAAAGGUAGCACACAUGUGGACCAAUCGGAGAGCAAUACACGAGCCCUCAUUAAUGAUUGAAGAUCCUAGAUUGCCGAGUUGGCAACUAUGGUACCAUUAUUAUCAAACCCCAUUAAAUGUCCAUUAAAUGCAGGAUAUAAGUGGACCAAUGGGAAAACGAAAAGCGAGCCAUCAUCGAUUAUGUCCAUGGACUAGAUUGCCAAGUAAAACCUUUUAGCUAUGCCAACUUACUUUUUAGGUGCAAGAAUUUUAGGCACGCAACAUGGAAACUUAAGAUUGGAUCAUGUGGCUUGAUAAAGAUGGUAUCAAGGGCUAUAAAUAGGAGGAGCUCUCUUGAUUUCCCCGCCUUACCUCCCAUUUCCUCCUCUCCCCCCCCCCCUCCUCUUGCACGCCUCCUCCUCCUCACGCCCUCUUUCUCUCUUUCGACCUCCAAGCAAAGCCGCCCAUCUCUUGUAACUCGUGCUUUAGUGUGAAGUUUCCUAGGUAAGUGUAGUUUCUCCCCUCUUUUAGUAACAUUUAGGACGUCUUCAACUCUAGGAAAUCCUCUCUCAAACAAACCAAGGGUAGGUCGAUUGAUUCUUGGAUGUUGAUGUAUUCUAUGACUUGUUCAUGUGCUUGAGUUUUUUGUAUGACUAGAAUGAAGUCAUGCUUCAUAGCUUUCAUUCGGUACAAGCAGGGUUCCUUUAUGCUUGUUACUCGAGUGGGGCUUUAGGCUUAGGCUCGUUCAUAAUGUUGUUGAUGAAAAAAUUCUUGACUUCAUGACACAUGCAUUAUGUUUGAGAAUAAAAUGGGGAGAAGUACACUAUCAGUGCCAAAAAUUAUGUACGGCACUCAUUUUGAUGCCAAAAGUUUCCGUCAGAUCACUUAAGUGCUGACAAAUUUGAAAAAUGAUCAUUUCAAUGCCAACACAGAUGAAAUUGGCUAGAAAUCUGACAUUACACUUUUUUAUUAAUUUUUGAAGCCGACGUGGCUCGUUGAAGCGUACAGUCAGCCAUCCAAACAACAAAACAACGUCGUUUCGCGUCUUUCCCCCAACUUAGAAACCCUAAAUCCCCAAAUUGAGAGAGAGAGAGAGGGCACGCCGUCUUCUUCUUCCUCGAAGACCAAUACCAGCAAAGACACCAACAAUGGCACCAACAGUAGCACCAGUAGCGGCACCAGCAAUGGCACCGGCACCACCACCACUACCACCAGUGCACCAGCAGCACCUUCGACCCAUCUUCUUCCUCCUCCUCCUCCACCCUCGCUUCCUAUUCUUCCUGACACUUCUUGCUUAAGCAACAAUCUCAAUUUCGUCUCACUCACGUGGUCAAGCAACUACAAUGGUGGCGAAGCGACGAUGGCCGAGCGAUGGCGAGCGAACGACAGUGGCCGAGUGAUGAGCGGCGAAAACUUUAAUUUCAAUCCCCCAAACCCUAAUUUCAAUCCCCAUGAGCUAUAUGGUGUCAUUUCUGUGAGGAUGUCCACGUAUAACGGCAAAACGACGUCGUUUCUUGAGGAGGAUGGAAAAUGACAUCGUUUUAAAGCCACGUAAUUAAUUUGGCCGGAAUCUCUCGCCAGUGGCACCAAAGUGAUCGUUUUUUCUCCGAUUGGGCACUUAAGUGAUCUGAUGGAAACUUUUGACACCAAAGUGAGCGCCGUACACAACUUAUGGCACUGAUAGUGUACAUCUCCCAAAUAAAAUGCAUAGUUCAUGGCUCGUGGAUAAAACUUGAAUACACCCUAAAGAAGAGAUUGUGCUCGAGCUAGGGUUUGAGUCCUCGAUUUCCUAGCAAGAACUGGAUUCGAGUCCCAGAGGCUGGCAAUAGACUUGGGUUUGAGUCCACAAGCAUAUUAACUAGNNNNNNNNNNNNNNNNNNNNNNNNNNNNNNNNNNNNNNNNNNNNNNNNNNNNNNNNNNNNNNNNNNNNNNNNNNNNNNNNNNNNNNNNNNNNNNNNNNNNGAGAUGAUGUACUGAGCUUUAUAUGAUAGUAAAACCGCGUGAUCCGAGGAUAGUGUCAUUAUUUAGUUCAAAUCAGUUUGAGGAAGUACGUGCGAACCGUACUGAGCGAGAUCUAGUGGACAAUGGCAAAUAAGUAGACAACGGUAUUGUUGGGAUGAGCAUAUUCCAGCAAAUUAGCCGCCGUGUGCCCUAUGCCCGCUCCUGUCAAAGAUGGUGCGUCCAAUUUCUGUACCAAGCAGAUGUUCGUACGUAAAGCCAUUGUCCGGCGUCACCCAGGCUUAAAUCAGCACGUCCAUCAAUGCUUAUAUCCAUAUAUAUAUAUAUAUAUAUAUAUAUAUAUAUAUAUAUAUAUAUAUAUAUUUUUUUUUAAGUUGUUGUGUCUUUUAAACGAUGUUCUUUUCCAUCCUCCUUAAGAAACGACGUCGUUUUGCCAUCAUACGUGGACAUCCUCACAAAACUGACACCAUAUAGCUCAUAUGGGGACUGAAAUUAGAGUUUCUUUGUCCGAUCCUCACCCAACGCCAACUUCCAUCGCUCAGCCACAGUCGUUCGCCCGCCAUUGCUCGGCCACUAUCACUCGACCACCAUCGUAGUUGCUCGACCAAGUGAGCAAGGAGAGGCUGAGGUUGUUGCUCAGGCAAGAAGUGGCGGGAAGAAUAGGAGGCGAGUUUGAAGGGGGAGGAGGAAGAAAGGGGAUUGAAGGUGCUGCUGCUAGUGCCGCUACUAGCGUUGUUCUUCGGGGAAUAAGACAGGGAGGAAGCCCAUGCCUCUCUCUCUCUCUCUCUCUCUCAAUUUAGGGAUUUAGGGUUCUUACUUGUGGGAAAGACACCAAACGGCAUCGUUUGUUGUUUGGAUGCUGACUAUACUCUCUGACGAGCCACGUCAGCUUCAAAAAUUAAUAAAAAAAAGUGCCACGUUGGAUUUCCAGUCAAUUAGAUUGGCAUUGGCAUUGAAAUGAGCAGCAAGAGGAGUUUCUGACUAACGUGCAAGAACAACCAAGAUAGGAUUGGGAGGUAGCUAAGGCAAAGCAGCUUCCUCUGGGAUAGAAGAGGGCACCACAAUAAGAGAAUCAUAAUCGUUGCCCCACAGACAGGGGGGGCAUUCGGGCGAACAAGGGGAGCAGGAUCAUCAACAGAAUGUUGUUUUGGAUUUUUCUUCGCGCCACUCACCACUAGGCCGAGCAGUAGGCACUUUGGGGAUCGCAGGAGGAGCCUUCGGAGGGCCAGUAGUAGUAGACUUUAUAGUACACCUGUGGCCAAAAGUAUUGCAAGAAGGGCAAGGAGUCGGCCUCCACUCAUAUUGGAUCGCAAUAGAAUGAGCUUCUCCAUUCAACAUAAAAUCAAUAGAAUCAGGGAACGAUUGGGUUGCAUCAACUUCGACACAUACACGAGCGAAGGAAAUCAUGUUCAUCUGCUCGGUUUGGCUGUCCACAUAUAAAGGCUUCCCGAUGGCACUCGCAAUUGCUCCUAUACCCAAUGCAGACCAAAGAGAGAGAGAGAGAGAGGUAUGUUUCUGAGCCAAAUCCAGAUGGGGACCAAUUUGUGGCUAUCUUUCUUUAAAUUUAUCAUAGGAUGCCAUUGUUGGAGGAUGAGAGGGACUUUAGCUAUAGUGAGCGGGCCUUCAUCAAGCACUUUCCUCCUAAAAUCAGCAUCAGGAAUGCGAAAAAAAUAAAAGCCAAGAUCAUCUGUCAAUACUUCAACCAAGUGGUGACCCCAUGCAUUUUUUAGAGUAGAUUCCGUCAACUUAAAAGGGAGUCUCCUCCCUAUAUAAUAACCAACAAUGCAUUCAUUCCACUUAGGAUGGGCAGCUUGCAAUAUUUCCUCAGAAAUUUGCACAACAACUUUAUUAUCCACCAUUGCAAGUGGGAUAUAGGGAAGACUGUAUCCUUUGGUGGCCGACCUGGCAACUGCCGCCCAAGAACGAGGAGGGGGCUGAGGAGCAUCCCGGGGAGCAUCCUUUUAGGGUAUCGAAGUCUUGAGAGCAUCGAGACUUAGCCCAUUUCACUCCAAACCACUCUGAACAGGGGAAGAACGAGCUGGAGCACCCAAAGUUUCUGCAAUAGCAACCCCUUUUUCUUUAGAGGCAUCAGGAUACCUGGGUGGAGGAAGGCCCUCUUCAACAGGUUGAAAGAGGGGAUUCGCAAUUAAGGGCGGACGAGCCCUCCUGCCCUUGCUUCGGCCCCUGCUUCGAGAACGCCCUCUCGAGGCUUGAACAUCCCGAACCGCCGAGGUAGAUCGUGCAGGAGGGGAACAGGCUAAUGGGGGAAGUCGAGAAACUUCCUUGGACACCUCUUGAUGGGCCUUGCCCAAGAGGCCAUCAGGCUUCGAGGAUGUGGAGGCCAUGUGAACAAAAUUCGCAGCAACCAGAAAACCCUAAAAGAUACAGCUCAUCAUUCCUGACUAUGGAGGACGUACCAAGAAAAAUCCUUCGGUGGAACUGUAGAUCGAGUGAAGAGGUAGCUCGGCACCAAAAAUCGGCUUCAACGGACGCCUAGAACGCCCGAAGACAGCUACAGCUCGAACUGGUGAAUAGUACCCGUGACUUUAGAGAGAACAGCAUAUCUAAUCAAAUAUCUUAAUGAUUACUUUAGUGCCAAAAUUUUAUAAAUGAUCAUUUUAGUGUCAAAUCGCUUUUUUUUUGGUAAAGUAUGUGCCACGGUUUUUUUUUUUUUUGUGACCCAGGGAACCCCGUAAGCCGACAGCCGGCGAGCAAACCCUAAAGGAGCGACUGCAGGACCCACCACCACAGUACUCCAGAACUCCCAUCCACAAUACUCCAGGUACUGUGGUGGUGGGUCCUGCAGUCACUCCCCUAGGGUUUGCUCACCAGCUGUCGGCUUACAGGAUUCCCUAGGUCACAAAAAAAAAAAAAAAAACUGUGGCAUAUAAAUGAUUGUUUAGAAAAUUUUGGCACUAAUGUCAUCAUUAUCCCUACUUGCGAAAACUUCAAAAUUUAGGUCAACUUUAUUUAGAAAAUAGCAACUGCGUACUUGAACCAUCCCCUGAAUUUUCCGUUAUUCGAGCAAAAAUUUCUGUCAAAAUAAAAGUAUGCAUCACUUGAUUUCCAAAAAAUUAUGAAAAAUGGCAUGAUUGCAAUUGCAAAUGUCCUCAAUGUCCCUAUGUAUAGGUUUCUACAUCAGUCAAAUUUCAAAUGUCAAAUAAUGAGAAGUCAGAAAUAAAAGCCAUGCCUCCUUUUUCCAUAUAUGCUAAAAAGACCGAUUAAAUAUUUUGAAGCCUCUUGAUAAAAUGUUCCGUUUCUUGGCUUGAUGCUAAUAAGAAGUUAUAUGUGAAUGAUAAUAUCUUCUAUACAUCAAAGGAAGCCAGGUUUUGCCUUACUUUUACUGAGCUUUAUUCCAAACUUGUCCUCAAGUAAAAUAAAGUUCUGAAGCAAAAGAAAAGAACAUCUAAGUAUACGCUCGGUUUCAUAUCCCUUUCUCAUUAAUUUUCAUCGCGCACUCCAACUCAUGAAUAUCGGAAUCCCUUUAUCGGUUGGAUGUGUACAAAUGAGGGUGCAUAUAUGCCUAAUUCUGCAGAAUGUGAAGCCAUCUAGACCUCCCUUUUUAGCGUGCCUUGGGCUUCUAUAUGCAUUUCACCUUUAUCCCUUAAGCCUGUGAGUCGGUCUCGCUAAUUCUAUAGGAUUUAUUUCUAGUUUAUUCUUAUUUUAAAAAAUUAAGGCCUCUGCAAAAGGCCUGAAUCCCACGCCGCUUAGGAAUACACAAGUAAUAUUUCAUACACGUCUGGUUCCGAGAAAGGUGAAGCCGUCUGGGCCUCCUUUUUUCUUGGCGCGUCUUGAAUUUCUGUAUGCAUUAUAUUUAAUGCGCUUUACCUAAACUUUUCACCGACAAAAAACAUUAUCCAAAACCGAAAAUUGUAACCCUCCACCUUCUGACACUCCAGUGCUCUUCUUCCAUCAUCUGCAGGUUCAUCUUUUUGCUUUGUCUUUCACAAGUUGCUGCAAACAUCAAUCUUUCAUAUUGCAAUAUAUCCACUAAUUUAGUUUUUUAUUUAUUUAUUGCAUGAGUUUUGUUAAAUGCAAUCAAGCAAGGCAAUGGUUAGUCCCAAAUCCCAACCUUUUGCCAACUACUCCAUUGAUUGUUCUUAUUCAUUACCACUUAUGUUGUUGUACACACCUGAUCUGUCCAAAGUGGAAUUCCGGCGACGGAGUUAUGAGGUCCAAAGUUAGCCCGUUGAAUCUGUAAAAUUUGAAAAGUGUGUCCUUCACAGAUGUGCUAACUUCAAAUGGCUUGUACAGCUUAUCCUGAUAUCCGAUUGAAUUUUUGGUUUGAUGGCUUUUAUGGGCAUGGAAGUUUUUACGUCCUGGGUAUUUUCAAGAAAUUUUCAUAAUUUUUGCUAUUUUUGGAAAUUUCAAACAAUGAUGGAAAAAUAAGAGUGUUUGAAAUCUAGCUCUAAUGUUAUCUUUUUCAUUAUAGAUGAUGGAAAAAUAUUAUCCAUUGAAUUUUGUAUAUCGUGACAUUUCGAGGAGUAACGGUAUAAAUGUAAAAGUUUCAAAAAGAAUAUGAACUUUUUUGUCUAUAUAAAUUGUGAUUACUAGAAAUUUACAUUAUUUUUCUUAGAUGAACCUUAUCCAUUGUUUUUAUUUAUGCUUCUCAAGAGUUAUUUAUGGCAUUUGAAUCUUUGUUCGAGUUUAUGGACUGAAGUAAUGCAUUUAAGGACAAAUUUCCAAUUUUAUUGUAAUUGGGCUCUUUUUAGGUAAUUUACAAUUUGUGGAAUUUUUAUCAUUAAUGUCCCCGUCGGCCUAGAAAAUUUUAUGGGUAUUCUAGUAAUUUUCUGCUUAGGAAUAUUAAAUAUCACACUUGAUUCCGUUUGUUUUGCGGAAGAUGAAUAAUAUGGAAAAUAUUUAAAAAUAAUUAUUUGUAUCGCUUAAAAUAAUUAGAAGAUGAACAAUACUUUAAUUAUUCGAAAAAAAAAUUAUGCCAAAAAUUCAUAGAUGAAAAAAAUAUUUUUCAAUUAUUUUUGUAAGCAAUACGAUAAUUAUUUUUAUGAAAAUAUUUUUUGAAUCAUUUUUUUCCGCAUAACAAAUACACCACUAUGAUUCCUUGGUGGUGCUGGAGAUAUUCCUUCAUGAAAUUAUAUGAAUUCAUGAUAGCUAGAGUUCAUAUAAGUGGUGCUCUGCCUCUGCCAGGAAUUUCUACUACAGCAUAUUUGUAACCGAUAACAUAUUUUUAUGCAUAAACAUUGGAUCAAACAGAGAUGCUUUGAGUGACUGAUGAGUUAAUAAAUCUGGAUUUAGUUGUUGUUUAUCCUAUCAUUUGAUCUUAUUUUGAAGAACAGUCGCUUGCAAUUUUGUUGUGAUACCACUGUUUUCCCAAAGGUUAUGUCUGCGAGUCUAUGCCCAUUACCGAGAUAUUUAUAUUGCUGCUGAAAAUUAUGUAUACUCAGUUGUAUUGACGCGUCGGUGUAUUAUGCUUGGACGUUUGAGGAAUGCCUAUACUUCUAAUCACUAACAGAGGUAAAGGAUCACUUACUUCACAAGCGAGCUCUUUCAGAUUCAGUAAAAAUUGCUGAGAAUAAACAGCGAGUUUUUCAUUAUUUUUCGGAUCUUAAGAUAAUUUUUUUGUUUUUAAAUUUUUAAGAGAAAAUCAUAACUUAAAGUGAUAAAUAGGCAAAAGCUCGCCCCAAACUGGAUUUUACUAAGUAAAAUGUUAUUAGCCACGUAAACAAGCUAGCUAGUAAUUUAUGGUAGGUUAGAAGUCACUCUUUUUUUCUUUUUUUUUAUUGAAACUUACAAAUCACUCUAAAAUAAAAUAAUAAAAAAUUACAAGUCUCGGUCCCGCAUAUAGAUACUCGCUUUCUUAAAGUCAAAAGUGUACCAACCGGGAAGAAAAUUUGUUAUGUUAAGGGGUUGCUAAGUAAAUCAACAUGAAAAAGUUACUUCACACUCAUUGAGGAGAUAUGCCGGAAGUUACUAAACGACUUUCGAGGGACUCGAAUUCUCCGUGCCAAUGAUAAUGCCCCUGGUGAAGAAGAACAGCUGAUACACACUUUCAUUAUUUCCUGAAUCCUCAAGUACAACAAGUAUUGAAACAACUCAACCUCACCAUCUCAUCAAGAUGAUGAUGAUGAUGAUGAUGAUGAUGAGCUUUAUUUAUCUUACUCAAGUAACAGUAGGUUAAGCAAAAGACGCAUUCCACCUGAAAGUUCUAAUCCAAGAUCAGUUUGGUAAUGCAUUGUCCUUCGGAAGUUUGCACCAGCUCCGCUACACCGAGAUGCGCCAUUAGAAGCCAAACAUGGCUGAUAAGCUCUCCUCCAUUGUUCAGGUUCUUACAGUGUUCGUAGCCUUUGCUUUUGCAAGCCGCGUAUAUCAGAAACUUCGCCCAGACCUUGCCGAUCACGUGCCAUUUCCUACCGAAGUCUUUCGACUCGAUUUCAUUCAACUGGGACGUGAGAUGGCACCCGUCAAACAGCACCGACCUGCUUUUGGCACUUCUUAUUUUCUCGGCGGGCAGCUGAGUUCCCACAUGGAGCAGAAGAUGGCCGAGUUCGCAUAGAUCGCGCGACUCUGCUGACUUGUGCGCCUUGUUGCAGCUUUUAACUCCGGUGUGGCCAUAUUUCUCUUUCUCGAAUAAAUUCUGCGCCCACGUCUUGACAACUGAUAAGUUGAUGAUUGUUUCUUUCUUUGACAACACUGCUAGCUUGUCCUGGAAGAACUUCUGAGCGUCAACCAAAGUGUCUGUAUAUCGGGGCGCGUGUAUCCCUGGUUGCAACAUGAAAGGAUGAUAUACUAAAAGAUACAGCAUGUACCGAGAGACCAACCUACUCAUUUUGUAGUGCUUGAUGUUUUCCGGGCUUUCUCUCCGCCUCUUGUCGUGGUCCUUGUAGUGGCAGAGCUCAGUGGCGAUGUGCCAGAUGAGGAUGCUCCGUUCGAACUCCAUACCCUUCACACUCCAGUCCAGGUGAUCGUUUUUUGAACUCUUCAGAGCCUCCAGCUUAAGACUCAUGGACCCGCUCUUCACUCUGGCGUCCUGAAACAGAAAAUCGACCGUAUCCCUCAUGUGAUCGAAGGUCCAUUCUUUGAUGUUGCUCUUGAACUCUUUGUAAUCAAUGUAGAAGUUCUUCUCCAACUCCUCAUCUAACUUGGUGAGCCUCAGAUACUUGCUGAAGAUCCUGUUUCUUUUCCCGACAGAAAAUUUCAAGAGGCUGAACUGGGCCACGGAAUUCGACCAUCUGGGGGUCUGGCAGAUCUGGAGAAAAGCCACGGCAGAUGAUAUUGCGGAUCCGCCAGAUCUCUGAAGACGCCAGUGGUUGACCCAAUCGGAUGAAAUUGCGAGAAGAACUGAGUAAAUCUCUAAAAGUACAGCCGCACCUAUCAGCAAGAAGGUGAUAUAGACGUCGACUUUGGGGUAAUCCUUCCUAUCCUGUAAAGAGAAGAAUACCAACACGGCACACAGCACCGAGAGAUUAAUGACCCAACGAAUGAUGCCCCAAGCACGGGUCAGCAACAGUGCCUUUGUGAAGAGCUGAUCGUACAUGAACCCGAGCUGGAUCUCUACUAUGCUAAAAGCUGUUGCUGAGUCCAUGGCUUUAUUCAUGAACAUGCGCUUACUGGCCUCCAGGUCGCCAGAGCUAAGGAUGAGGCCUACGAAGAGAGGCUUGAAGAUCUUGAACAACUCAUACGCUUUGACCAGAGUACUGUCCUUUUCUUUGUCGAUGGCUUGACCGCUCUCCUCGUCAAUGCUGAGUCGGUAACCCUCCUCCUUCUUCAGAGGGUACUCGAAAUCAGGAAGUGAAAGCAUCGAAUCUCGAAGUUGACCUUCGGUUGCCCAGUACAAACACAAUGUCCUCUCUACAUAUUUGAUGAACCCCACCAGGAUCACGCCAGCUGCUAAUAUCGAGAGCGUAGACCCUGAGAAGGUUACAAAGUAGGCGUAACAAGCUAGUCCAACAUGGACGCAAAGCCGCGCCAACUGCCUCAACCACAGUUCGAUGUCCUUCAGGGCAUACGCGGUGAUCGUGUCAGGCCCACCCAAGUGGAGGAGAAGGAACGGCACCCAGUAAGCAGCGAUAUGGCUCUUUGGAUCAAUCGUCCCCUUCGUUUCCUUGAUAGUGGCCAGGCGGUUCAAGAGGACGCCGAGCGUGAGGGUUGCGAUGAGGUCAGCCAAUGGGUACGCCGUCCAGACCACGACUCGGAUCCAGCACUUGUAGCUGGAUUUCCUCCGAAAGCCCUGAGUCACAAGUAUCAAUUGGAGGAACAAGCUGAGGAGGACGAAGAACCGCAGCUCCCACUCCUUGCACAGUUCUUGAGUGUUUUCGGGGAACAGCGAAAAUCCCAUGGUUGAACUUUAAUGUCGGCACCAAAAGGCGCAAUGAUCGGGCACCCUUGGUCAAUCUUAGGAUUAUAAAGGGAGAGGACGAAGUAAGGCAAAACAGCAUUAGCCUGGCAUUUACCUCUCUGCAGCAUCCUCAAAACGGCUACUCUUUAUAACUGUUGUUACUGAUCAAAACAGUAAACAAGAAAAUAGAAAACCAGAAGCUAUAUUUUUUAGAUGAGGAAGAGAAGCGCAGAGAAACAGAACAUAAACUUGCAUACGUCUGUUCUAAAGGAAACUGUCAAGUACAGAACAACUUAAACAAAGCAAAAACUGCUCACGUACGUGCAACACAUAACUGCACACAAACGUGCUAUUAACUUCCUAGAAAAUAGCAAAAACACUAAAUAAAUAACUAAAUUGAACUUGGCUGUUUUUUAAUAAAAAAAACAGAGUAAAACAGAGCAGAAAUCAUAACAGAAAACAAAGUAAAAAAAAGAACAGAAAACAGCAACUGAGACAUUAUAAUCCAACAAACUCCUCCUUGGAUCAGUUGCUGCUGCAUACUCCAAUUUUCUUUCUUAAUACUUCAAAUCUUCCAGCUUGAAGUGGUUUUGUGAACAUAUCUGCAAGCUGAUCUUCAGAUCUGCAAUAGACCAAUUUAACUUCGCCACUUUGUUGCACCUCACGUAGAAAGAAAAAUUUGACUUUAAAAUGCUUGGUUUUGCCAUGAAAAACUGGAUUCUGAGAUAUUGCUAACGCAGCCUGAUUAUCCACAUUAACUUCAAUGCAAUCACUGGAAUUCAACCACAAAUCCUUCAUUAUCUUCUUCAGCCACAAAGCUUGAUUUGCAGCUGCAGUAGCUACUAUAAACUCAGCCUCUGCUGUGGACUGAGCUACAAUCUCUUGCUUUUUGGAACACCAGGAGAAACAAGCAGAACCAAAACUGAAACAAUAUCCAGACGUACUCUUCAUGUCAUCUACUGAACCAGCCUAAUCACUAUCAGAAAAUCCUUGCAAAUUAAACUUCUGACAUUUCUUAAACUUCACACCAAAGAACAAUGUUCCUUUGAGAUAUCUCAAUACCCUUUUUGCUGCAAUCAAAUGUAACUGACUAGGACUACUCAUAAACCUGGAUAAAACACUCACAGCAAAUAGAAUAUCUGGUCUGAUUGCUGUAAGAUACAUGAGACACCCAAUCAGACUUCUAUACAUAGAAGCAUCUACUGCAUCUGUUCCAUCAUUCUUCUGCAGCUUUUCUUUAGCAGCCAUAGGAGUGCUUACACUUCGACAAUCUUCCAUCUGAAACUUCUUUAGAAUUUCCUUCAUGUAUUUUUUCUGACAGAUGAAGAUCUCAUAUGAAGCCUGUUUUACUUCCAAACCCAAAAAAUAAGCCAUCUUUCCCAAGUCUGACAUCUCAAAAACUACAAAUAGAUCUUGCUUCACCUUCUCUAUCAAUUCCAUAUCAUUCCCCGUCACUAAUAGAUCAUCUACAUAAAGUGACAGAAUUACAACACUGUGAUUCACCUUCUUGACAUAAAGAGUGAACUCACUUAAGCUUUUCACAAAACCAAAAUCUUGCAAAUAUCGAUCUAUCUUCCCAUACCAAGCUCUUGGAGCCUGCUUCAAUCCAUAUAGAGCUUUCUUCAACCUGUAUACACUCUCUUCUUGCCCUUUGAUACUAAAGCCUUCAAGUUGUUCAACAAAAAUCUCCUCCUCAAGCUCUCCAUUCAGAAAUGCAGACUUGACAUCUAACUGAAAUAUAGGUCACCCAUUCUCUGCUGCAAUAGCUAACAGUAGCCUUAUUGUAUCAAGUCGUGCAACAGGAGCAAAUGUUUCAUAAUAGUCUACUCCCCAUAUUUGUGCAUAGCCUUUCACCACCAGUCUAGCUUUGUGUUUAUUAACAGAACCAUCAGGAUUAAGUUUUGUUCUAAACACCCACUUAACCCCAAUUACAUUCUUAUCAGAUGAUCUGUCAACAAGCUCCCAUGUGUGGUUUUUCUGGAUCAUUGCUAUCUUCUCCUGCAUUGCUGCAAUCCACCUUUGAUCCUCCUUAGCUUCCACAAAGUUAGAUGGUUCGAGCAUUGCCACAUUGCUUCUUUCAUAGAUUUCAGCAAGUGAUCUUGUGCCUUUCACUGGUAAAUCAUCCAUACUUUCUUCCAAUCCAUCUAUAACUUCAUCAACCUCUACAUCUGUUGCAGGUUGUUUUUCGAACUGUUACUGUUCUGCACUCUUUCCUUCCAUCCAAUUCCACUCAUCUUUCUCUAGAAAAACAACAUCUCUGCUUACAGUCACCUUCCCUGUCAUAGGGUGAAAAAUUCUGUAAGCCUUUGAUUGGAGACUGUACCCAAUGAAGAUUCCAAGCUCUGCCUUCUUAUCCAGCUUGUCCCUCUUGACCUCAGAAACAUGAGUGUAACACAAACACCCAAAAACCUUCAAAUUUUUCACAGAAGGUUUAACACCAUACCAGACUUCAAAAGGUGUUGACCUCUCUAAGGCCUUUGUGGGCAAUCUGUUCAACAGGAAUACUGCAGUAUUAGCUGCUUCAGCCUAGAACUUCUUAGGCAACAUCUUCUCCUGCAUCAUACAUCUGGCCAUCUCCAUAAUACUUCUAUUUUUCCUCUCACUGACCCCAUUCUGUUGAGGUGAAUAGGGAGCAGUGAACUGCUGCACAAUUCCUGCUUGCUCACAAUUCAACUUAAACUUGUGAGCAGUAUACUCAGAACCAUUAUCAGACCUGAGCAUUUUAAUUUUCUUCCCACUCUGAUUCUCAACUAAGGCUUUAAACUUCACAAACACAUCAGCAACUUCAGACUUGGCUUGCAGAAAAUAAAUCCAAUUCAUCCUAGUCAUAUCAUCAGUGAAGGUAAUGAAAUACCUGCUACUAUUGAGAGAAGACUCAGACAUAGGUCCACAUAAAUCUGUGUGGACUAAUUGCAGCUUCUCACAUGCUCUCCAGCCUCCUCCUUUGAAAGGAAAUCUGACUUGCUUGCCAAGAAGACAAGUUUUGCACUGUGGAAAUUCCUCCUCCAAACUUGGCAAGUUAUCUGCCAAGCUAUUUCUCUGCAUAAACGACAUGCUCUUCCUGUGAACAUGCCCAAGUCUUUUAUGCCAUAUCUCUGCAUUUUCUUUUUUGCACUUUAAAGCCAUUUGUUGCAUCUCUUGUGGCUUGAACAUGAAACUCUUGUCCUCCAUUGGAAUUCUUAGCACUUCUUUGCUAUCUGCAUUAUUAAUAAGACAUUCCUUCCCUUCGAACUUCACUUUAUAGCCCUUCUCAACUAAUUGACCAACACUUAACAGAUUAUGGUCAAUAUUUGGCACAAAGAGAACAUCACUGAUCAGCUUCACUCCUGACUUCCUUCAAUAGCCACUGUACCCUUCCCUUGCACUUCGAUAUACUGUCCAUUGCCAAUUCUAACUCUGGACCUGACUGACCUGUCUAGAAUCCUAAACAGCUUCGAAUUGCCAGUCAUAUGAUUGGUACAGUCACUAUCCACCAGCCAUGCAUCAUUCCCAACAGAAGAUUCAGAAAAUGAAGCUACAAACAAGUGCUCUUCCUUAGUUUCAUUCACUACUACUUGGGCUUUUCCUACUUGAUGGUAAUUUUUUUCUUUGCAGAUGGCUUCCAUGUGACCCAACUUGUGACAUCUUCUGCAUCUAGCAUCAGGCUUUCUCCAACAUCUAAAAAACUGAUGAUUAGUUCCACCACAGUAUUGACAAGGCUUUUUGUUCAUCUUCCAUUUGCUAGACCCACCAGAAUUUCCUUCUUUUGCUACAAACUUGGAGUCACCGGCAUUUUCUCUGGACUGAAUCCAUUUCUUCCAUUUGCCUCCAUCAUUUGACUUCACUCUAGCUUGCAGCGCACCCUCUACAAACUCUUCUCUUCUCAUCAGUCUUCUGUGCUCCUGCACCUGCAGAGCAUUUAACAAUUCUGCAAGCUUUAUAUCAGGUAAGUCUCUUGUAUUUUCCAGAGACGCUAUGGUGGCUUCGAACUUCUCUGGAAGAGACACCAGAAUCUUCUAAACAAGCCUUUCAUCCUUCAAGUCAGUCCCUAAAACUCUGAUUUUUUCAGCUAUCCCAACCAACCUAUCAGAGUACUCCUUCACUGACUCUGAAUCCUUCAUCUACUGUCUCUCAAACUCCCUCAAGAGAUUCAGCACUUUCAUGCCUCUUAUCUUCUCAUCUCCCUCAUAUUCAUCCUUCAAGAAAUCCCAUAUUGCCUUUGCAGAAUCACAUCUCAUGAUCCUUGUGAAGAUAGUGGGUGAAACAGCAGCGUACAGGCAUGACUUUGGCUUGGCCUUCCUUGUGAUUCUCUCUUUAUGGUACUUUAUCUGAUUCAAGGUUGGAUUGUCUGGAAGUGGAGCAACCUCAUAAUCAUCCUCCACAGCCUCCCAUAAAUCAUGACCCUCCAAGAAUGCCGUCAUCUUAACAGCCCAUGCUUGAUAAUUCUCUCCAGUAAAUACUGGAGAAGCCAUUGCAGAGAAACCACUCGACCCUGUCUCCAUCACCCUUUAACUUCUUUACACUUCGAUACUUGCUUCACUUCACAGUCCCUCAAGAUCAUACAUGCUCUGAUACCACUGUUGUUACUGAUCAAAAUAGUAAACAAGAAAAUAGAAAACCAGAAGCUAUAUUUUUCAGAUGAGGAAGAGAAGCGCAGAGAAACAGAACACAAACUUGCAUACGUCUGUUCUAAAGGAAACUGUCAAGUACAGAACAACUUAAACAAAGCAAAAACUGCUCACGUACGUGCAACACAUAACUGCACACAAACGUGCUAUUAACUUCCUAGAAAAUAGCAAAAACACUAAAUAAAUAACUAAAUUGAACUUGGCUGUUUUUUAAUAAAAAAAACAGAGUAAAACAGAGCAGAAAACAUAACAGAAAACAGAGUAAAAAAAAGAACAGAAAACAGCAACUGAGACAUUAUAAUCCAACAAUAACCAAUAACUUGUUAUUGGAAUCAAAUACAAAAGCACUCGUUUACCUUGCAUAACAUUUUAGAAAUGAAAAAGCAGUAUGCCUUAUGAAACACUCACAACACACAACUCGCGACAUCUUUGGAUGCAUAAUUAUCAAGUCAUUCUCUACAUUUGCCCGAAGAUAGAAUAAAGCGACAAAAUUAGAUUCCGGCAUUUGUACUGGCAUGAUUACUACAUGCUUUAAUUGAGAAGAUUGAAAUCUAGGCUUAGAGUUAAAGUUUGGUUCCUUGAUCACUUGUCAAGAUUUCUAAUUAUGUGAACUUAAUUAUAAUCAUUGCGAUCUUAACACUUUGUCUAGCAUGCCCUCACCAGCCCAACAUAAUCCUUGUGGAAUAUAAAAAUCACCAUCUGGGUUGCUAUAACAAAUAAAGACACGCAAAUAGGCCAAAAAGAGGGUGAUAAAUGCUUACUCCAAGUUAGCAGCGAUUUUGAUGCAUUGAAUUGAUUGCUUCAAUUCCCAGACAGCAUAAUAUUGUCCUUGGAUACUAAUCUUCAUAUUAAAUUUUGGAAUGAAGUCGUCGCUACGAUAAAACAAUGCACAAGAGCGCACGUCUCACACCACAUCGCCGUCAGUUGAUGCGCUUCAUGGCCAUCAUGAUCACGACUUCUUGUCCAUGUCUGACCUAUUAGCAUGUGGUGUGCGACACCCUCUGAACAUUUUUCUCCAAGUCAUGCGGUGUGCGAGCUGAACAUUUUCGUUCACAUCUUGUCACGCGAAGGACACAUAGCCAGUGCACCACCUUUAACUUAAUUAAACCCUUAACAUUGUGCAUCAAGGCUAGAAACAUGCGACUAAGAACCUAUGAAAACCUCAAAGUCCAAAAAUUCAUAACCUCAAAAUAAGUUUUUGUUUUUCCCUAGGGUGGAAAAGACGUCAUCAAUGCCAUAAUUUUUUAUAAAGAGUCACUUUAGUGUUGAAACUUUUCAAACAAUUAUUUUAAGUGCGACCACUUUGAAAAAAUGAUCAUCUAAGUGAAUAUAAUGACUUAGUUUGCUGAAAAUCUAGCAUGGCUUGUUGAAGUCACUUAAAUGGUUGCUUUAAAAAGUUUUAACGCUAAAGUGAUCAGUCAAAAAGUUUUGGUAUUAAAUUGAUCAUUCAUAAAAUUGUUGCUCUAAAGUUUUAAAAAUUAGAGGGAGCCAAAAAAAAAAAAUCACAAAGAAAAUAUUCUAACUUUGACACGAUUUUUUUUUCUUUCUUUUGUUAGACUCAAAAGCAAAAACAUUAGGAAAACGUUCCUUAAGUUUCAUCUAAAAUCACAUAGAUCUAUUUGUUUUCCUAACAAAAAGGAUAAGUAAGUGAAAUUUUCUUCACCUCUAGGAAGUUCGUAUUUAUUUCUUCCUCUAUUCUUAGAUCAAACAACAAAGCUUCAAGUAUUGCAAAAAUGUAUUACGGUGCAUUUGGUUCAAUUUUGCAAAAUACCUUUACAUAGACAUAAAGAACCCUAAGUUAAAAAGGGUUUCACGAAAUGCAAAACACUAUUUGCUAAAAACUUGUAAUGGACUCUAGUUUUAAACUAAAAAAAGCAAAGAAUGAAAGUGGAAGCACAUAUUGAUGUAGAUGGCACCUCGGGCGAAGCCUGAGAGAGAGACGACAGCCCGUUGCGGAGGUUACGCGAUGACAAGCGACCACUGUCAAGGUCGUGCUACCCAACGUAUAUAUUAAUCUCCGUAUUACUUCAUAACACAAGCAAACGAAGCCACUCACCCCACAUACUAUACGUUAUAUAUUAUGCAAUAUGUAAAGGACAAAGAUAAAAGCAAGAAAGUUCAAGGUAGUGGUAUACACUCUUGUGAAAUUUAGCCCAACACAAAUCAGAACCUAAAUGAAUUCAGUUUGGCAAUUCUACAUAUAUAUUACCUUAUAGAGAUAAGUACACUAUGUGUUUGAGUCCUAAAACUUCCAAAAUGUGUAAUAAAGUCCUUAAAUUUGUCGAGUCUGGGUAAUUAAUUCCUCCCAUUAAUUCCAUUGGUUUGAUUAAUGAAAGAUGCUAACGAAUAAUUUUUUUAAUGUUUUCUUAUAAAGAUAAGUACACCUUGUGUUUGAGUCCUAAAACUUCCAAAAUAUGUAAUCAAGUCUUAAAAUUUAUCAAGUUUGUGCAAUUAAUUUCUCUCGUUAACUCCAUGGGUUUGACUAAUAGAAAAUGUUGACGAAUAAUUUUUCUAAUGAUUUCUUAUGAAGAUAAGUACACCCUAUAUUUAAGUCCUAAAACUUUCAAAAUAUAUAAUCAAGUCUUGAAAUUUGUCAAGUUUGUGCAACUAAUUCCUCUAGUUAACUCCAUAGGUUUGGCUAAUGAAAAAUACUGACGAACUAUUUUUUUUUUAAGUUUUCUCUCUCCUAAGUGAACUAAAAUUCUUUGACAAAAUCAAACAUGAUAGAAAUAUAAAAAGUUUCCAAGCAAAACAAAUCACAAAAAACUAUAAAAAAAUAAUAAUAAUAAUAAAUUAAAUUAAAAUUAAAAUUAAAAAAAAAAACUCGAAAAAUAAAAGAUCAGAUCUGUCAUAAUAUCAAAAAAUAAUCAACAGCCAACCACCGCACAUUGAGAUCUUCCCUUCCAAAAACUAUGGCUUCCAUCGUCAUACCAUACGAAACAACGACAUGGUAAACCAUCACAAAUUGAAUGCCUCCAAGAAACUCCCAAAUCUAUAUUUAAAUCGGGAAAAAAAAAAAAAAAACUCCACUGGAUCUAAAUCGGUCUUCAAGCAAAUAUAUUCACCACAACAAGCAAAGAAAAGUAAUAACAACGGACGAAAGAAGACAUUAAACCAAGCGAAAAACUGACUCCCAAAUUAGAUCAGGAGAGAAAAAUCAAAGCCUACAACCCCUAUCCCCAAGCUCGGAUGGAUGGUUGUCUACUGCAGGACGUGAGCAAUUACUGCAGAUAAUCGAUUAUUGUCAUAUCCAGAUCGACCCAUUAAGAGAAUAAUAUAAGUCAUGGAUAUUUUGACGUGGAUUUAAUAUAAGUUAUUAAUCACGAAUGGAAUAUCCAUGAUUUCGUUAAAAAGUAUUAAGUAUAAUUAAUUUAUUUGAUAUUCAUAGAGAGAAGGGAAAAAUAAUUAAUGAGAGGCAAUGCGACACCACAUCUCAUGGCAAUUUAGCAUAUAAAAGACUAUCUGAUACAUUAAACCAGAGCAAAACUUCGACUACAAAAUGCAUCCGCAAAUUCCCAGAAUUAUAAUUGUAGAAUACCCAAAACCGAGUCCAACGGAAUACCAAAUGAAGAAAAACAGGAAUAUCUCUUCAAGCCUUAUCAGCCUUGGAAGCAGUUGCGGCGGCUUGUCCUCUGAGCCGACCAGUCCUCCGAGCGGCGAUGAGACCAACCUUCUGGCCAGGUGGCGCGUCACGCCUGACUGUGCUCGCGUGACCAAUGUGUUGGUGAUUACCUCCUCCGUGAGGAUGCUCAACUGGGUUCAUGGCCACACCACGCACCUUGGGCCAGCAGUUCCUCUUCACUCUGAACUUGUGGUAAGCAUUGCCAGCC
rnacentral:lncRNA from 1 species